rnacentral:lncRNA from 1 species
UUGAGGAGGAAGUUAAUGAUGAUGAUCAUGAAACUCUAGUUCAAGUUUCUGUUGAACCACACAGGUCGACGAGAUCACGCGCUGCUCUAGAGUGGUACGGUAAUCCCGUCUUAUCAAUCAUGUUGUUAGACAACAAUGAACCUGCAAAUUAUGAAGAAGCAAUGGUGGGCCUAGAUUCCAACAAAUGGCUAGAAGCCAUGAAAUCCGAGAUAGGAUCCAUGUAUGAGAACAAAGUGUGGACUUUGGAGAUACUACCUGAGGGCCGCAAGGCUAUUCAGAACAAAUGGAUUUUUAAGAAGAAGACGGACGCUGACAGUAAUGUGACCAUUUAUAAAGCUCGACUUGUGGCAAAGGGUUUUUCACAAGUUCCAGGAGUUGACUACGAUGAGACCUUCUCACCCGUAGCGAUGCUUAAAUCUGUCAGAAUCAUGUUAGCAAUAGCUGCAUUUUUCGAUUAUGAAAUCUGGCAGAUGGAUGUCAAAACGGCGUUCCUUAACGGUUUCCUUAAGGAAGAGUUGUAUAUGAUGCAACCCGAAGGUUUUGUCGAUCCUAAAAAUGCUGACAAGGUGUGCAAGCUCCAGCGAUCCAUUUAUGGACUGGUGCAAGCAUCUCGGAGUUGGAACAAACGCUUUGAUGAGGUGAUCAAAGCAUUUGGGUUUAUACAAGUGGUUGGAGAAUCUUGUAUUUACAAGAAAGUGAGUGGGAGCUCUGUGGCGUUUCUAAUAUUAUAUGUGGAUGACAUAUUACUGAUUGGAAACAACGUAGAGCUUUUGGAGAGCAUAAAAGGUUACUUAAAUAAAAGUUUCUCUAUGAAGGACCUAGGAGAAGCUGCUUACAUUCUAGGCAUUAAGAUCUAUAGGGAUAGAUCAAAACGCCUGAUACGACUUUCACAAAGCACAUACCUUGAUAAAGUUUUGAAGAGGUUCAAAAUGGAACAGUCCAAGAAAGGGUUCUUGCCAGUGUUACAAGGUACGAGAUUGAGUAAGACUCAGUGCCCAGCAACUGAUGAAGAUAGAGAGCAUAUGCGCUCCGUCCCCUAUGCUUCAGCCAUAGGUUCUAUCAUGUAUGCGAUGUUGUGCACUAGACCGGAUGUUAGCCUGGCCAUAAGUAUGGCAGGCAGGUUCCAGAGUAAUCCAGGAGUGGAUCACUGGACAUCGGUCAAGAAUAUCCUGAAGUACCUGAAAAGGACUAAGGAGAUGUUUCUCGUGUAUGGAGGUGAUGAAGAGCUCGCCGUAAAAGGUUACGUCGAUGCAAGCUUUGACACAGAUCCGGAUGACUCUAAGUCGCAAACCGGAUACGUAUUUAUUCUUAAUGGGGGUGCAGUAAGCUGGUGCAGUUCCAAGCAAAGCGUCGUAGCAGAUUCUACAUGUGAAGCGGAGUACAUGGCUGCCUCGGAGGCGGCUAAGGAGGGUGUCUGGAUGAAGCAGUUCAUGACGGAUCUUGGAGUGGUGCCAAGUGCACUGGAUCCAAUAACCUUGUUCUGUGACAACACUGGUGCCAUUGCCUUAGCAAAGGAACCAAGGUUUCACAAGAAGACCAGACACAUCAAACGACGCUUCAACCUCAUUCGCGACUACGUCGAGGAGGAGGACGUAAAUAUAUGCAAAGUGCACACGGAUCUGAAUGUAGCAGACCCGCUGACUAAACCUCCUCCACGGCCAAAACAUAAUCGACACCAGAACUGUAUUGGUGUUAGAUUUAUUACAAUGUAAUUCACAUGAUAAUGUGAGGGCUAGAUUAUUGACUCUAAUGCAAGUGGGAGACUGUUGGAAUUAAGCCCUAGAGGCAAUAAUAAAUGUAUAAUUAUUAUUAUAAUUCCUGUAUCAAGAUAAUAGUUUAUUAUCCAUGCUAUAAUUGUAUUGAAUGAAGACUCAUUUACAUGUGUGGAUACAUAGACAAAACACCGUCCCUAGCAUGCCUCUAGUUGGCUAGCCAGUUGAUCGAUGAUAGUCAGUGUCUUCUGAUUAUGAACAAGGUGUUGUUGCUUGAUAACUGGAUCACGUCAUUGGGGGAAUCACGUGAUGGACUAGACCCAAACUAAUAGACGUAGCAUGUUGAUCGUGUCAUUUUGUUGCUACUGUUUUCAGCGUGUCAAGUAUUUAUNNNNNNNNNNNNNNNNNNNNNNNNNNNNNNNNNNNNNNNNNNNNNNNNNNNNNNNNNNNNNNNNNNNNNNNNNNNNNNNNNNNNNNNNNNNNNNNNNNNNCCUCACGUCCCUCGAUCCGCCCCGCGAACAAUCCCGCGAUCAGUCCCACGAUCUAGUACCGAACGGACGGCACCUCCGCGUUCAGCACACGUACAGCUCGACGAUGAUCUCGACCUUCUUGAUCCAGCAAGAGAGACGGAGAGGUAGAAGAGUUCUCUGGCAGCGUGACGGUGCUCCGGAGGUUGGUGAUGAUCUCGUCUCAGCAGGGCUCCGCCCGAGCUCCGCAGAAACGCGAUCUAGAGGAAAAACUAUGGAGGUAUGUGGUCGGGCAGCCGUGAGAAAGUCGUCUCAAAUCUGCCCUAAAAGCCCCAUAUAUAUAGGAGGAGGGAGGGGAACCUUGCCUUGGGGUCCAAGGGACCCUCAAGGGGUCGGCCGAGCCAAGGGGGGGAGGACUCCCCCCCCAAACCGAGUUGGACUUGGUUUGGUGGGAGGAGUCCCCCUCCCUUCCCACUUCUUCCCUCUUUUUUUCUUUUCCUUUGAUUUCCUUUCCUUGGCGCAUAGGCCCCCUUGGGACUGUCCCACCAGCCCACUAAGGGCUGGUGUGUCUCCCCAAAGCCUAUGGGCUUCCCCGGGGUGGGUUGCCCCCCCCGCUGAACUCCCGGAACCCAUUCGUCAUUCCCGGUACAUUCAUGGUAACUCCGAAAACCUUCCGGUAAUCAAAUGAGGUCAUCCUAUAUAUCAUUCUUCGUUUCCGGACCAUUCCGGAAACCCUCGUGACGUCCGUGAUCUCAUCCGGGACUCCUAACAACAUUCGGUAACCAACCAUAUAACUCAAAUACACAUAAAACAACGUCGAACCUUAAGUGUGCAGACCCUGCGGGUUCGAGAACUAUGUAGACAUGACCCGAGAGACUCCUCGGUCAAUAUCCAAUAGCGGGACCUGGAUGCCCAUAUUGGAUCCUACAUAUUCUACGAAGAUCUUUAUCGUUUGAACCUUAGUGCCAAGGAUUCGUAUAAUCCCGUAUGUCAUUCCCUUUGUCCUUCGGUAUGUUACUUGCCCGAGAUUCGAUCGUCAGUAUCCGUAUACCUAUUUCAAUCUCGUUUACCGGCAAGUCUCUUUACUCGUUCCGUAAUACAAGAUCCCGCAACUUACACUAAGUUACAUUGCUUGCAAGGCUUGUGUGUGAUGUUGUAUUACCGAGUGGGCCCCGAGAUACCUCUCCGUCACACGGAGUGACAAAUCCCAGUCUUGAUCCAUACUAACUCAAUUAACACCUUCGGAGAUACCUGUAGAGCAUCUUUAUAGUCACCCAGUUACGUUGCAACUUUUGAUACACACAAAGCAUUCCUCCGGUGUCAGUGAGUUAUAUGAUCUCAUGGUCAUAGGAAUAAAUACUUGACACGCNNNNNNNNNNNNNNNNNNNNNNNNNNNNNNNNNNNNNNNNNNNNNNNNNNNNNNNNNNNNNNNNNNNNNNNNNNNNNNNNNNNNNNNNNNNNNNNNNNNNUCAUGUAUUUACUUAUUUUUUAGAGCUAGUUGACCCUGAAAUUGAAAAGCACUACAAAUGAACUCUGAAAAAAUGUUGAAAGUUGGCAAGGUAUCAUCAUUUCAUCCACAUAGCAUGUUCUAAAAAGUUGAGAGGGUUACGACAAAAAUUGGAUGCACUUCGUGUACAAAACGGACAAUCUCUCUCGAAGAAUGAGGGUUUCGAACGAAAACUCAUGUGUUACAAAGCGAUUUCAUUUUUGGAACUUCAUAUUUUUUUGUGUUCAAAAUGCACCAUUCAAAGGCACAUCACAAAUUUUCAACAAUUUAUGACUUCAUUUGGCAUUUUACAUGCAUUUACUUUUUUUGAGCUAGUUGACCCAGAAAUUGAAAAGCAGUACAAAUGAGCUAUGAAAAUGUUGAAAGUUGGCAUGGUAUAUUUAUUUCAACCACAUAACAUGUGGUAAAAAGUUGAGAGGGUUACGACAAAAACUGGAUGCACUUCAUGUACAAAACGGACAAUCUCUCUCGAAGUAUGAGGGUUUCGAACGAGAACUCAUCUAUUACAAAAGGAAUUUCAUUUUUUUGAACUUAUUUGAACUCCAUACUUUUUGUGUCUUCAAAAUGCAUCAUUCAAAGGCACAUCACAAAUUUUCAACAAUUUCUGAUUUCAUUUGGUAAUUUUCAUGCAUUUACUUUUUUUUGAGCUAGUUGACCCUGAAAUUGAAAAGAUCAACAAAUGAACUCUGAAAAUGUUGAAAGUUGGCAUGGUAUCAUAAUUUCAUCCACACAACAUGUGCUAAAAAGUUGAGAGGGUUACGAGAAAAACUGGUUGCACUUCGUGUACAAAACGGAUAAUUUCUCUCAAAGUAUGAGGGUUUCGAAAGAGAACUAAUCUGUUACAAAGGGAUUUCAUUUUCUUGAACUUAUUUAAACUCCAUACUUUUUGUGUGUUCAAAAUGCACCAUUCAAAGGCACAUCAUAAAUUUUCGACUAUUUCUGUUUCAUGUAUUUACUUANNNNNNNNNNNNNNNNNNNNNNNNNNNNNNNNNNNNNNNNNNNNNNNNNNNNNNNNNNNNNNNNNNNNNNNNNNNNNNNNNNNNNNNNNNNNNNNNNNNNGGACAAUGACAAGUGCCAGUUGUGCGGGAUGCAAGAUUCAUGGAGACACUCGCUUAUAGCAUGCUCGGUUGCAAGGUGUGUUUGGGCUCUCGAGGAUGAAGAUAUAGCAGAUUACAUUCAGAAAGCUACAGAUCCUAGAACAAAGCAGUGGUUUUUUGCAACAAUAGAGGAUUUGUCUCAUGCUAGGCUGAUCAAGCUAUCCACGAAGAAAUUUUGCAGAGCCCUCAUGCAACUAAUGCUUUUUUAACAAACUAUAUUGUUGAACUUGCAAGCAUCAAAGAAAAGAAGACACGAGGAACUUGUUCUACCAUGGGUGCCCCCAGGAUUAGGCCGACCCGGUGGAUUGCUCCUGCCCAGGGAGUAGUAAAGAUUCAGGUUGAUGGGGGUAUCUCCAGGAAUGGCACCAAGGGUGCAACGGCAACCAUUUGUCGUUAUCAGAAGGGACUUUUCCUGUGUUCUUCAGCACUGGUUUUCACUGGAGUCAUGGAUCCACCAACUCUUGAAGUUCUCUCGUGUUGGGAAGCUAUGGCUUUAGCGUUUGAUCUGUCCUUGAAUCAAGUUGUUAUUGCUUGUGACUAUGAAGUAGUUAUUAAAGACAUCAAGUCUGGCACAGAGGGAAGAUAUACUUCCAUCAGCAAGGAGAUAAAAAAUGCUGCUCUUAAUUUUACCAAGUGUGAGUUUAUUUUCGAAGGCGAGAAAGGAAUGUUGAUGCCCAUAAUGUAGCUAAAUUUGCUUUUACUUUAGAUGAUGGGCGCCACCUGUGGCCGAGUUCAUCCCAUGACCCUUUUGUCAUACCUGUAAACCGUUCCCCUAAUCAAUAAAGGCUGGUUUACCACUCAAAAAAAAGCUGAUUGUUGCCCUUACGGAGGACCUCUCACUUCAGAAUAUUGUGGUGGCAUGCGAUGGCAAAGUAGUAGUUGAUGACAUACACGGAGGAGAGGGUGGAUCUUAUGUGACAGUCAUUAAGGAGAUUUCCAUGCGCAGAUCUUUUUUCAAUAUUCGUAAGUUUAUUUCUGAGGGUAGAGCAUCGAAUAGCGAUGCACACAAUCUUACUAAGCACUCGUUAUUACUUGAUCGGGGUCGUCACUUGUGGCUCAUUCAUGCCACGACCCUUCUUGUAUCCCUCUUUGUGUCCAAACAGAUCAAUUAAGUUUUGGCAUUUCUCAAAAAAAAAAAAAGAACUUGCCAUAUAAUUUUCCUCAGAUUUUGAGUCGAAUAAGCUAGCCAGCCAGCUUAGCAAAGUUCAAUUGCCCUUCUGUUUGAUUGGAUGAGACCCAUGAUGGCAUUAUCUCUCUGCUUGUUCAUGAUGUGACUUUGAUCACCAAUGAAUAAGAGGGGGUGUGAUUUAACAAAAGACACAAAAAAACUCCGUUCUUUUAGAGAAAACGGCAAAACUCAAGAAGGACCUUAUUGUUUGGGACAUUCAUAAGAGGUAAGCAGCAAAGGCAAAUUAAGAUUGUAGUAUUUGGUACCAUACAACGCGAGGACUGGAAAGAAAGACUUCAUUAUAGUAGUUUUGUUCACAAAAACUAUAUGGCCAACGUUCAGAUUUUAACCUUGCUACUCGAGCACUUCGAGAGUAACUCACUGGUGGAGCUAUUGCAAUGCCAAAUGUGUCAUGUGCUGCAUUUUACAAUUUGUACACUGAUUUUUUCACUUCUCGGUCUUGAAACAUCCGCUCACUGACUAUUUUCUUCGAGUGCGAGAGAGAAAACUUCCCACCCUCGCGUCGCCCCGCUUGGGCGACUCGGAGGCGACAACCCUAGGUCGUCGUCGGGCGCCCCUUCCCGAUGCUCCUCGCUGCCGUGGGGAGUCCUGGACCUGAGCGGCGGCUCCUCUGGUGAGGCUUCGUCGGAUCUGCGGCCUCCGGCGGUGCGGCCGACGGAUUCGGGGUCCCUGUCACUUGGGUGGUGGGAUCUUGGUGGAGGAGGUGAGCGGCUGGUUGCUGCUUUGGCGGCCAGCGACACAAGAUCCCUGGCGUUCCCCUCCCUUGAUUGGCGUGCGGGCACCUCUGGCCAGGUGGUGCCUUUUAUGGUCGCCGUUACCUGAAGAGGGGGUGGCUUGUGGGGUUGGGGCGGCCCUGGCGUAAUCCAUGGCCGGCUUGGCCGGCCGCGCCAACGGCGAUGCGUGCGGGCAUCGUGCCCCUUCCUGGAGGCGUUGGUAUGGACUGCCCCCUCCACUUCCCCUUCCUCUAGGUCUCCGGGUCGAAAGCCCUAACUUUGUUGGGCGGCGACGACGCUUGCAGUGUCGUUCCCUUCUUGAAGGCGUCGCCUUUGGAGCCUUGUAGUUGGGGGCGCUUGUGGUUGGUUGGUGGCACCGGCAGUGUGGCCCUCUUCGUCCUGGUAUGAUGCUCCCCCUCUUCCAGUGCUGGAUGUGUGCAGCGGCCUUGUUCUGCGCAAGAAGAGUCUCCGGUGACUCGUGGGGAUGCGUUGACCCUCUCUAUGUGACCAUCUCCGGCGGCGUCCACCACACCUGUCGACGGUGCGGCGCCUUCGAUCCAGGCGAGGAGGUUGUGGCCUCCUUCGAAGUUGGGUGUUGGAUGCGAUGUGUCGGGGUCCGUAGGUGCAUGGCGACGGCAUGCCAUGCUGAUGUCGGUCCCUCUCUCCUUUGUUCCUGCACGAUCUUGCUUCUGGUGCUAUAUUCUCGGUCGAGGACCUCGGCAUCUUCGGCUUCACCCUUCACUGCUUAUCUUCAGUUGCCGUGGUGUAUGAGGCUUAGUUUCAUGUUGUCCGUCGUUUUUGUAUCUUUCGCCAUGUAUUUUCUUCUUUUUGCUUGAGGGCGUGUGCUUGUAAUCCUGCACGAUUGAUGGCUUUGUUAAUUCAAAGUCGGGCUAGGCUCGAGCCUCAUCUCGGUCUCGGUUGAUGUCUUUUUUAAAAAAAAAACAUAUUUUCUUCGGUUAUGCUUCAGUAUUCUUUUGUUUUUUCUUUGUUUUCUUUCUGUUUCUUUCUCGGCUCAUCACUUGGUUUUCCCCUGUACGUUGGUGGGUUAUUUCCCCAUAUUUUCCUUUUUUUUCAUCAUACAUCAACUUAUCAGUUGAUUUUUUUUCUCCCACGAAGAGUUCUCCUGUUGUAUGUGGGUGGUUAGUCCUUACAACAAAUAUAGCUUGGCAAAGUUACCAAGUUAUAGGUUUCUUCACAAGUAAAAAACGCUGAUGUAUAACUACGUACGUGAAACAUAUUAUAUUAUUAUUAUUAUUAUUACUACUUCAAAUAACAAACAAAUGUAACACACACGUGAAGAAGUCAACUACAUGCUACAUCAAUUUAUUCGGUAACAAACAGAGGAUUAUUUUCUUCCAAAACGGAUGAUGGAGAGAGUUGCCGACGGCAGAGGCUCCCUACUUGAACCUGGCCUUGACGGCGUCGAUGUCUUCGUUAUCAACCCGGAAGGCCUUGGCCAGCACGUCGGUCGGCACCGGCGGUGAGGCAGCCAAGAGCGUGGUGGCGAUGGCUUGGGUGCCCUGAAGCUGGCUGUUGAAGGCGGCGAUGACGGAGGCGGGGCCAUGUCCCCUGUUCUGCUGGAAGUGCACGAGCCCGCGCGGGAAGACGAACACCUCACCGACGGUGACGAACCUAGUGAAGAGCUUGUUGGCGGUGGUGAUGAAGCCCACCUCGAGGGUUCCCUGGGUGACGAAGAUGAUCUCGGUGGCGCGUGGGUGGGUGUGCGGCGGGUUCUGCCCUCCGACCGCGUAGUCGAUGCGCGCCAUGGACACGCCGAGCGUGUUCACCCCGGGGAAUGACUGCACGUUCGCCGCCGUGACGACCGACCCCGCCGGGUUGUUGGUGUUGCCGGCCUUCUUGAGACCGGCGAAGAAGAAGUCGUCCGCCGUGAUGUUCGCCUUGCACGGGAAGCCGUUGAUCUUGAUCGCUGCCGCAAACCAUGCAUUUGGACCAACACGCAGCGUCAGCAAAAGUCAGCGCACGGGAUGCAAGAGCGAGGUUGACAAACUACGAUGAACACAUAAUUUUGCAGGAUGACUCACGGGAUGCCAGGUCGGCGACGCAGACGUCCUGGAGCAUGUCGGGGUCGCCGGCGAGGGAGGGAGCGGCGAGCGCGAGGAGGAUGGCGCAGGCCGCUAGGACGGAAAGCUGAAGCCUGGCCAUGGUGAAUUCGUCAAUGCUUGCUUGCUAUCAGCUUGGUGGUAUAGCUUGGGUCUGGAAAUAGCAGAGGUAGGAGGUGGUACUUGUAGGCAAGGUGGUUCGCGUGUGGAACUACGGAUAGUAUCGCCAUUAUUCAAGGAGGGGUGGCUGCGACGAGGCGACAUGGCCGGAUGGGAGGGGCAUCCAAUUCCAUUAAUUUGGAGCCAAUUCAAUGGGGCUAUACUACUACUACUUGUUUAUGCGCUCCUUGCAGGCUACCAUGUGCCUUCUACACAUGCAUUUCUGAUCAGAUCCACGCUUCAUCCAUUACUAACACUAGGCGUAGGUAAAAUUGAUAAAUUUGAUUCAAAAGCCAAAGAAUUCCAUAAACCGUACCUAAAUAUAAGUCUUUUAAGAUAUUUCACUAGGUAUCUACAUACGAAGCAAAAUGAAUGAAUCUAUACUCUAAAAUAUGUUUAUAUACAUACGUAUGUAGUUCACUAGUUGAACCUCUAUAAAGACUUAUAUUUAGGAAGGGAGGGAGUACGUUUGAAAAAAUUUCACCCAGCCGACCCUUUUGUGUGACGUCUUUAUCUUAAACGUCACACUACACUGUGUGACGUCCGACACUACGUUGUGUGACGUCUGAGACCUAGUGUGACGCCUAAGACAUAAACGUCACACUACACUGUAUGACGUCACACGGUGUAGUGUGGCACCUGACUGUCGGACGCCACAUAAAAGGAUCAGCUGAGUGAAAAAAUUUCAAACAUAGUUUAGUUUGUGAAAUCCUUUAGGUCCUAGGUUAAAUUUAUCAAUUUUGCCCUAGGCGUAUGAUGCGUAUCCUCUCGGAAACUACACCCCUGUUUCGUGGGUAUGGAUCGCCAGGAACAAUGCAGGAUAGCACAUGCGACGGGUGGCAUAUCGAGUAGUUGCACAUGCUAGUUCGUACCGUUGGAUCUCAUACUCCUUCCUGAUUGAUGGCGAGUUGAGUUUCUGCUUCUGGGCGGUUGACCAGUGGAUAUAUUACCCCUUCCUGAUUGAUGGCAAGCCAAGCUAUCUCGGCCAGUAACCAAUUCCACUUGCGUCAGAGAGGAGCCAUUCUGGUCAAGGUCGUCAAUAACUCCAUCCUGAUUUUGCUACAGGCAAGGAGGAGGAGGAGGAUAACUUUUCAUGACUACUUCCUCCGUUUGUAAAUACUGGUCGUAGACAUGGAUGUAUCUAUAUGUAUUUCAAUUUUAAAUACACUCAUUUGUAUUUAAUUUUCAUGGUAAGUAAUUCCGAACGAAGGGAGUAUUUUGCUGGCGAGGCUGAGCUGGAACAGCCCUCCUACAGGGUAGAUUUGAUGUAUAGAAGUACGAAUUGGCGCUGGAAAUCAGGGUGCCCAACACCAUGCCCCAUAUGAGACUUUUUGUUUCUUGUGGGAAUAUUUUUAUCCGGGCUAAACCGAGCACUCAGCCACUGUCCAUAUUCAAAUAUAGCGGACGAAGCAGCAAGGGCGAGGGGACACUUAUGCCAAAGAAUCAGAUGCGGUCCCUCGUGGUUAGUCGUCACAGAGUAAAUCCGUAGCUGUCCGGCCGUCUCUACCACCGACGGCUUGCGUAUUUUUUUUCUUCUAUGAAUAGAUAAUAGAGAAAGUACUACUACAAGGUAAGGUACAACACACUACAUGAUGUUUGCUUACCACCAAAAGGAUACUCCUAGAGGCCAAGUGUGAAACUCUAGAAGUUUUCAAUGUGGUGUAUGAUGAUUUUACCGUCGAAUUUGAAGUGAGGUCAAAAGUUGAUGGUUUUCGAUGGGUGCUUGUGGCAGUUUAUGGAGCAGCUCAACAGGAGCUCAAGAAACUGAAUUUCUUUCAGAUCUUGUGAGGAUCAGUGGAAACGAAGGGCUGCCAAUUUUAGUUAGAGGAGAUUUCAAUAUCAUUCGGAGAAGAGAAAAAUAAUGAUGAUUUUCAUGCUAGAUGGUCAUACAUGUUUAACAUGAUUAUUGAGAGUCUUGACUUACGGAAAAAUGAACUCACCGGUAGACAAUUUACAUGCGCGAAUUCACUACCCAUCACGACGUAUGAGAAGCAAGAUCGGUGAGUGUUGAGUGGGAACAGACGUUUCCUCUUGUGACGGUCCAGGCUCUGCAGAGAGCAGUUUCGGAUCACACUUCACUCCUCGUCGACUCAGGGUAGGCGACACAUGUGGGCAAUAAAAGUGUCUUCUCUAUUGAAUUAGGAUGGUUCGAGAGAGAGGUAUUUUUGGACCUAAUAGCUAAUGAAUGGGCUAAAGAGACUGGAGGGACAUCUAGCAUGGAUAGAUGGCAAAAUAAAGUCAGGCAUUUACGCUAGUCCUUGAGGGGCUCGGCCAAAAAUCAAAGUGGGAUUUACAGAGUAUAAAAAGAAAGACUUAUUCAUCUUAUCAAAGAGUUAGAUCUGAAAGCUGAAGCAUCAGUUCUUAAUAGCUAUGAUCGGAGUAUUAAGUACGAGGCUGGGGAGAAGCUUCGUGCUUUAUUCAGAGAGGAAGAGAUUAAAUGGACACUGAGAGCUAAGGUGUCUACGGCCAUCCAAGGGUAUGACAACACACAAUUCUUCCACAUGAUCGCUAAAGGAAAGCGAAGAAAGAAGAAAAUAAUUCAACUCAAACAAGAUGAUGGUACAAUUGUAGAGCAUGAAAACCUGAAAUUGUAUAUCUCUGAAUAUUAUAAAAAACUGUUCAGAGCUCCCGAAGCUAACUCUAUAUCCCUAGAUGAAAGUGUAACAGAGGACAUUCCUCAACUCAAUAUAAAGAGAAUGGGAUGCUUUCGUCUCUGUUUACCGAGAAAGAGGUGUUUGACGCAAUCAUCCAACUGAAAACAGAACAAGGCUCCAGGACCGGAUGGGUUUCCAGCGGAGUUUUAUAAGAUGUGUUGGCAUGUCAUCAAACAUGAUGUUAUGCCCAUGUUCCAUUAUUUAUUCAAUGGGCAAUUAAAAUUAUUCCACCUAAACUUUGGGGCAAUUACAUUGUUACCAAAGGAGGGGGUUGUAUGCAUUAAGCAGUUCAGGCCGACUUGUUUGCUUAAUGUGUGUUUCAAUUGUUUUUACCAAGGUGGUAACAAAUAUGUUGACGCAGAUAGCCCAUUCGGUUGUACAACAGUCUCAUACAAGUUUCAUGCUAGAUAGGCACAUCCUAGAAGGGGUUGUGGUACUACAUGAAAAACUUCAUCAAAUUCACACCAAGAAACUCGAUGGAGUCAUCUUUAAGGUGGAUUUUGAGAAAGCCUAUGACAAAGUCAAAUGGCCUUUUCUCCAACAAGCUUACGUAUGAAGGGAUUCAAUGAAGCAUGUAGGAAACAGGUUGAUUCAUUUGUUCAGAAAGGUAGUGUUGGGAUAAAGAUGAAUGAUGACAUGGGUCAUUACUUUCAAACUCAUAAAGGUUUAACCCAGGGAGAUUCGAUGUCCCCCAUCUUAUUCAACAUAGUGGCUGAUAUAUUAACAUUUCUCAUAGGACGAGCUAAAGAGAACGAUAUAAUAGGAGGACUAGUACCACAUAUUGUGGAUGGAGUGGUUUCCAUCUUACAAUAUGCGGACGGUACGAUUAUUUUCAUGGAGCAUGACUUCGCAAAAGCUAGAAACAUGAAGUUGGUUCACUGUCAGUUUGAACAAUUAUCGGGACUCAGGAUAAGUUUUCAAAAGAGCGAAUUGUUCUGUUUUGGCCGAGCCAAGGAAGAACAAGAUGCUUACAGAAAACUAUUCGAUUGUGAGAUGGACUCCAUGCCGUUUAGUUAUUCGGGUAUACCUAUUCAUCACCGUAAGCUUACCAACAAGGAAUGAAAGUGCAUAGAAGACCGGUUUGAAAAACGACUAAGCUGCUGGAAAGGAAAGCUUAUGUCUUAUGAAGGUCGGCUAGUGUUAAUAAAUUAUGCGUUGACAAGUUUGUCGAUGUUUCUAUUACCAUUCUUCGAAGUACUAGUAGGGGUAGCGAAAAGACUUGACUUCUAUAGAUCUAGAUUAUUUUUGGCAAAAUGAUGAAAGUAAGACGAAAUAUAGACUGGCUAAAUGACACAUGAUGUGUAGACGCAAAGAUCAGGGUGGAUUAGGAAUUGAAAAUUUACAAACUAAAAAUAGAUGUCUUUUCAGCAAAUGGGUGUACAGACUCUCUGUGGAGGCAAAAGGUACGUGAAUACAAAUUUUGCGUAAUAAGUACCUACAAACAAAGUCCCUGGCUCAAGUUACAGUGAAACAUUCGGACUCACAAUUCUGGAAAGGCUUAAUGAGGACAAAAGAAGCUUUUUUCAUAGAGUCAAGUUUCACAUUGAGAAUGGUAACAAAAGCAGGUUUUGGAAAGAUGCGUGGUUAGGGGAGAUGCCCCUGGCUACACAAUAUCCAUUUUUAUAUAACAUCGUGGAACGCAAAGAGGCCUAUGUGGCUACAAUUUUGCAGACUGUCCGUAUGAAUAUUCAAUAUAGGAGAUCUCUGGUAGGGGAACGAUAGAGUGCGUGGCUCCACUUGGUACAUAGAUUGAUGGAAGUUCAACUUCCGGACCAACCAGACACAAUUCAUUGGAAAUUAACUACAAGCAGUAGUUCCUUCGACAAAUCAAUGUAUCUAGACCUUAUUAAUAACGGGCCAAUACCUACUUCUCCAUACAUUUGUAAAAUAAAAAUACCGCUUAAGAUUAAGAUCUUUAUGUGGUUUGUUCACAGAGGAGUGAUACUUACAAAAGAUAAUUUGAUUAAGCGAAGAUGGGUGGGUAAUUCUAGAUGUUGUUUUUGUGAUCUGUCGUGGGUAUAAGUCUGACAGUAGAUGUGUAGGGUACGAAAGGAUGGGCAGAGCCUUAGCUACGGCGAGGUUGUAUGAGUUCAGGCCCCUCUACGGUGGAGGUAAUAGCCCUACGUCUCAGUGCUCUGGGAGCNNNNNNNNNNNNNNNNNNNNNNNNNNNNNNNNNNNNNNNNNNNNNNNNNNNNNNNNNNNNNNNNNNNNNNNNNNNNNNNNNNNNNNNNNNNNNNNNNNNNNNNNNNNNNNNNNNNNNNNNNNNNNNNNNNNNNNNNNNNNNNNNNNNNNNNNNNNNNNNNNNNNNNNNNNNNNNNNNNNNNNNNNNNNNNNNNNNNNNNNNNNNNNNNNNNNNNNNNNNNNNNNNNNNNCCCUCCACAACGGUUCGGUGCACAGGGGUGGAGUAGUGGCGAAUAAAUGCCUACGUUACAGGUAACGUAUGUCUUGAAUGCUAAUAAAGGCACAUGGAAACGUACAACCAUUUCCCUCUAGGGGGGUUACGAUGCACAGAGUGGAAUCCAGUCGGUUAAUUUGUUACACUCCGAAUGCUCAUCUCCGACUGGAUGGUGGAGGAUUUGUUACCGACUGGAUGAUGGGAAGUCCAUAAGACAGUCGGAACUGACUAAGGGUCUUAUCCCUUAUGAAGGGUAGUCCUUGGGUAGGACUUAUAGGGCAGGCCUAUGACCCUAUCCUAGGACUAUAACCCCAUCAUUAGUCCCCGAAUGGAUUGGGGUUGGAACGACGAAGCGAUGUUUGAAGUAUGGAUCCGACUGGUACGGAUGCGACUUUGGCGCUGCUUGCCUUGAUCCAUUUUGUCUUCUUUGUCCAACGAUCCGAGUCGAAGUAUUUGUGAAGCGAACUGUCGGGAACCGAGUGCUUCCGUGGUAUCUUCUGACGUGACCAGUCAACUCACAGCGGCGGAUUUUCCGGGAUCCUCAAAUUUCGGUUGCCGCGCGCUCAGUGGGGAUGACGACAUCGCGCUCGAGUAGUACCUGACGCCUCGAUUUCGCCGCGACCGGUCGGGGGAUAAGAUUUCGGGGCCACUUGCGAGUGACCCAGUCGGAACCUUAUUUAAACCUCAGCGGCGAGGGUUUUUUCGUUACACUCGCCGGAUAACUUGCCUUUGCCUGCCCCACUUCUCUCGCCACCUCCUGCGCAUCCCAAGCUCCUUCCUUCUUCUUCUCCCUCGCGGAUCAGCAGCCUUCGCCAUGACAAAGGGGCAGACUAGCAAGCUAGAGGUGAAGAAGAAGAAGGGGAAGACGGCAGCUCCUACCCAGCGGCGGCAGCGCACGCUACCGGCGGGGUGGAUCCAGGGGGAUUUCCUCCCCUCCACGGUGACGGAGGAGAACCUGUUGGAGUUGGUGGAGCAUGGGAUGAUUGCGCACAAGUCGUGGAGGUUGCCGGUGGAAGGCGAGACCGAGUCGGCGCCCCGGGAGGGGGAGCGCGUCUUGCUGCUGAGCCAUGUGUACAGAGGUUUCUCUCUGCCUCCUCACCCCUUCUUCAAAGGUAUCAUGAACCACUUCGGGGCGCAGCUCCACCAUUUUCCUCCCAAUGCCAUAGCUCAUCUCUCUGCCUUCGUUGUGCUGUGCGAGUGUUUCAUCGGCUGUCCUCCCCAUUGGGGGGCUUUUCAAACAUAUCUUCUCUGCUAGAUCCCAGACCAUCAAACGGCUUAGCCAGUCGGAUGACAAAACCCACCUUCUCCAGCUCUGCGGAGGCUUAGGCUUCCAAAAGAAAAGUAAAAGUAGCUAUCCUGCUCUGUAGUUGAGUGAACCUAUUAGGAACUGGCAGUCGACAUGGUUCUACUGCCAGGACGUUGCUUGCCCGAAUGCUACCACCGGACUCCCCCCUUUUAGCUUAGACCGACCGGCUCCUCCUAGGCAGCUCGCGCUCACGAAGGCGGAGAAAACCCAGAUCCAGCCUCUGUUCGAUGCGCUUGUAGAGGUCGUCCGAAGGGGAGUCACUGGCAUAGAUUUAAUGGAGGUUUUCCUGGGUCGGCGUAUCCAGCCUCUGCAAGCUUGAGACCACGCCAUGUGGCAUUACACAGGGCCUGAGGACUCCACUCGGACUAACGUCGAGUGCGUGACCGGGGAGAUGGUGGCGUCGUGGGUCCUCAACAUCACCGGCGCCUGCGAAAACCCUAGAGGAGCUCGGCGAGUGAAGGCCUUCCGGGCGGGCAACCCUCCUCCAAACGCAGUGAGUACAACUUGUCGAGCGUACACAACUGUCUUAGAUUUAUUGCUUCCUUGAAUCACUGUCUGACGUCUAAUGUCGUCGACUGUAUCUUGUGCAGGAGUGGACUAACUGGUUUUCUCCCGUCUCGAAUGGGAAUCCGGCCGAGGAGGAGGAAGGCAGCCAGGAGGGCAGCGUGGAGAGCGGCGAGUACGUCUCCGACAGUGGGGAGACGGAAGAGGAGUCCGCAGAAGAAGAAGAGGCAGAUGAGGAGCAGAACUCACCACCUCCACCGCCAGAGCCUCGGACUAAGCGUCGUCAUGAACCUGUGGUUCCUCCAGCUCCUCCAGCAUCCUCAAGUGUGCCGCCAGCUCCGCCAGCUGCUCCUGUGGUACCGAGUGCUUCGCCAGCUGUUCCCGUGGCUCCGAACGUUCGGAGCACAAAGAGGACCAGGGACUCUGCUGCUGAACCUGUGGGUCAGCCCUCUAAGGUAGCUAAACCGAGUGGAUCUAAGCCUCGGAAGGCUCUGCCGCGGAUGAGGGUCACAGUUCCCGUCACCUCAACGUAAGUGCAUGGUUCUUCUAUCUUCUUCCGGUAUUUGAUUGAACUCCUGCUUAUUGGUCGAAUGAAUUUCACUCGACAGAGUUGCCACCUCUGCCACCUCUCCGGCACGCCAGGGGGACGAUCCCAUGGACAUGGACAACAUUGUCACAUCCCAGCCAGGUGCGUCAUAGCGAUUCCGAGAGUUUACAUUAUUGCAUCACGAAUUCUGUCUUUGGUCUUGCCUUUUUCCCUGUGAUCUCACGUCGUUCGGUCGGGUUUCCCUCAGGGGUGAUUUAUGUGGAGGAGGGCGACCAGGGGAGGUCUGAGCAAGCUGCGGUGCCUGUCCUUGAGGCUAUUCCGCCGGUUGCUACUCUCGCCAUGGACGCGCCGCCGACUGAGGCGAUGCUGUCGACUGAAACGACGUUGGUUGCUGCUGAACCGACUAGAGCAGGUCUUGGGAUGCCCAAGGAGCCUCCUACGAUGCCGGGCCCGUCGACUGUCGAGUACAACGUCCAGCGCCUCCUAGAAGAUCAGGUGGGAGCUGCCAAGGGGGCCGUGGUGCAGGCGGAGCUGAUGGCUGGAGAGGCCAAGAAGGCGUACGACUCCAUCGCGUCCUUGUACAAGCGAAGCUUGGAACUGCGGGACGAUAUCCGAGUAAGUGGGCUAGUAAGUAUUUACUUUCCUCUUGUAACCCACUGGGUGUGCUUGGAUAGCGUAUGAUUUUUUGCAAUGGGUUCACUCGUAGUGAACCCAGUGGGUGUAGUCCCCGAGACUUCUGUCGGGUGCUUGCACCGGCAGUUGUCUUUAUGCAUGUUCUUUAACUUGAUCAGAUCAAAAAUUAAUCUGUUCGAAUGUUAACAGUUGGGGCACUCGGAGUGCACCUACUGGAUGAGUCCCCGAGAGUAAUUUUACUCAGGUCGGGUAGUAGUAGCCUCAUAGGCUUAUUUGUUGUCAUGUAGCUCAAUAGGGCGGACAUGUUUGAGUUUCAUGCCAGUGGGGUCACUCUUAGUGAACCCACUGGGUGUAGUCCCCGAGACCACUGUCGACUGCUUGCGUCGACAGGGGUCUGAAGAACUUAGAAUUUUUAUUGUUGUCCUUGUUGAAUUUGUCUGACCGUCUCUUGGCGCUGACUUGCAGAAAACUUGCGAGAUGGGGACAGCGUAUGAGACUCUGAGGCUGAAAAGGUUCAGUUUGCUGGUGAACUGGAUGCAGCAAUGGUUGCAAUGGCUGGUAUGAAGGAUGUUCUGGUGGAACGAGAAAAGUCCUUGGAGCAGGCCCGUGAGGCAAACAAGGCAUUGACUGCUGAAGUGGAGAAAAUGGGGAAACAAAGGACGGAACUGAUGGGGCAGAUGAAAAUGUUGAACAGGCGGUGCAUAGCACAGGAAAAUUACGUCAGUGACUGGGCCCGGAAGAUGAUAGCGCUUCUCGGUGGUAAGUUCUAUUUUUCCGAGUGCUUGUGGACUGUGCAUUUCAUUCUGCGCUGACUGUUUGCUCGUCCUGUCUUUGCAGAUUUUUGCAUGGACGCGGAGGUUGAAGCGGCUGACGUUGAGCGGUCGAUUCUUGAGAACAUUCCACUCGGCGAGGACGCCAAUCGAGAUCUGCUCCGAGCGCACAUUCGCCUGGGCAAAGUUGGACCUUUCAUCGGUCGACUGAGAGAAGUCGUCGGCCGAAUUGACAAGGAGCUUUGGCCUGAAGACGAGUCUCGGCACGAGAUGGAAGGCUUGAUGACUCGGCUGGAGGAGGUCCCGAACCGAGUGCAGGCGUGGAAAAAGUCUGCGGCUCGCUGUGGUGCGGACGUCGCUCUGUCUUUGGUCCGAGUGCAUUGCAAGGAGGCGCGCAAAGAGAAGCUGAAGGCGUUGUAGGUCGCCAACACGAAAAAGCUUCGAUUCGAAGACUUCAUGGAGACCUUCCUUGAGAGCGCCACCCGCAUCACCGACGGGAUCGACCUCGACACGUUCGUAGAGCCUGCCAGUCCUGACGACGUUUGAGAAAACUUUUACCUCGGUAUGCCGAGUGUUGGUUGUAAGAAACUUUGGCCACUGUUGUUGGCCGCCACAUUCUUGGUUCGGUGUGGAUAAGCUUGAUCUACACCGAGCCAACUAUCCUUAGGUGAACAUUGAAUUUGAAUCGAAUCUUUUUCUCUUCUUUUGCCAAAGAGUUGUUGAUACGAUUUUGGCUCGUGGUGUUUGUUUGGCGUUUCUUGGUGAAGCCAAUGGCAAACAUGCGGAGCAUGUAAUUGUCAGUUGUCUUGACAUCUGCAUGAGCCUCACUGAGGGUCUGCUGAGUGUCCGAGUGGAUCUGUAGGAUACACUCAAAGGCAAUAGAGUACUUAGGCGAUUCGGGAUCGCGGCUAAGUCUUCGAGUGCGACUGUGAGGUCGUACUCGGAGCGAGUUGUUACUCAUGUAAUUGUCAGUGGUCUUGACAUCUACAUGAGCCUCAAUGAGGUUCUGCUACUCAUGUAAUUGUCAGUUGUCUUGACAUCUGCAUGAGCCUCACUGAGGGUCUGCUACUCAUGUAAUUGUCAGUGGUCUUGAGAUCUACAUGAGCCUCAAUGAGGGUCUGCUACUCAUGUAAUUGUCAGUUGUCUUAACAUCUGCAUGAGCCUCAAUGAGGGUCUGCUACUCAUGUAAUUGUCAGUUGUCUUCACAUCUGCAUGAUCCUCAAUGAGGGUCUGCUAAGCCUCCGAGUGGAUCUGUGAGAUACACUCAAAGGAAGCUUUCUUUUUAAGCGAUUCUUAAUCGCAGUUAAGUCCUCGAGUGUGACGGUUAGUGCACGCGUGGAGAAAAUUUGUACUUAGGCGAUUCUUGAUCGCAACUAAGUCUCCGAGUGCGACGUGAAGUGCACACUCGGAGAAAGUUAAUACUUAGGCGAUUCUNNNNNNNNNNNNNNNNNNNNNNNNNNNNNNNNNNNNNNNNNNNNNNNNNNNNNNNNNNNNNNNNNNNNNNNNNNNNNNNNNNNNNNNNNNNNNNNNNNNNNNNNNNNNNNNNNNNNNNNNNNNNNNNNNNNNNNNNNNNNNNNNNNNNNNNNNNNNNNNNNNNNNNNNNNNAAGUGCACACUCGGAGAUAGUUUGUACUUAGGCGAUUCUUGAUCGCAGCUAAGUCCCCGAGUGCGACGUGAAGUGCACACUCGGAGAUAUUUAGUACUUAGCCGAUUCUUGAUCGCAGCUAAGUCCCCGAGUGCGACAUUUAGUGCACACUCGGAGAAAGUCAAUACUUAGGCGAUUCUNNNNNNNNNNNNNNNNNNNNNNNNNNNNNNNNNNNNNNNNNNNNNNNNNNNNNNNNNNNNNNNNNNNNNNNNNNNNNNNNNNNNNNNNNNNNNNNNNNNNNNNNNNNNNNNNNNNNNNNNNNNNNNNNNNNNNNNNNNNNNNNNNNNNNNNNNNNNNNNNNNNNNNNNNNNNNNNNNNNNNNNAGUGCACACUCGGAGAAAGGUAGUACUUAGGCGAUUCUUGAUCGCAGCUAAGUUUUUUUUUUGAGACCGGAGUCUGCGACCGCGGAAGAAUUUUGAAUCUGCAAAAACUCGAUCUGCUUUGUAUUAUUUCACCAAUACUUGUUCUUUACAUUGCUUCAGUCGACGGUCACGUGUAGAAGCGCUUCAGGAGAUCUCCGUUCCAUGCUUGCGGCUCGUCUGUUUCCCUGUCGAUGUUGUAGAGUCUGUAUGCUCCGUUGUUCAGCACCUUGGAGAUGAUGAAGGGUCCUUCCCAGGCGGGAGCCAACUUGUGAGGUCUUUGCUGAUCCACCCGGAGCACCAGGUCGCCUGCUUGGAAUGUACGACUCCUGACGUGUCGCGCGUGAAAGCGCCGCAGAUCUUGCUGAUAAAUGGUUGAGCGAGUGAGUGCCAUCUCGCGCUCCUCCUCUAGAAGGUCCACUCUGUCUUGCCUUGCUUGUUCUGCUUCAGCUUCGGAGAAGAGUUCGACUCGUGGAGCAUUGUGAAGCAAGUCACUCGGAAGGACCGCUUCUGCUCCGUAAACGAGGAAGAACGGGGAUCGCCCCAUAGAUCUAUUCGGGGUUGUGCGGAGACCCCAAAGCACUGAAGGUAGCUCGGCGACCCAUGCGCCAGCGGCAUGUCCCACCUCUCGCAGGAGCCGGGGCUUCAAACCUUGUAGAAUAAGUCCAUUCGCCCGCUCUGCUUGUCCGUUUGUUUGAGGAUGCGGCACAGAUGCAAAAUCCACUAGGAUACCUUGGCUUGCACAGAAACCUUUGAAUCUGUCCGAGUCAAAGUUUGUCCCGUUGUCCGUGAUUAUGCUGUGAGGUACUCCGAAUCUGGAGAUGAUGUCCCUGACAAACUUGAUGGCUGUUAGGGCGUCGAGCUUCUUGAUGGGCUUGCCUUCAAUCCAUUUUGUGAACUUGUCGACUACCACCAACAGAUGUGUGUAUCCCCCUUGGCCUGUCCUGAAUGGACCGACUGUAUCUAAUCCCCAUACUGCAAACGGCUAAACAGGAGGGAUUGUCUUCAACGCAGAUGUUGGCUUGUGGGACUUGUUGGAAUAGAAAUGAUAGCCUUCACAUCGGUCGACCAUAUCUUUAGCCAUUUCGUUCGCCUGCAGCCAGAAGAAGCCAGCUCUGAGUGCUUUGGCGACGAUUGCUCUUGAAGAGGCGUGAUGACCGCAGGUUCCCGAGUGAAUUUCUUCCAGGAUUAAUUGUCCUUCCUCAGGGAAGAUGCAUCGUUGAAGAACGCCUGAAACGCUUUCCCUGUACAACUGGCCAUCAAUGACAGUGAACGACUUUGACCUGCGGACGAUCUGCCUGGAUUGGACUUCGUCUUCUGGUAAUUCCUGCCUCCGGAUGUAUGCAAUGAUCGGCAUAGUCCAAUCGGGGAUAACAGCAAGAACCUCCAUGAUCAAAUCAACCACAGCUGGUACGUCGACUUCAGUCGGAUCUGUCAAGCUCUUUGGUUGUACUGGUUCCUCUGUGAAAGGAUCUUCUUUAACUGCGGGGAGGUGGAGGUGCUCGAGGCAGACGUCACUCGGGACUGGUCUCUGAGUGGACCCGAGUUUUGCCAACUCAUCAGCCGCUUGGUUCUUCAGUCGCGGAACAUGGUGGAGUUCUAGACCUUCAAACUUCUUCUCGAGCUUCCUCAAUGCAUUGCAGUAUGUGGUCAUGGUGGGGUUCCUGACGUCCCACUCUUUCAUCACUUGAUUAACCACCAAAUCCGAAUCGCCAUAGACCAUCAGGCGACGGAUGCCGAGUGCGAUGGCCAUGCGCAGUCCAUAAAGGAGAGCUUCAUACUCUGCCUCAUUGUUGGAGGAAUCAAAGUGUAUCUGCAGCACAUACUUGAGUUUGUCGCCCUUAGGUGAUAUGAUCACAACGCCAGCGCCGGAGCCGUUCAACAUCUUGGACCCAUCGAAGAACAUUGUCCAAUGAGCCGAGUAGAUGUGGGUCGGUUGCUGUUGUUCUACCCAUUCUGCUAUGAAGUCCGCCAGAGCUUGAGACUUUAUAGCUUUCUUGGCCUCGAACUUGAUGUCGCAGUACAACAUCUCCAUUUCCCACUUCGCCACUCGGCCUGAUGCGUCCCGAUUGUGGAGGAUUUCCAACAACGGAGCAUCAGAAACGACGGACACCGAGUGGUCUUGGAAAUAGUGAGCCACCUUCUUCGCAGUCAUGUAAAUCCCGUAGAAAAGUUUUUGAUAGUGGGGAUACCUCUGCUUGGAAGGAGUCAGGACUUCGGAGACGUAAUACACUGGCCGCUGAACUUUGUAUGCUUUUCCUUCUUCUUCUCGUUCGACUGUGAGAACAGUGCUGACGACUUGAUUUGUAGCCGCGAUGUACAAAAGAAGGGGCUCUUUACUGAGCGGAUCAGUAAGAACCGGCUGGGUGGAAAGUAGGACUUUGAGGUCGUCGAGUGCAACUUGGGCUUCAUCUGUCCACUCGAAAGUAUCUGAUUUCUUCAUGAGUCGGUACAGAGGAAGUGCUUUCUCGCCGAGUCGACUGAUAAACCUGCUCAAAGCCGCUAGGCAACCUGUGAGCCGUUGAACAUCGUGUAUUCUGACCGGCCGCUCCAUUCGGACGAUUGUCCCGAUCUUUUCGGGGUUGACAUCGAUCCCUCGUUCAGAAACGAAGAAACCGAGUAACUUUCCGCUAGGAACGUCGAAUGAACACUUGGCGGGGUUGAGCUUGAUAUCGUACCUACGAAGGUUGGCGAAUGUUUCUGCCAAGUCAGUCAGCAGGUCGGAACCUUUGCGUGACUUGACUACGAUAUCAUCCAUAUACGCCUCCACAUUCCGACCGAUCUGGUCGAGGAGGCAUUUUUGGAUCAUGCGCAUAAAGGUUGCUCCUGCAUUCUUCAAACCAAAUGGCAUAGUGAUGUAGCAGAAGCACCCGAAUGGGGUGAUGAAGGCGGUUUUUAAUUCAUCGGGGCCAUACAGACGGAUCUGAUGAUAGCCCGAGUAGGCAUCAAGAAAUGACAAAGCUCACAACCCGCAGUCGAAUCGACAAUUUGAUUGAUGCGGGGGAGCGGAAAAUGGUCUUUCGGGCAGACCUUAUUGAGAUGCUUGAAGUCGAUGCACAUUCGGAGCGACUUGUCCUUCUUGGGCACCAUGACAACAUUGGCGAGCCACUCGGAGUGGUGUACCUCGCGAAUGAAGUUGGCUACCAAAAGCUUGGCCACUUCUUCUCCGAUUGCCUUCCUCUUGUGCGCGGCGGACCGUCGCAGGCGUUCUCGAACAGGUCGAGCGGUGGGAUCCACAUGCAGUCGGUGCUCAGCCAACUCCCUGGGUACACCUGGCAUGUCAGAAGGCUUCCAUGCGAAGAUGUCCCAGUUCUCACGGAGGAAUUGGAUGAGCUCGGCUUCCUAUUUAGGAUCGAGGGUGAUGGAGAUGUUCGUCGGGGCAGCGGUGUCGUCUGUCGGGUGGAUGCUGACCUUCUUCGUCUCUUCCGCCGACUGGAAUGCGGACUCCGAAGCUGGCUUCUUCGAACGCAUCAAGUCAGCGGGGUCGACCGUUUUCUUGUACUCGUCAAGCUCGAGGAUAGCCAUCUGUUGAUCGGCGAUUCUUGAUCCCUGCUUCAGACACUCCUCGGCCCGCUGUCGAUUGCCUGUGAUAGUGAUCACACCUUUCAGGCCUGGCAUCUUUAGAUUCAGGUACACGUAACAUGGGUGGGCCAUGAAACGCGCAUACGCCGGGCGGCCCAGAAUUGCGUGGUAAGCGCUCUGGAAGUCCACCACCUCGAACGUCAGCUUUUCCUUGCGGAAGUUCUUGUCGGAGCCGAAAAUGACGUCCAACGCGAUCUGGCCGAGUGACUUGGCCUUUCGUCCAGGGACGACUCCGUGGAACUGCAUGCUGCUCUCGCUGAGUUUGGACAUCGGAAUGCCCAUCCCCUUGAGAGUGUCAGCGUACAUGAUGUUCAAACCACUGCCGCCGUCCAUGAGGACUUUGCGCAGUCGAACUCCUUCCACCACCGGGUCGACGACCAGAGCUUGCCUCCCUGGGAUGGGCACGUGUGUUGGAUGAUCUGACUGGUCAAAGGUGAUCGCAGUCUGAGACCAUUUGAGGAACUUGGGGUUGGUCGGCGUGGCCAUGUUCACCUCCCUGUUCACCAGCUUCAGUCGGCUCUUGCUCUCAACGUCAGCAAAAAUCAUCAGUGUUGCAUGGACUUGGGGGAACGGAUCCUCCUUAUCCUCCUCAUCCUGUUCAUUGCCUUUUUCACUCAGUUGCCCUUUGCCGAACCCCUGAAGCAGGAGGCGACAUUGCCGAGUGGUAUGCUUCGGAUAUAUGGCGUUGCCCUCUUCAUCCAUCUUCGUGUGGAUCGGACAUGGCUGGUCCAGGAUGGGGUUGUUGAACUGCUUCUUCUUGGGGGUGAACUGAGCCUUCCCUUUGCCCUUGAACUUGGCAUUGGUAAGAACUGCGACUUCUGCCUGCGGAGUGGGCGGAGCUUUCUGCUUCUGCUUCCGAGUGUUAUUCCCAUCUCCAUCGGCGACUGUUUUGUGCUUGCCGCUACAGAUGCGGUCCUCUUCUUCGCCAUUUGCAUAGCAUGCUGCUAUCUCCAUCAUCUUGCUCAUGGAGAUGUCGCCUGUUCGACCGAACUUCAGGUACAGAUCCUGGUACCGCACACCUGCCUUGAAGGCGCAGACUGCUUGGUGUUCUGUGACGUUCUCCACCGUAUGGUAGAGGGUCGUCCAACGCUGAAUGAAAUCGCGCAGGGGCUCAUUCUGCUUCUGGACACAGUGCUGGAGCUCCACGAGGCCAGCAGGGCGCUUACACGUCCCUUCGAAGGUCCUGACGAACACUCGGGCCAGAUCUCCCCAGCUGUAGAUGCUUGAGGGGGCCAAUUGGGUCAGCCACGCUCGCGCCGAGCCGUCGAGCAUCAGAGGGAGGUGCUUCAUGGCGACGUGGUCGUCCCCUCCUCCGAUCUGGACUGCCACUCGGUAGUCAUCCAGCCACGUUUCUGGCUUAGACUCUCCUGUGAACUUGCUGAUCCCCGUCGCCAAUCGGAAUUUGGGAGGGAUGUCAGCCGAACGGAUGGUCCUGCUUCCACUCGGACGGUCAAUAUCGUGACCAUCGCGGUGGGCUCGGCCCCUGUCGACCCUUCACUGGGCGAUAUGCCCUCUCGCGUCGGGCCUUGGAUCGUAAGUGUCGCCGACUGAACGCCGAUCAUCAUGAUGUCGGGGCCCGUAGGGCCCACCCCGCGGAGGGGUGCGUGAACGGCAACGAUCUUCGGGGUUCAUGGAACGGCUGCCUCCCCUGGGUCGCUGAUGAGAACCAGGGCUGUGAACUGACCGAUGCGUGUUCGCAUGGACAGAACUAUUGUGGAUCAUGUUGUGCGACUCGGAGACCGCCGAGUUUUGCUGCUGCGCCGUGUGCAACAGGGCGCGGAUUUGCUCGAUCCCCCUGCCAGCCUCUGAAUCAGUCGGCUGAAGGGAAUCGACUAUCUUGGCAGCGGCAGCCAAGUUGAGGAUGGGUGUGCGGAACAACUCCACGUUGCUCCGCCGAGUGUGCCGGCUGGCAGAACGGCGAGGUGGACGGUGAGCGCCGGAUGUUUCGCCGAUCUCGUGCUCGUUCCGGCUAGUUUGGCGGGGACUUUCGUGGGAGUUGGCCAUGUGUACUUCUGCUGCAGGCCCGCGACCCAAGUACUCGGAAGGAAACUCAGUCGGAACCGAGUCCCAGCGCUGGGACGGCGGGGCAACCACAACUGACUCUAGGACCGCCACUUGUGAAGAUGCGUUCUGGCGCGCCGGUGCGUGUUGCACCCAACGCUGGAGCCGCGGAUGGCGGGACCGCUUGUUGCGGCGCGUGACGGUGGUGUAGGUCGACACCGGAGCCGACUGCUGGAGAAGAAGAAUGCCGCGGGCGCCGGCACGGAAAUGCGAAGCUCCGCGACGGGGAAGCGGCUCGACGUCGAGAGGGGCGUCCCGAAGCCAUGCUGAAUCAUCGACGAUGAAGGAGAGAGCACCGAAGAGGAUCUCGUGACCCAUGCUCGAAUCUCCACCGAAUGACAUGACGAAAAGAUGUAGUCGCAAACUCGCCGGAAGUCGCUUAGACGCCUGCCCCACGGUGGGUGCCAACUGUCGUGGGUAUAAGUCUGACAGUAGAUGUGUAGGGUACGAAAGGAUGGGCAGAGCCUUAGCUACGGUGAGGUUGUAUGAGUUCAUGCCCCUCUACGGUGGAGGUAAUAGCCCUACGCCUCAGUGCUCUGGGAGCNNNNNNNNNNNNNNNNNNNNNNNNNNNNNNNNNNNNNNNNNNNNNNNNNNNNNNNNNNNNNNNNNNNNNNNNNNNNNNNNNNNNNNNNNNNNNNNNNNNNNNNNNNNNNNNNNNNNNNNNNNNNNNNNNNNNNNNNNNNNNNNNNNNNNNNNNNNNNNNNNNNNNNNNNNNNNNNNNNNNNNNNNNNNNNNNNNNNNNNNNNNNNNNNNNNNNNNNNNNNNNAGUGCGCUACCCUCCACGACGGUUCGGUGCACAGGGGUGGAGUAGUGGCGAAUAAAUGCCUACGUUACAGGUAAUGUAUGUAUUAAAUGCUAAUAAAGGCACAUGGAAACGUACGACCGUUUCCCUCCAGGGGGUAUGAUGCACAGAGUGGAAUCCAGUCGGUUAGUUUGUUACACUCCGAAUGCUCAUCUCCGACUGGAUGGUGGAGGAUUUGUUACCGACUGGAUGAUGGGAAGUCCAUAAGACGGUCGGAACUGACUAAGGGUCUUAUCCCUUAUGAAGGGUAGUCCUUGGAUAGGACUUAUAGGGCAGGCCUAUGACCCUACCCUAGGACUAUAACCCCAUCAUGAUCACAAUGAGACUAUUAAACACUUUUUUCUCCAGUUUCCAUUGGCUAGACUUCUACGCUUACUAUUCAUGUAGCCUUCAAUAUAAACCCUCCAAUAAGUAUGAACACAUUAUUUGGGACGUGGCUUAAUGGAGUGGACGUUAAUUUAUCUAGAUAAAUUCAAAUAGAAAUUUGUGCAAUGCUUUGGGCUAUAUGAAACUGCAGGAGUGACAUGAUAUUUAAGAGGAAGAACGUCGCCAAUUUCUUGCAGGUUAUCUACAGAGCUACCGCAUGGAUCCGUACAUGGUCGUUACUCACACAUGUGGAGUCCAGGGAGCUUUUGGUUACUAGGUGCAACUAGUGGGAGACGACAACAUGGAUUAUCUUCAACCGAUAUGGAUGACGGCAAACUAAUAGGGUAGGUGUUUAGCCAUCGUAGCCUGCUUUUAUCAUGCCACAUUGGCAUGUAUUUUCCUUUUAUUUUCAGCUCUUUGAGCUCCACUUUGGAUACUAUAGUUUCGGUGAACUUUUUUGGCUUAAUAAAAUGGCAGCAUGUAUCAUCAUGAUGCAGAGGCCCGGGAGCAUCCCCUUUAUUUAAAAAAAAACUACAUGAUACAAGAAGACAUGAACAUAGUACUCGGAGCAGACAGAAAAGGAAUACUCAGCCCAAACAAUUGACACGCAUGUGAGCGCGCGCACACACACUGCUAAACCCGUCUAGCCUCCCCUUCACCUAUACAGGGUAAGGAGAUGCGGGUUCACGAGACCCAGACCGCAUCAAGACUAACACGAGGCACCACAACCGAGCGGCCACGACUCAAUGCUCAAUUACAUAAACGUACAUCCGUCUAAACCGCCAAGAGAUCGGCGAGUAAGUAACAGGACCUGGCCAGGCCGGAGGCGGAAGCCCACGUAAACAUCGCCGAGGACAUGCAUAGGGCCCAAAAUGUCCAUGCCUUGAUAGGCGGCCCACCUUUACAUUUUCUCCAAAAUAAAUGCCCAAAUUUUGAAAUUACAUGAACAUUUAAUAAAGCAUUGGAAAUUUUAGAAGUUAUUCAAACCUUUUUGAAAAAAUACAAUAUAAUUUUUUGAAAGAUGAAAACACCUUUUGAAAUUAUAUGAACUUUUCAAAAAUUUGUGACAACUUUUCAAAUCACACAUAAUUUUUAAAUACGUAACUUAUUUUCUUACUUACUAAAAAAGAAAUAACGGCUUUCAUUUUUUUUGAACUUUCAAAAAGACCAUGAAAUUUAUAAAUAGUCAAUACGGUUAAAUAAUUUUCAAACAUUUUAGAAAUAUUCACACAUUUGAAAACUGUUCAAUUAUUUUGUAACAAAAUCAUUCACGCAAAAAAAGGGUUCAUAUCCGUAAAAUCUUCAUGAUCAAGGGAAAAAAUAAAUAAAAUUUUGCAUUAAAAUAAUGAAAAUGAGAAAAAAGUAAACAUUACUAGGGAAAAAGAAAAAUAAUAUAGUAUAAACGAAAUAAAUCCGUCUUACAUGGUACAAAACGACAGGAAAAACACGUCAUGUACAAAACCAUGGAAACCGAGAGAGAUCCAAAGAAAACAGUUUUAGCGGUGAGGUGCGAGAUGAGAGAAAGAACAGAGAAAAGCUUAAUGGGAUGGCUGCCCGAUUUCUUCAAUUUUGCUAGUCCCCAUUGCUACAAGUUCGCAUAAGUGUUCCUCUGUUUUGAAUGCAACAGAUUUUUUUUUCUUUUGAGAAAUGAAUGGACCGGAACAAGAAAUAAGUUUGGACCCUGCGCCAGGAUAUGCGAAUAUACCUCGCCUGACGCGAAGAUGGAAACCAGGCUCGCCCGUGCAGCGCCGUCACAUUGGGACAGGCGGGCCGCCAGGAGGCUAUAUAAGACUCACUGCUCGAUUUGUUCAACAAAACGUACACUUUUCUUAGUGGCUGGAGCUAAUUAAUGCCGUGCGGCCAUGAUCGAAUCCGGCAGUGUACAUUUUUUUUUAAAUAGUAAUACAUUCAGCAAAAUUUAAAAAACACCUUGCAUAAUUUUAAUAAAAAUACUAAGCAAACAUUUCUAAAAAGUUAAAUGUGCAUAAUUGUUUUUUCAUGUAUACAGAAAAUAUACAAUGUGUAUGAAAAAAGUUCAUCAUGUAUUUAAAAUAUAUGUUCAUUAAGUAUUUCAAUAAAAUUAAUGAAUCAUUAGGAAAUGAUAAAUGUGUGUGGGCAAAACUAUUUUCUUGUAUACGAAAAACAUAUAAAAAAUAUAGGUUUGUUAAAUUUUUUAUCACGUACUAAAUAUUUUUUCCCAGAAGAAUAUACUAUCUCCGUCCGAAAAUACUUGUUAUAAAAAUGGAUGUUUCUAGAUGUAGUUUAGUUGUAGAUACAUCAAUUUUUAUAUAUUUGUGCGACAAGUAAUUCCGAAUGGAGGGAGUACUCACUUUUUAUAAAACAUGUAUAAACAUAUGUCCGGAUGUAAAACUGUACAAUGGGUAUGCAAAUAAUAGACACAAAAAUAUACUCUAUUUAGAAAACAUAUGUUUGUAAAAAAUAAAUCAUGUAUCUGAAAAAUAUUCACCAUGUACACAAAAAAUAUUUCCUGUAUUUGAAUAAAAAUUAUAACAUGUGUAAGAAAUGUUCCUUUUCUAUAUGAAAAGAGCAAGAAAAACCCAUAGAUAACCGAGAAAGACAAACAAAACAAAACAAUGAAACCUGAAAAAAGAAAUGAAAGAAAAAACCCAGAGGAAACCAAGAAAGGAAAAGAAAUCAAAGUAUGACAAAAAGAAAAAGUGAAAAACAAGCGGAUAAAAUCCAGUGAAAUCCGAAAAAAGAAAUAACGAAAGCAAAUAAAUCAUAGAAAAAAAUCUAGUAAUACCAAGAAAGAAACAAAGAAGACUAUUGAAAAGAACAAAGUAAACCUAUAAAAAAGGAUAACCAUGAAGAAAACAAAGAAAACCAAAAGAAAAACGAAAAAAAAAUAGCAAAAAACAAAAAAAAUCUGGAAGGAAACCUGACUGCACUAUCAGCGGCCAACCCACCGAGUGGGGUGAGCCAGCGACCCCGGUUAAAAUGCGGAGAGCGAAAUAUUCAGGUGGCAUAUGCCUCGCUAUAAGUGCGAUAUAGGGCGUGGCAAGGGCACAAGGGCGACAAUCUACUAGACAAAAAGGAGAUGCCAACGCAGUACAUAUGUAUACGGAUACAGGGACAUGGUAUAUUGUGAGAUUUUAUUUUUUAUGAUAAUAUGUGUCUCAUUGAUAUUAUAAAAAUAAAAAUACAAGUUACGUAUACCAACAUGACAAAACUAAAAAAAUAACAGAACAUCUCUAAGUUUGACACCAACAUAUGUCGCGUACCUCUGACACUGUCAUAGCAGCCACCAAAGAAAAGAAUGGCGAAUCACCUCCUCAACCAAGCUCGACGCGAUUCCAUCGCUUACAUGCAACUUUGCGGACCUUGAAGGUGACUUAUCAAAAGUGAAGCCAUGAGGCUGGUUGUAACGGGGAGUGUCAUAUACUAGUAUCAUGCAUAUGAUAUUAGUGUAUGAUAGUACAUCCGUAAUGCAUAGUAGCAUGUCCUACUAUCAUAGGACAGUUUAUUUAUUGUCAUGCAUGAUACAUAGUAGUACAACAUUUAAUAUGAUAUGAUAUCAUAAUAUGAUGUUUAAUAUUUUUUUCUUCAUUUAAUUCUAUGUCAUCUCAUCAAAUAUGGCUAGUUUGAUACUACUACUUAUAAUACUUUCAUUAUGACUAGCCUUAUCGUUGAACGAAUCAGACCAGGAUAACACCUCGAACACGCCAUCAAACUUCACAUAUGACACCCCACCGAAAGAUAUAUCUUGCCUAGAAUCAUAUUUAUCAUGUACGUAGUACUCCCUUCAUCUGGAAUUACUUGUCGCAGAAAUGAAUCUGUCUAGACACAUAUUUACUUUUAGAUAUAUCAAUUUCUAUCCAUUUUUACGACAAGUAAUUUGGGACGGAGGGAGUAGAUACCAACCUUUUUAUAGAUCAGAUAUAUACCAACUAAACACCAACUAAACACGUGCACAUGCUAGAUCGGCCGGCCCUUUACGAGGUUUGUCUGUGUGUUUUUCCAGCCGGUUUGGGGAAGUUCUAGAACCUUCCUUAAACUGAACUUUCUCAACAUUUUCUGUGUUUUCCCUUUUUUCAGCUGUUUAUACCAAUUUUUUUUUUUUUUUGGAUUUUGAUUUUUUCAAUUCUCAAACAUUAAUAUUGUUUAUCUUUCUGUCCUCUUCUUUUAUUUUUUUUCCCAUUUUAAUUUUAGAAGAAAUUUGUAAUUCACAUACAUUUCUGUAUUCAUGAACUUUUUUGAAAUUCUUAAAAAAAUUCUAAAACUCACGAAUAUUAUUUCAAUUCAUGAACUUUGUUUGAAUCGACAAACAUUUUCUGAAAUUUGGGAACAAUGUUGUAAAUUUGUGUCCAAUUUUUGAAAUACAUGAAUAUUUUUUAACAUGUCCGGGAAUCAUCAACACGACGACCGCCUAUAUCAACUUUGUCGUCUUCAUCAACAUCUUCAUCAAUUUUUCUGUCUAUUCAACAGUUCUCUCUCCCAGAAUCCUCUGUAAUAUCCUACUUAAACAUGGUGUUGGAUAUUGUUAAUUAUUAUAUGAUGAUUUCUUGUGUCUUCUAUAGGUUUGAGUAGAUUAUUUUUGUCAUAUGGGUUAAUUGAUGAACUGUUGUGAUUGGUUUGAGUUUCAUGUUGUCCUUUGAUACCCAUCAUAUGAGCGCUCACGUUGAUGGCACUCUAGGGUUUGUUCUAUGUUGAUACGACUAUGCAUACGGUGGCUGAAGUGACCAGAACCUCGCCACACUAUUGAAAUUAAUGCAUAUGGAAUUGAAGGGGACCAAUAUAUCUUACUGUUAUGGUUGGGUUUACCUUAACGCGCGUGUUAGCAUUUGCAGAUGCUUACUAAUGGUUUCAAUCAGAAGUACAUAUGAUUAAACAUGAAAAAUAUAUUCCUAGAGGCCUCUCCCACAUAUAAAGCUGUGAUGAUAAUAAUCGGUCUAGUAACUUAGUCAAUUGUCCAGGACGAUGAUAAUAAAUUGUGUCUCGAUCUCUAUAGUGCUUUGGAUACUUUGGAAUUUUUGACACACGGAACAUGAGAAACAUAUCCAUUUCAUGUCCUUCUCAAUCUAUCUCGAUUGGCUGCUUCCAAAAAUCCUGACAACCUAUCCAUGAACCCAUUGCUCAAACUGUUCUUGCAAACAUCCAAGCUCGAUCCACAUCCGCAACAUAACAAAAGUACCACAUUAAUAACCUGCUAUUACAAAAUUAUACGUGCAUCAUAAUUAUAUUAUUAACACAUUAGCUAGCACAUCUAUUUUGUUUACUUUGCAUAUUAACUUUGUCUUGUGAAUUUUUUGUGAAUUUUGCCCAACCUUGUGAGUCAUCCAUUUCAAAUUAUUGACCGGCGGCAACACUCCCUCUCGAAAUGGUGCCCGACAAAACCCCUCCAUAUCGAUUCAGCAACAACUUCCCCCCUCUCAAAACAAUGACUAGUGACAACCUUGCACCUUAGGUUUGUGAUAAGCAGGAGCAAUCAUCCCACUAAACAGGGCAUCAAGUCAAUGGACAAAUCUCACACUGAACUCAUGGUUAGUGACAUGGUAACAAACAUUCCAGGUAGUUUCCAAAUAGCAACCCAGUUUCAUUUUAUAGUUGUCUGCAGUAAGGUUGCUCGUAAUGAGAGUAUCAUAGUUAGUAUAAUGCAUGUCAACUAGGCAAUUUUGAUGUGCUCACAUAAAAUUAAAUGAAGAAAGAUAAGAUUGAACAUUAUAUCAUGGUACCAUAUCAUAAUAAAUAUUGUACUACUAUGUGUCUUACAUGAUAUUAAGUAAAAUCAUCUAUGAUACCAGCAAUAUAAAUAUAAUAUUAUAUAUUAGUAUCAUAUGCAUAUGCAUGAUACUAAGAUAUUAUACUACUCCCUCCGUUUCAAAAUAUAAGUCUUUUAUGAGAUUGCAUUAGGGACUACAUACAAAUAUAUAUAGACAUACUUCAAAGUAUAGGUUCACUCAUUUUGCUUUGUAUGUAAUCUGAAAUCUGUAAAAAGACUUAUAUUUAAAAAACGAAUGGAGUAGUCACUAGCAACAGCCUAAACAAGUAUUACAGGCGGUUUCCAAACUACAUGCAAUUACUGAUCAUGGGGAGCAAUGUACUCCUCUAGUCGUCUUGUUGAUGGAAAAAAUAUUUACAAUCAAAUUAAUCAGUGUGAAUGUUGAUGGAAAUUUGUGUUGGUAAUUACAGCGAGAAAUUAAAGAAGCAGGGCAAUGUGCUCCUCCUGGCGUCGACGAUCAGCGUGACGAAAUCAGCAAGGGUAAUACGCCUUGAGGUGCGCUUGUAAGCAUGGCGAGUCCUUCCAAACCCUAGCGUGCAUCUUGAGCAGCUCCUUGGCCUUGGCCCUGGCCCGCUCGCCGGCAUCCACCUGUAGAACCAGCAGCAGCUUGGCGACCACCCCGACGGCCAGCAUCUCCUGCAGCACGGCCGGCGUCGGCGAGUGCCUAGCCACGGCGUGCAGAGCGCGCACCGCGCUCUCGGUGGUGGUCGGUGACACCCGCAUAGCCUUCUUGGCCACGACGGCCAGCCCUGCCGGGUGCGCCACAAGGUCCGACCGCCCCUCCGCACAGCCGCAGAGGUGGUCGAUGGCCACCACCGCCAGCUCGGUGGGGUGCCGGCCGCCUUCGUCGAGGAGCAGCUCCACCAGCACAGUCACCGCGCCGGCCUCGACGGCCUUGACACGGUUGCGGCCCCACGGACAUAGCCGGCACAGCACGUUCAGCGCCGCCUUCACCGCCUUGGCGGACACCCUGUCAGACACCACGCGUACCACCUCCUGCACCAGCUCGGUUCUCACCGUCAUCAGCCUCGCCGGCUCCAUGACCGACACCAUCGCCUUCAGCAGGAUGAUGCCGUAACAGCGGGACCGGUAGCUCGGUCGCCGCAGCAUGCACACCAGGGUGUCCAGGAAGUCUACGUUUUUCUCGAGGAUCCGGAGCAGGCUCUUCUUGGACGGCUUGAGCGAGCAGAUGACGCUGAGCGCGUCCUCCUCCGGCGAGCUCGUGGACGUCGGGGAAUCCAGCGAAAGUUCUAGCAAAUCUUGAGCCGACUUGGACGUGGUGGCAUGGUUCGUGACGACGGAGACGAGGAACUCGACGGCGCCGGGCGUGGCCUCGACGCAGCGCCUGUUGCGAUCGCUCUCGGCGACGAUGGCCUUGAUCUCGCGGAGCGCGGCCAGCUCCUGCUGCCGGCCGGCACCGUGACCCUCUUGGACGAUCUCGGCGACGCGGCUGGUGUCGAGGGGCGGGCGCGGGGUGGGGAAGCGCUCGACGGCGUGGAGGGAGCACCAGGCCUGGGUGAGGCGGCGGAGCGUGUGGUUGGGCGUGGCAUCCCGGUCGGCCUCCGCAAUCUUCUGCUGCGUGACGGGGCAGGUGGCGUGGCCGUCGGAGAUCCAGCGCUCGAUGCUGGUGCGGUCGUAGGUGAUGCCGGUGGCGAGCGUGACGGGGUCCCGCAUGAUCUCCAGCGAGAUCGGGCACAGGAAGUACGGCGGCACCUCCACCGUCGGCCCCUCCAUGGCCGUAGGUCGCGAAGGAUUGCUCGUGAAAUGGAUCUGGUGGAGAGCAGAGCGAAUGAAGAAGACGCUGACCGAGUUGGUGGAUGGAGUUGAACACAAAUCGAAUGGGAGGGGGAGUGGGUGCGCGCGCGUUUUAUAGGAAGUGGAUCACGCGAAGAAGUCCACGCGUGUUAGCAAGAGAUUAGAGGAGAUUAAUUGCGUGGGUUGGGUUGGGUCGGAUUGACUUGCGGGGUCGGUGUUGAGCUGGCUCCAUGUUUUGACUUUGUGAAUUCAUCUUGCUCGGUCCUUUCUGCUGUUCGACUCCGUUGCUCUUGAAAGAUUCCGUUUCUGUGGGUAUGAAACACCGUUGAAGUUUAGCCGCUGCGUAGAUUGGUUGAAGGGUAAUUUUCGCCACCUCCGUGGUUUUAGAGUAUCUACAACCAGACCCUUAUAUUCGUUUCGAACGUUGGACAGCCGAUCAAUCAGCGUACGGCCAGAGAAAAUCUACCCAAAUGGAAUGCACUAAGAGCAAGCUGCUGGCUAUAAGCCACUGCCAUGUCAUCUAUAGCCCAUCUUAUAGCUAACAUGUACAAUACUUCAUUGUAAAAGUGUAUUACUUCUUCAUUAUAUGGUCCACCUUUCAUACUCAUAAAAUGCCUAGGAGCACGUGCUAGAGCUGGCUCUUAGCUAAGAGGCCGCUUACCUUCUCUCCCCUCUUAGCUAAGAGGCCGUUUCUGUGGGUAUGAAACACCGUUGAAGUUUAGCCGCUGCGUAGAUUGGUUGAUGGGUAAUUUUCGCCACCUCCGUGCACUUAAACAUCUACAACCGGACCCCUUAUAUCUGUUUCAAACGUCCGGUCGACCGGUCGGUCAAUGUCCGAUCGAAAAAAAAGCAAUCCAAACGGGCGUUCUAAACGGGUCUCAAAUACACGAGCUGACCGACAUCCAUCAUAUCUAGCAUAAAUAUGGAGCGAAUAUGUGGAGCCCGUGCGUGCCCGGACAUGCUUGCCUGGCAGGCCUGGGCCACCAUUGACCCCACCGACAUGUCAGUUUGGCCCACCAUGGACACCAUGAAAUAUUCCAAUUCGGUAACCCUAGACAUCCGACAGUUCAGUCUCCAUCCACUCCAUUUCCAAUCCCCCCACUUCGAUCCAAUGGCUGGCCAUGGAAGCAACUCCGACAGAUCGAACAUCGAUGUCGAGGAGGUGGCCCUCUGCAUCGCAUUACUCCGGUCGCUGCAGGACAAAAGGGGCCCCGUCGGCAAUGCAUGUGCAUCCUCCGGGCACGUCGCACACCGACGGAGUGCCGGCGACAUCGCAUGCCCUUCCCGCAAGGCACAUAGCUCCGACCGCUCCUGCUCUGGCUGGUCCGCUCCCGUUCUGGUCGGUACGCUCUAGGUCAGGUACGCCACCCAUCUCCACCACCUCCUGCUCCAAAAGCGGUGCCCGACCACCGUGGAGUCCUCAUGCCCGCGCCGGGGACGUGGUGCACGAUGAUACCGGAGUUCGGGGUGCAUGCACCCGAGCGACAACGGACGAGGAAGAGGGGGGAGGCCUUGGUCGCGCAGCGUUCGACCUUGAGCGCACCGGUCGACCCCGAGGACGCACUCCUCGCGGGCACCUACGUCGCUCGCUGACUACAGCGGAGACGAAUGCAUGCCGCCUCCGCCGCAAGAAUGCUAACUCACCUCGACUAGCCAUCCAGUUAUCAGAACGCGAGGGAGCUAAAGAGGCGGCGGCGAAGGCAAAAGUGGUAUGUCACGCGAAGGAGCAAGACCGCCUACUCCAUAGGCUGUUCAGCAUGCGGGGCAGCUCCGACGAGGACGACAACGACACCUCCACCUCCGGCUCCGAUGUUAACGACGACAAUGCUCCACCGCACGGUGACGUCUAAACGUAGAAGAGGCAUAACCGCGUGGAUGACCGAAAAGGGAAGGGGAUAAAAAUGGAGGGAGUGCUACAAAAGAUGUCCCUGGGGCCUGCUGAUCAUUCGCCAGAAACUGUGGGAAUGAAUAUGAUACAACGCCGUAGUAUCAAUCGGUUUUCACUUUGUUUUUCGUCAACAGCUGGUUACUUUUUCUAACGAAAUGAAAUUUUCUCCUAGAUUGCGCUUUCAGUAGGCAUCGACUGCGUGUUGGAAAACUAUGCAACCAUUCCAUUAUUUGUAAUGGGCAAAACUAUUUUUUUCGUCCUUUUACCUUUUUUUAAAGUUGGUUUGUUGAACAUUAAAUAUACCUGUUGCACGUCCCGUAACAUGUGUAGUUAAAACUUUAAAUAAUUCAGUUGUACUACUAAUAUCUUUUGAUGUGUUAGUUUGAUUUUCAAAACUUUAGAUGACCAGUUGCACAUCAUAUACACACCGUUGCAUAUUUUCAAGAUGUGCAUUUGUGUAGUGUGCAAUGAUUUCUGUGUUAUGUGUAUGUUUUUCAUAAUUUUCACGGGUGCUAUUUUCCGCUUUUUAUUCUUGCUGAUUGAAACUUUGUUUUUUUUCUCCAUGUACUAAUAUAUUUUUCAUAUUACCAAUUAUAUUCACUGACGGAGCGUCGGGGGGACCAAGGAGGGACCUCCCCCGNNNNNNNNNNNNNNNNNNNNNNNNNNNNNNNNNNNNNNNNNNNNNNNNNNNNNNNNNNNNNNNNNNNNNNNNNNNNNNNNNNNNNNNNNNNNNNNNNNNNNNNNNNNNNNNNNNNNNNNNNNNNNNNNNNNNNNNNNNNNNNNNNNNNNNNNNNNNNNNNNNNNNNNCCUCUUACAAGAGGAAAAUUGCAAGGAUAUGCUCCUCUAAGCAUAAACUCUCUGGUAAUCUCCCGGCAUCCUUAAUUUCUCUAGCUAGCCCCUCCUUGGAUUUAGAUUACGCUUCCGCCACUUAGUAUAUUUGUGCAUAUUUGUUGAGCUUUAUUUUCACAUCUUCGUUUGGUCAAGCACAUAUUCAAAGUACCAAUCGGACUCUCUUUAAAAAACAGUUCUAGUGUGCACGCCGGUGUAAAAUCUCGAUGAAAAGAUCGAAUAUGUGAAAUUUAGAAGCUUUGCAGUUUAAUCGUGGCAGGUUUCUUUUAGGAUCUAAGCUAAUGUUUGUUAUAUGGAAUGCAAAGUGUUCCAGUUUAUAAAGAAAGAUCCAAAUUAAACUAAUGCUUAGAGUUUUUGUCAAAGUGUUCCAUUUGUCUGGCCCAGAAUCAAAUGGGUAACUUAACCGAAACCACUUGUCAUUGUAUUCCAUGGGCUUACCUAUGAAGCAUUGAUACAACAAUACAGAAUACGAUAAUUUUUAAAAACAUCAAUACGUCAAUACAGUAAGUAUAUACAAAUAAUAAUAAAAUAAUUGUAAUAAAAACAAACAUAAUAAAUUGUGUUAGAAUAGAUCAAAAUGUACUAGGCGAUGAAUAAAACUCCCUUUCACCCACAAAAAAGUGUAAUAGGCAGUGCAUUAGUAAGUUGUUCAUGGCUUAAUAAGAAGGUUAGCGUAUGUUUUAGGAUAAUUCUUCGGGUGCGCUUUGUCAGCGGCUCAUGUCCCUUUUCUUUGCGAGCGGACGAGCAUCGCGGAGUUAACACUGUUAGCAUAUGACUAAUUAUUAGCAAAGCAGUAACAUUAGCAAGCAACUACUAUCUCUACACAACCUACUGAAUCAAGUAAUCUACAACUACAAGGAGCCAACCUGCUCAAUCUACUACAAUGUCAACCUACUUCAUCACUAAUAAUUGAAGACGAAAAGAUGAAUGGAUAGAUCAAGUAAAGAGGUGGCGAGUGUGACCAGCAACGACGACAGAGUUCAGUCGAUGUGGGGCGUUAGGAGUUGAUAGGGCAGCGAACAGAGUGAAAUGAGUACUCAAGUUAGGGUUAGUAUUGGGCUUGUACUGGGCUGGCCGUAUCCCAGCCGUGGACGGUGAACAACAUGUAUCGGUGUUUUUAUCUUCUUUUUUUCAAAUUAAAAAAAGAUACUUCGGUGAUACCAGUAUUGAUGCCGUAUCACACGUAUCAGCGUCUGAAAUACAGGACAGCGAUACACAUGUCUUACAAGUAUCGGUGCUUCGUAGGGGCUUACUGGGAUGGAGUGUUAGUGGACAGCGGACGAAGAUGACGAUGCCACGGAGGUCGACCAGUCGGCAGUCGUGAGCUGUUCAUGGCGCAGCUGACAACGAAGUGCUGGAUCGAUGGCCAAAUUUAAUCAAGAAAACAUUUUUUUCCCUGCAUAUAAAAAGAGAAAAGGAAAGGUAGUACGUACUACUCUUCCCCGCCGCAGCCGCNNNNNNNNNNNNNNNNNNNNNNNNNNNNNNNNNNNNNNNNNNNNNNNNNNNNNNNNNNNNNNNNNNNNNNNNNNNNNNNNNNNNNNNNNNNNNNNNNNNNNNNNNNNNNNNNNNNNNNNNNNNNNNNNNNNNNNNNNNNNNNNNCAAUCGGAGCAUUCAAGGUUCAAGUGGAAGCUACCGCUGACCGACAGGGCCUUGCAUGCAUGCAUGCUGGCGCCACCAAUCAUCUCGCGUAUACGUGUCGGAGCAUACGAAGUGGCCUGAUCGAUGGCGUAUACGUGUGUCGUCUACGGCCAAAUUGAAUCAAGAAAACUUUUUUUCCUGCAUAUAAUAAUAAGAGAAAAGGAAAGGUACUACUAUUCCCCGCCGCAGCCGCNNNNNNNNNNNNNNNNNNNNNNNNNNNNNNNNNNNNNNNNNNNNNNNNNNNNNNNNNNNNNNNNNNNNNNNNNNNNNNNNNNNNNNNNNNNNNNNNNNNNNNNNNNNNNNNNNNNNNNNNNNNNNNNNNNNNNNNNCAAUCGGAGCAUUCAAGAUUACUCCCUCCGUACCUAAAUAUAACUUUUUAAAUAUUUCACUAGAUGUCUACAUACAAAGCAAAAUGAAUGAACCUAUGUUUUAAAAUAUGUUCAUAUACAUCCGUAUAUAGUUCAUUAGUUGAACCUCUAGAAAGACUUAUAUUUAGCAAGGGAGUAGAUUUCAAGCGUAAGCAACUGCUGACCGAUAGCCAGAACCAUGCAUGCAUGCAUGCAUGCAUGCUGGCGCCACCAAUCAUCUCGAGCACUCACCAUCAUCGCCAGCACUCACGGCAGCUUCCGGCCGCACGCGACCGGGGCCCGCAUGUCGGCGCGGUUUGACCGCCCCGUCGUUUUCUUCAACGCACGCGCGCGCGCUCGAUCGUAAACUAUUUUCCACGUGCUGUUUUUAAAUGCAAAUGAAUUCGGCGCAUGCGCACCAGCCACUACUACUUGUAUGCGCCAGCCUUUGUAUAUUUCGUCACGUGCCGUGCGUGCAUGCAUGCAUGCAUGUUCCCUUCUCCGGUUUCCGUGACGUUGAAAGGUUCUCCAAACCGAUCGCCAGCCGUGAUCGAAUCACAGAAAAGACCCAGCAUAUUUUGGUAGUACGUUAAUUUUGUUUUUGAGGAACCAGCAGGAGUUCUGCCUUUUUAUAUAAAAAAAGAAGAAUUGACCAGUUAAUUUUGAUAGUAUGUUAUUGCCAUUGUAUGUGACCAACUGAGUCGAGGGCCCGCGCUGCCUGCGUUAGAUCGAUGAUGACCUAACUACGUCGACCAGCUCUCCUACCAGAGGCGCUCAGUCGUAUUUAAGGCGGUAAUAUAAUGCUACCGGGAAUCUUCUAAAUUGCCAGGAAGUGCGGAAUAGAGGGGUGGUUUUCUGAGCGAUCCCAUCAGCUCUCCUACCACAGGCGCUUUGGUCGUAUUUAAGGUGAGGAACUGUUCUUUGUUGAUCAGGAGACGACCAACUCUUCUAGUGGCUCUACUGUUUCAAAGAGGAACCUUGGCUGGAAUCUCGCAUUUCUACACCUAGUGUGAUUCUACAACUUUUUGUCGUGUUGUUUCGCCUUUGUAUUUUUUUUAUUUCCCUGUAUAUUAAAAAAAUGGGACUAUCUAUUUGUCAUCCGACUAAAAAUCAAUUGGACAUCAUUCACAUUUUCCGACUGAAAAUCUGUUUUACCCGGUACAUUCCAUGUUGUUCUAUCUUCAUAAAAAAUGUCCUACUUUUUUUCGAAACCACCGUCCCAAUUGCUAAGGUUUCCGAGGAGCGCUCUACGCAAUUAUUGACCUCUUGGUCACGGCAUGAACACCUGCGACUACUUUUCCAACGACGACUUCUUCCCUAACAUCGACAACCUCUUGGGUGACAACAACAUCAAUGCCAAUGCCAAAGCUAAUGCCACUGCAUAACUCAGUUUGUGUUUAUGUCUUUUUUGUUCGAGAUCCUACUAGAGUUUCUUGUUCUUGUAUCUGUUCUAGAUAUGUUAUCUUCUAAUUCACAUCUUCAUAUGCUACUCGCCUUCUCUCUGUUAGAUUGCAUGACUUGUUUCGUAUCUGCUAUAUUAGUCAUGUUUUAUCUACUAUUUCUAUUAAUAAAAUCAUAUGAUAAAUUGCUUAUUUUUUUAUCAAUUCAAAAACCUUAUAAUAGGCAAUUUAACCAGAGUAGUUUUGCUGCUUUCAUGAUGCCUCUUAGGUUUAAGGGUGUUUACUAUAAGAGGUGAUGUGUGAGAGCAGUUUUAUGGUUUCAAACCAUGAGCUGCUAUGAUGCCAAAGCCACUUUGGAACAUCCUAUGUUUGCUCUGGUACUUCCGAGAACAAUAUUUUCAUGGCUCAGUUGUGACUUACUAUUUACUGUAAAUCCUCUUUCAAAGAACUGCUUGGUCUAGCUACUACGUACUACCAAUCAACUGGUUUUACCUGGUACAUUCCAUGUUGUUCUAUCUUCACAGAGAAUGUGCUGCUUUUUUUUCGGAACCACCAUCCCAAUUGCUAAUUGUACUUACAAGUACUAAUAUGUUUUCACCUAGUAACAAAACAUUGCCGUCACGUUCAUUUUUUUUCGACGGUCUCGGUGGUUCUGCUAGUUUACAACUGGUGCUUCCAAGCCUAGUUUCUAUAUGCAUUAAAAGUCACUAGCAAAAUGGCCCGUGCGUUGCCACGGAAGAUAAAAACAUAAUCUCCAAUGAUGGUGACCACAUUAUGUUCAUAUAUCAUCGCUUGAUUUUAAAAAUUUAUGCACAAAUGCGAGAAAAUAUUUCUUCUUUUAAAUUUAUUCACAAGUUGAAGCAAUCUUUACAUUGUCAAAAAAUAUAUAUCAUGGUUGUCAAAAAUCUUGGUAACUCAAAGAUUUAUUCUGAAUUUCAAUAUUUUUUAAAAAAAACAUACAAUAAUAAUUUGAUCCAUCCAACAAUUAAUUCUUCAAAAUUCACACAGGUAUAUUGUCACAAAGACAUAGAAGUAUUAAUGUUUCACUACAUACAUUAGAUCUUUUGUGGAGAAUUUUAAAAAUAUGGAAAUAAUUUUAAAAUCGAGAACAUUUUUUACAAUUUACAAACAUUUACUAAAAAUCGUGAAUAUUUUUUAUAUUCCGAACGGGUUUAAAUAUUUUCUUUUGAAUUGGCGACCAGUUCAAGAAAAGACGAUCAUAAUUUUUUAUGUUGGAGGAUUUUAUUUUAAAUUCACAAACAUUUUUUGAAAUGCAUGAAGUUUUUCUGAAUAAACAAACAUUUUUAUAAAUCAGUAAUAUAUUUACUAAAUUAAUGGACAUUGUUUUGGAAUUUGCAAAAAAAAUAUAAUAAUCCGGCGCUUUUUUGAAUCCACAAACAUUUUAUGUUUUCGUCAGCAUUUAAUUCAAAAUUCCUCUUUUUUAAGAUGCAAAAGUUUUUGUAAUUCUAAAUUAUUUCAACUAGAAAUAAACAAAAAUGGAACGGAAAAUUUUAAAUAAAAAAAAGAAACUAUCGAAACAGGCAUUAGCUAUUUUUAAAAUUUUAGGACAUUCUUUAAAUGCAUUACCAUAUUUUGAAUUAGAAAGUAUUUUGUUAAAUGCCUUUAAUAAUUUUUAAUACAUGGAAUUGUAUUUGAAAUCAUGGACUUUUCUUAUUGUACAAACAUUUUAUUGUAUAUGCGAUAAUUUUUUACAAAACUCCGAGCAGUUUUUGAAGUCACAAACAUUUUAUUUUUUAAAAUAUGUUGAUUUAUAAUUUUCAGUUUAUUAAAUUUUUAAAGAUUAUUUGAAGUUCUAAAUUAUUGAAAAUAAAAAAUAAAAUGGAACUGAAAAUAAAUAAAUAAACGGAACUAAAAGCAGGCGUCUGUGCAAGGGCCGGCCCAUACGGUGUGCUGGAUAUUCUCCCAGCGUGCAGAGCGUAAUAUAGGAGGUUUUUACAUGGGCCGGCCCAGUUCAAGAUUUUUUUGCUUUCUGAAACAUUUUCUAUUACUUACCAGUGGCAUGGUGGGUAAUAAAUGCAAAUUUUAAGGGUAAUCUCCAUGACGGACGACGAGAAACCGAAUUUGCUUUAUUAUUAGGGAGAGAUAUUUUGGACUCUCUGUCUCUAUCAAUAGCCUUUCAUAUCCUUCUAUGGCUGCAUCCAUCACAUCCAUAUAAUUUAUCAUUGUUCAUCCCUGUAAGCCACUUCUAAUUUACUUCACUUCACUCCACCCACCUAUCACAUAGAGGAAGAGAUAUCCAAGGUAAGAAAAUAAGAGAGGAGUGCUGGAUGAUUCCAUGUCCAGUGUUCGAUUUUUGUAAAGCCAAGAGCUCCCCUUUCUCGAAUUAUGGAGAGAAGCUUUGAUGCAAGAUCAUUCAAGGAGUACUUAUCAAGUGACUUUUAUUUUCUUGUUACUCUUGGAUAGUAAGCACAUAACCUAGAUGGUUAGGAGUCACUUAAAAUAUAAUCCUUUCAAGUUCUAGGUGUGAAGGAUCCAAAAGCUUGUGUUGUUUUGUCUUUGUACAUUUCUGUUCAUUGUGCAUUGGAACAUGCAAGAACUAGAAAACAUGUCGGGAGAUCGACUUGGGAGGCGACACUCGAGGCGAUUCCGACGAUGGCACGGAAUUGAUUAGAGCAAACAAACGUGGUUACCAUGCAAACUCCUCCUGUUCCGGAGUGAGAUCAACGAGUGACACAUUGUAAAUCAUCUUAACACCGCGGGGUUGUAAGGAGGGGAGAUGUGGAUUACAUGUUUGUGCUCCAAAGUAGACCAUUUCUUGCCAGUGUUGCUGGACCUUUGCCGGACGCCUUUAGCAACUGAGAUGUUUUUCACCAUUUUCGUUGUAUUUCUUAGUUUCAUUUUCUUGUUAUUAUUGUCUUUUGUUCAAAACCACAAGGCUCUGUCUAGCCAUGAAUUGGUCUUUACAUUCCCUCAGGUAGAUCUUUGGCAAGUGUGAUUUUUUGGUCUUUUAUGUUUUGAUUUUAAUGUGAUUAUGUUUACAACGGAGUUGUGGCUUUGAGAGGUAUUCAGAAAGCUGAUUAAGCGCCCAAUGACAACAAGAUACGUGUUCCAGCAGGACAAGAUACUACGCCCAAAAGAAACUCCAAAUUUAUCCACAAGAAUCAAACUUCCAAGGUGAUUUUUUUUUGUUCUAGUUUGGAUAUGGUGAUAUACAUCCAUUUCCAAUCACUUCACAACAAAUUAGUUGUACAUGUAUUUAUUUUAGCCUUUUCAUCUGCUAUGUAUAAGAUAGGGGGUACAAGUACAAUCCGUUAAUUUCGACAUUAUUCUUCUUUCUGAAAAAUGGAUGUUGUUAUAGUGAUCCCAUUUCACACGCGCUAUCUCUGAUUGCUAAAGUUCUUGGCCUUUUCUGAUACAUAACAAAAAGUGCAGAAAUAAACUUUGCUCCUAGGUAUUGUUACAUACAUGGGCGGAGCUGUAUGGAGCUACCCUGUUGCAUGGGCAACAGGUCAAGUAGCUUCUUACAUGUAGUUUAGUACUUGGAUUAAGCAUGUGUAUAAGUGCAUCAGGCUAAACUAGCAAGGGUGCAACAGGGUAAAUGCAGAUGCAGCUCCGCCCCUGGUUACAUAACCCUUGGCAACCUUGUUCUUUUUUCUAUCUUAUUUCAAAACUCAAUGCCAAACAAGAUAAGACCACGCUUGGAGGUUAGUGUUGUCUCCGUUAGGCUAACCAACACCUCAUCAUCGCAGCCUUCCUCGUUGUAGAACUCACCCAGCUCCACCUCCACCCAACCGUCGUCCCUCCUCCGAGGGAUUGCCAUGUCAUCUCCAAGAGUAAUUUCCCAUUCUAGUCUAUAUGCAGAUGAUUCCAAGACAUGUAUACCCUCCUCCACACAACUUUGCAGGCAAACUUGCGAGAUUGAUAUCUGUCCUUCUCCUACGCUAAAUGAAGCCUCCUUGAAGGGAUAAUCCAACCCACAAAAUGAAGUGGGGUGUAGUUUAAACACCAUGUAAGCGGCAUACGUUACGUUUCCGGAGAGCAUCUUGCUGUGUAUCUUGCCAUGGAUUUCUAGCUUGCCACACUUCCUAAUCGUCACGACAUGUGGGAAUCUAUCACGAAAUAUAGACAGAAUUAAGAUUUUUUUUGAAACGGAGGUAAAAGCUUUGCCUUAUCUCAUUAAUAAAGAAGAAGAGCAUUGCCCGGUUGAAUAACGAAAAACCGGGUGAAAAACCAUUGCAACAUGUCCACACAUGACACACGGGGUGACCUGGCAACCCGUAAAUGAACGCACAUACGUCACCGAGGAGAGAACACCGUUGAGGCUGCAACCCGGUGUCAUCGUCAUCACACCUACACAAGCGCGACUCCAACUUUACCAUCGACGACCAUCAAUAUAGCCCUCACCGUAAGCAAACGCUGAGGCCCACGCUGACCACUACCAAACAGUCAACCACACGCGCCAACUACCAAGCAGCUCCGACUGUGCCGACGAGCAUUCUAGUAGAAAAGCACUGAGACUGAGCCGAGCCAGCGCCAGAACCGACCACCCGCCUCGCGUCAUCAUCGUCGCAAGGCCCCUCCUGAGCAGCUUCGACUCCAGGAAGGCAAAGUGAGGUGCAGCAACCCCUCGAACAUGCGGAUGAGACCGACUACCAAAACUCAGCAACAAACCAACUACACCCAAAACCGCCAUCGUCACCGCACAAGAAGUUGCGCCAACCACAUCACCAGUCGGGCACCUGCCGACCACGAUGUCGUAUGUGUCCAGCUCUUGGAAAGCAUGAAGGAGGCCAAUGACCCUCAAGGCAACGCCCCCAAGGGGGUAGAGCGAGGUGAGAGGAUGAAGCCGUCACCCGACUCACAUCGGAGUCUUAGGCUUUCGCCCGAUGACCAUGGUCCGAAGGUGCUGGGCAAGGAGAGGCUCCACAAUGACCCCCAAGGAGGAAAAACGAUGUCCGCGGACGCCGUGACGUCUAGGAUUUUGCCCAGAGCCACCUCGGCGAGCACCCCCAUGCAACGAGUGGCGCAACACCAUCGCUCUGUAAGCCCGCUGUCCCACGCAGCUCCUACGCGACAACGGUGCCAUCCUCACGCAAGAGCCACCAACCUCAACGCCUGCAAACUCCGGCGAGCCGGAGCCGGCCAAGUCGGCCAAAUCCGACGCCCACCACCGCCACAGAAAUGCCUAGACCACACCGGGAGCCCGAUGCGAGGCCGUCGCCCAACCUUCAGCCGCCCGACGCGACCACCUCGAGCCAGACCACACACGCGCCAGAUACGCGCCACCAUCCGCGCCAGCUCGCAAAUGGCCGCGCCGCGCGCCAAGACCACCUCGCGCCGCCUGGUGCAGCAGAGCACCGGCGCCGCCCCUCGGUGCCACCCGAAUCCACCGCCGGCCCGACACGUCACACCAAGCUGCGCGCCUCCACAAGGUCGGUUGCCCUGCACCGCCCGAAUGCCUCAUGGGGAGAGAUGAGUCCCGCCGCCGCCGACGCACGCAUGGGCUUUGCCCGGCGGCGUCCCCGAGCAGCGGUGAGGAAGGGGAGAGGCAAGUUGUGGGGUGGCGGUGGCGGGGAGCUAGGGUUGCGCCCGGGCCGCUCGAGGGAGCGGCACGGGGCGGGGGUUUAUUCCUAUGGAACGAUCUUGUGGACUGUAGUUUCGUCUGGCCUGACAGAAUUAAGAUUCGUGCCAUGCGUGGAAAAAUACUACUCCCAAUAAUAUAAUUGGGAGAAUUCGUUAUCAUGGAAAUGUAAGGCUUUAUUAACCUUUUGCUAGUGUUGAGAGCUUCGUAAUCAAAACCGCUAGGACUCAAGUACUAUAGGUAGCGCCGGUACUUGGCGAUCUGUAGUAUCUCCGCGGAAAGCACGAAGCACUUGGCGCCGGUAGCCUUGUCGAGCCUCAUGUGCUGCACCACACAUGUGUGUUUGUAGGUAUGUGCAGCAAAACAAAACGAAUAAACCGCGAACAUUUUAAUUAGUGCAUGCAUGGAUCCAUAUGAAAACAUCUCUCGUGCCGGUCGAGGAAUUAGAAGAAAAAAAAACCUAGCUAGCGAGCUUUUAUAUGUUUUACGAUGAAAUUCAGAUGAAGUUUGAUGGUGGUAAUACGACAUACCAUGAGCUUGCGCGGGAGGAAGGCGGGCAGGCAGGAGAGGCGCUGGAAGAGCGCCUUCUUAGACACCGCCCAGCGCCUCUCUUAGACACCGUCGUCGGGGCAAUCAUCUUCUUGGCGAAGCGCGGAAGCUCACGUGGCACGAAGCAGAACCAUACGGUGUCGGCGGCGGCGCGGAAAGGCCGGGAGACGGCUGCGGCAUGGCAGGCGGCCACCGGCGAUGUGAGGGAGAUCACCCGCACAAGUAGCUUGUCCGGCAGGCACCGAUCUGAGAUGACGCAGUAGUAGAAGAUGGUCCAUUUGUCCCGGUUCCACAGGCCCAUUAGCCCCUGUUCUGGACCGGGACUAAAGGGUCGGGACUAAAGCCCAAAACCUUUAGUCCCGGUUCGCUUACCAACUGAGACAGAAGCAGAUCACGUGGACGAUGUUCAAUCUGCAUAAUAUAUAUAGUGAGGAUAAUUAUAUAUACAUGCAAUGAAUGAGCUGAGCUAGAGAAUUAACUAUAUAAGUAAUACUUACAGACAGUAGGAAGUCAUGAGUUGUUUGUCAAUGGUUAGUUGAUUGUAUAACUGAAAUAACUCCUCAAAUUGGAUAGGAAUCACGAGAAGUCCAAUGAACUCGCGCUGUGGUUUCACUGCCACAUACAUAGCGUCUUUCCCAGACUCCCUGCAGGUUUUCAUGUACCACUCAUGCAAUUUGUGUAUCAUCGUUGUUAGAGGAAGAUGACUAGGUUUUACGAGAGGCUUCCCAUGCACGUAUUUAUAUUGUUCUUUUGUUACCUCAGCCGUUUCAAAAAUUACAUCAUCCCCCAAGUAAUCAUCAGGAUUGGUACCGGGCACCAUCCCCGGAUGAUUAGCGAUGACGAUAUCGCUAGACACCUUGAGCGGGGGGCACGAUUGCUUCUCCUAUUGGCUGAACUGGGGAAUUGUUUUCCCACUUCUUCGUUCUGCUAUGUACCUUGCAUCACCGGAAGUAGUUCCUGACCGCCGCGCUUGUGCAUAUGUAUUUUUAAGAAUGCGGUCAUAGUUGGAAUCCCGGCAGAGGCGGUGGUGGUCGCUUCAGUUGAUUGAUAAUGGGCUCCACUUUCCCCGGAUCUAGCUUCUCCAUCUGAGGUGGAGUUAUUUUGCAAAAUGGGCCCUCAAUACGGCACGACAUAUGUCCUCUCAUAUGGUAACUUUUCCAGAGGCUUGAGAGAUGGAUCGUAUCUGAAUUGCCUCCCGCCUCUGCUUGUACUUCUAGCCGCCGGAGAGAAGGAGGCGUCUCUCUUCCGCUUGAGAGAAGGAGGCGGACUGCUCUGACGCGCCGGAGGAGCCGGAGCAGCGGCGUUUGUCUUCCGACGUUGCCGACGAGGUGAAGGAGGAGGCGGACUGCUCUAACGCGCCGGAGUAGGCGAAGGAGGAGGCCGGAGUUGGCCGUAGCAGCAACAGUGACAUCGGUAGCAUCCUCUGCCGCCUUUUUCUCGGCUUCGGCCUUCUCGCGGGCGAGACGGUCGGCUUCGGUUGGUGAAGACAUGGCGAUGACGAAGGCGACAUAGAUGUAGAUGAAGCAGACGGACGGAGGCGAGCAGUCACGUGAUCGCUCCCUAAAAACCUAAUUGCCCCUCUUCCGUACCGGAUCAGUAGAGGCGUGGUUUCGGACGCCUGCUCUCCCGUCGACCGUGUACACUAUGAACGACCCGGAGUCGCCGGCGGCAGUAGCAGCAAAAGGAAUGAGCGCAUGAGGCAUAGGCGAUCUGAUCUCGUGAAUGCUAGGGUUGGCGCUAGCCGUGCUUAUAUAGGUGCGACCGGGUGGAGAGACGUGGGCUGGACCCACGUCCGAGUCGGUAAUAGCCCACAAAAAUAAGUGCGUACGUAUGAGUUCAGCUCGGCUCAUUCCCGCAACCCGUGGCGCGUCGUGACGAGGCGUCGCAUGGUGAGGCGGGCGACGGAGGAGGAGUGCGCGAGGGCCUCUUCUCUUCUCAUGCUCCAAUAGGAUGUAGAAGAGAGACCCUUAUAAAGGGGUCUAAUUCCCUCUCCACUAGGCCCUUGUCAUGCCACCAGUUACAUAGGCCCUUGGAGAUUUCUGAAAUUUUCUCAUGGGUCUUAGGCCCAUCACAGAUUUCAACAAUCCCCAUCAGAUCUCAAGGGCACAUUGUAUUCUUUCGUUCCAAUCACCGUUUUGAUAUACCAUCAUUUCAGUGAAGACCUGUUAAGGUUGAGCUUCACCUAGAGCAAGCAGCUACACUCCUUUACAACUGAACAAUGGACUAUGCCUUGAAUUGAUAGUUUGGCGUAAAGAAGUUUCACCACAAGUCUUACUAGUACUAGGCUGCCGAAGGCUGACCCCUCGGGUGGAGCAUAUUAGUCACACUCCUGACCUAUUCAUGAGUUUACUGGAGAUCACCCCAAUCUCAUAGAGUGUGACCAGUAGUUGGUUUCAUACAGGUGUGUUCCUCCAAAGAUCGCUCUGCAGGAUAUCAUUUUGCUUGCACAUAAGCUUUAGAACACAUUAAGACGUUAGUCAUCCUACUAUACAGUAUCGGAGAGUAUUGCAUCUUCAACGGAGUGGGUUAGUAAAGUUACUCUCCUCGGUUCACCACUUGCUUGUUUUCCCAGGUCCUACUUCACGGGAUCUUCGAUCACAUAGGUUGGGUUACUGCCAUGGCAACUCAUAUGGAUCUCAUACCCAUCUCCCUUGAUGCACUAUCUAUCACAACAUGUAAUAGCCCUUUAGUAAAGGGAUCUGCCAGAUUCUUAGCCGUUUGGAUGUAAUCCAACGCUAUCACUCCGGAGUUUCUUAAACGUGCGACAGACCUCAAUGUCAUUGUUAUAUGUUUGUUGGACUUCAUGUUGUCCUUUGAACUAUUCACUUUGACAAUAACUGUCUAAUUAUCACAGUUCAUAAGGAUAGCCGGAACCGGCUUCUCAACCACACGAAAGUCCAUCAACAGAUCUUGAAGAAAUUCUGCUUCGAUACCAGAUGUGUCUAAUGCUGUUAAUUCUGCUUCCAUUGUCGAUUUUGGUAAGAUCGUUUGCUUGCAACGCUUCCACGAAACAGCACCACCUCCAAGAGUAAACAUAUACCCAGUAGUGGCCUUCAUCUCAUCAGCAUCAGAGAUCCAAUUCGCAUCACUAUACCCUUCAAGUGUCGACGGGCAUCCUGUAUAGUGAAGUCCGUGGUUGAUAGUACCUUUUAGAUAGCGCAUAAUUCAUUCAACAACAUGCCAAUGAACAUCACCCGGAUUGGCAACAAACCGGCUCAGUUUGCUCAUAGCAAACGCGAUGUCAGACCUCGUUGCGCUAGCUAGAUAUAUAAGUGAACCAAAAAUUUGAGAGAAUCUCAAUUAAUCUAUAUACAUGCGUGUGAACUUUCGAAUCAACGCACUAGGAUCAUAUGGUGUUGGAGAAAUUUUGCAGUCUGAAUAUCCAAAAUGACUCAAAAUCUUCUCAACAUAGUGGGAUUGCGGAAGUGUAGUCCCACCCUCAUCAUCUCUGCACAGCUUGAUGUUCAAGAUAACAUCAUCCAUUCCAAGGUCCUUCAUCACAAAGUUCUAAGACAGAAAAGAUUAACCUCCUCAAUCACUUUGAGGUUGCUUCCAAAUAUCAGUAGGUCAUCAACAUACAAGCACAAUAUAACUCCUUCCCCUCACCAUGACGUUAGUAUACACAUUUAUCAGCUUAAUUAACAACGAAACCAACAUAUGUCAAAGUUGUAUUAAACUUCUCAUGCCAUUGCUUAGGUGCUUGUCUCAUGCCAUAUAAAUAUUUCAACAACUUACACACUUUUCCUUCCUCUGCACAAUCGCACAUCAAGAGAGUUCUACAAAGAUUGGAUGAAAAUCACAAGUUUCUUCUCAUCCUCUUCCUCUGCACAAUCUGGCACUCCUAUCAUUGCCGCCUGCAAGAAAAAAAUGAUGGCAAGGCUCAGAAAGCAAACCAAAGAAACUAACAUGAUAGAGCAUCAAAUACUAAUGUAUAGGUUAGGCUGUGGACAACGAGCCACAUAUAAUAAUAAAAGGGCAGCACAUAAUAACCCAUUAUAGGUUCGCGCACAUGUACCACAAAACAUUUUCUUAUAUUAUUUAUCUCAAGACUUUCAUGUAGAUGUUAGACAUGCUUGAAAAGAAACCUAGCUUAAAGAGAAAAAUAAAUCUACAAUCUUAGGAUAAUCAUGACAAUCUUGGUAUAACAAGAAUCUGCCCACGAGCAACAGAUCAGGCUACAUAUAGAUAAAAGAAUUAACGAUUGUAAUUUUAGCUCAUAACCAGUUCUAAAAAUUCUAGUUAAGCACUUGCUGCUAACAAUGGAUGAAUUGUGAAUAAUCUAUAGUAAGUUUGCCCAAUUAAUUUCUUCUGGAGAUACGUUUAGUUGAAAGUAGAUAAGUCCUUUUGGAGCAUUACAUUGUUUCUUUAGUUUACUUAGCUUUUGUUUUUUAGAGACCACAAAGUGCAGCAUCGAUCAAACCAGGGUCUAGUUCCAGCCUUUCAAUACAAAAUGCUACUCGACAAUGUAAAGAUGCAAGUGCACAUGAAAAGAUAUCAUUUAUUAACAUGAAACUACCAAAAGGAGUUGAUGUCAUAUUUGAUAUGACACUGAAAUUCAUUACUAUGCUAGAAAUAUAUAUAUGUAAGGUCCACUAGGCAUGAUAUAUUUGGCUUUUAGAAUCAACAGCUUCACAAAGUCAGUGUUGUGCCACAAAAUACAGGUCGACCCAACUGCUAAGCAACCAACCACUCUACUGCUGAAACCACUGUCUGCCGGCAGACGCUUCUACCGGACACCUACUGAUCCAACUAUCACAUACUAAAUUUUCACCUUGCCCCGAUACCAACCCAGCAACCCGAGCAGUCACCUAGAUAAUGAAACCCAUGCGUACAUAUUGAUUUUAGUAGCAACAUGAGGAGGAAGGGGGUGCUUACAAUGAUAACUUGAAGAUGUUGGUUUGGUUGGGUGAGAGCAAGAAACCCGUGGCAGUCCCGCUCGUGGUUCUUCCGUCGAGGGCAAGCAAGCUCAAGGCGACGGUAGCAGUAGUCGGGACUCCAUCUCGCCACCCCAUGUCCAAAGGCGCCGUGCUGCAAGAUGAGGUAGACAAAGCCGGUGACGGGACGUCUUCCUCUCCGACGACGCAAGCAACGACGAUCGCUCGUCUCAGAUGCACGGAGGAAGGAGGGGGAUCACCUGGUGGCAGUGAAGGAUAUGAGUGGCGAUACAACGAUGGAAGAGGAUAGCGGUGGUGGGAGUCGAUUGGAUCUGAGAGACAACAAGGAGAGUGGCACAUGUACUCGGUGUAGCGGGGGCACGCAGGGAUGGAUGCCAAAAAUGAAUCGGCAGGGUGUGAUCUCCUCUAGCACGAGCUCUGGAGGAUAGCGUUGAGAGGAGGCGCUGGUGUUAUAUCCACCGUCGCCAUGGUCGUCCACGCCCACACCAUGGCCUCCUGCACUAAACGGGAGAAGAGAGUGUGGCAGCCAAAUCCGCCGACGCCAAUCUCGGGGCCUGCCGCAGCGAAUAGGGCAUAUGGGAUCGUGGCUGGGAGGUUGAUGGGAGAGGUGGAGAAGGGAGUGCAGGGGCCUGCUGCGUCGAACGGGAGCACAAGGGAUCUGGUGAGGGAAGGAAGGCUGGCGGCGGGAGAGGUGGGAGGAGAGUCGAGGGGGACAAGUCUGGACUCUGGAGAUAGGGUUAGGUUUCUGGGGAAGGGACUUUAUAUCCUAUUCCCUUUUUUUAGUGAAUUAUAUCCUAUUCACUUAAUGGGUCUACUCAAGUCCGUAUAGAUAUUGGAUUUAGGAAAUAUGGACCCAUAUUAUUGUCUUUAAUUGUAUUUUUUGAUUACCUAAAAAGAGGUGGUUUAAUCGUAUAUCCACAUCAUUGUACUUAUCGAUGGGAUGUGGUUUCGUUGUAUUUUUCAGGCACACAUACUGUAAGUUUAGGUGUAUUUUGUGAUGAACAUGCGGUGCAAAAGAGCACUUGUGCAGCCAAUCGGCAAGGCGUGUCACCCUUGUAUCACUGUAGGGACAUACAUUUAACGAGGCAAACAUAUUUGACUUUGAAAAUAAGAAAAGAAGAUAUGUAUCUCAAAAGGGCUCCCACCUCUCUACUUCUAUACAAAUUGCAUGUGGGUUGUCAUUGGAAAAAAAAAAAUUCAACAUACUAUGUUGAAAACUUUUUAUAUCUCCAUACUUCUUACCUGAACUUUUACAAUAAUUGUGUUAGAAUGAGGCAUGAGAUCAUGUUUAAGUUUUUAUUGUCUCAAACACCAAGUUAAGGUACCCUAUACCACCUUUCAUUUUUUAAUCUAAAUAGGGUCUACAAAUAAUGAGAUUAGCAUGUGCCCAUAUAUUUCAUUUUGGUAAUUAUAUUGUAUUUUCCAAAAUAUUUAGGAUAUGAAAAUGAAUAAUUAUAAUUUAUUGAUAUUUAUCUAAUAUCAUUUACUUCAUCCAUAUACGUAUAAAACAAAUUUUCGCUGUGUAUACAUGACACAUAGGCAAAAUUGAUGAGGUGUCGUCCAGUCACCUCCACGCAUAUGUUUACGAUCUUAUAUUUGGUCAUGGUAGCAUUGAAAUAUGAUCAUAAAUAAUACUACACAUCUUAAUGACCAUUUUUUGCAAUAGUAUCAUGACCUAAUGGACGCAAAAGGUCGUAACGUUGUGAGCUUUGGACCCUCUUAGACUUGCCAUACUAAUUUUAGAAUUUUGGUCAUGGAUCAAUGAUCAAUUAAACCACCGUCAUUAUUUUUGUCAUAAUUGAGCGUUUUUCCUGUAGUGAUAGCCGUGAGCCAUAAGGUGGUUUUUGUCUGCCAACGCUUGAAAUAAGUAUCGGUAAACUUAUCCGGUUUUACUGUAGCAGCAAAACCACUACUCGAAAAAUUUCUACACACAUUAGGUUAUUGGAUUGUUGAGUAAAUAGGAAAUUUUUUGAAUAGAUUAAUCCACGAAAUAAUCACUAACAUGGCACUGCCUAGAUUCAUGACAUACUAAUUACGGAGCAGACUAGCAAAUACUAAUGCAUAUAGUAGAAACAUCUACGCAUAUAGCUAGUACUACUAGAACUAAAAUAAACAGGAGCGGGAUAAACGAGUUAUAUCCUUCGAUCAGCCAGUUGGUCAUAGCAGCAGCAGUGACAGCGGCAACAUCCUCUGCCUUCUUCUUCUCGGCUUCGGCCUUCUCGCGAACGAGACGGUCGGCUUCGGUUGGCGAAGACAUGGCGAUGACGAGGGCGACACAAACGUAGAUGAAGCAGACAGACGGAGGCGAGCAGUCGCGUGAUCGCUCCCCAAAAAACAAAUCGCCCCUCUCCCGUACAUGAUCCGGAGAGGCGGGGUUUCGGAGGCUUGCUCUCCCGUCGAUCGUGUACGGGAUGAAUGAGACGGAGUCGCCGGUGGUAGGGUUGGCGGCACCGUAAAAAUAAACGCGUAGGUAUGAGCUCAGCUCGGCUCAUUUCCACAACCAGUGGCGAGGCGGACGACGGAGGAUGAGUAUGCGAGGGCCUCUUCUCUUCUCAUGCUCCAAUAUCAUGUAGAAGACAGACACUUAUAAAGGGGUUCAACUUCCUCUCCACUAGCAAGGUGAGACUAAGCUUUUUACCAUCCUUUGUCAUGUCAUCGUCUACAUGGACCGUUGGAGAUUUCUGAAAUUGCCUCAUGGGCCUUAGGCCCAUCACAGAUUUGAACACAUAUUGUUUUCUCCUUCUAUCUUUUUUGGUCAUUAUAUGCAAUAGAACAUGUGAGAGAUAGGACAAACAUGCAAGACGACUUGGGAGGCGACAAUGAAGAUGCCUUUUGGGGCUUGGGUGGUGUACUGAAUUUUUUAUUUUAAAGCUAGACACAGAAGUUGUUUAUAAUGCAUCCUUUAUCACAUCAAACGCGGAUACAACCUCCUCCUGUCGCAGAGUGAAAUCAACGAGGUGCCCACUAUAAAUCAUAUUAGUACAUUUGUGCCCUAAAAUAAACCAUUUUUUGUAAUGUUACAGGAACCUCUUUUAAAAACAAUAUAUGAACAUUCUUUGAAGACCACGAGAAUACUUUUUUUAAUUCACUGAACAAUAUAUGAACAUUCUUUGAAGACCACGAGAAUGUUUUUUUUUGAAAAUCACUGAGAAUUGAAGAGAGCGCUAAACGAUUCAUAUUUGGCCGAGCCACUAUAGGCUGUCCUCCCGCCGCGCUAAAGUCGAGAUAAAGACACGCUCUUUCAUAUUGUCUUUCACUACGAGAAAAUAUUGACAUAGAUUUUCAGAUAUAUCAUAUAUCUGUCUCAACAAGCACACAUAGCACUACCUCGUUCCUCAUGGGCAGGCCCAUUAAGGCCUUGUUCGAUUAAUCCUCCUCCGAAGGGGAUUGAAGAGGAUUGAAGUAAAAUUUAACUUGUUAGGGAUUUAAUCUACUCAAUCCCUGUCAAAUCCCUUUCAUUUCCCUGUCAACCGAACAAGGCCUAAGCUGUUUAUUUUAAGUUUCCUUGUUAGCUCCCACAUGGAUUGGACUAGUCAUUGGUAUCAUUUCAUUUCUCUUCUGGUGAUUGUUCGUUCCUAUGUGAACAGAACAACAUGUUUUUUAUUUUAAUUUUGAUUUUCCAUUUUAGUUUUCCUUUCAUAUAUAUAUAUUCCCUCCAUCCCAAAAUAACUGCCUUAACUUUAUACUAACUUUAAUAUAAAGUUAUAUUAAGCUUAAGACAUUUAUUUUGAGACGGAAGGAGUAAUUGGUUUUAUUCUAUAUUUUUCAAAAAGAGUGAUAAACCCAAAAUGAUAUUAAAAAGUUCACAUUAUUUUUAGACAGAGCAUUAACACUUUUAUAACUACAUGUAUAAUUUUUUCACGAGUGAACAUCUUUUUAUAUUUUUUUUCAUCAUGGGUUAAAAAGCAAUUCACCGUCCAUUUAUUAUUGGUCAUCAUGCAUAUAUAGAAUCAUCAUGUAGAUUUUACUUGUCGCUCAGCACUCACUAGGCGUCAGUGCUAUAUCUCACCUAUUGCAAGAUAGAACACGGUCCUCAAAUACUUCCUUCUUUCCUGACGUGUUUCUUCUUUUGUGCGCUAGAUUUUUUCUUGUUUUGGUAUAUAAAUUUUGCUUCUGUCCUAGCUCGCCCACGUGAAAUAUUCUAAUCCUAUUUUCGGUAUUUUCUGUUUUGUGAUUGGCAUCGAUUACAUAUUUAUAUGUUAAUCAUUUAUCCUGCUACAUGUUAAAACUAGCAAAAUGCACAUUGACCUUUUUUGAAUAUAUUUUUUCUUCAAAAAUGCAGUGAUAAUUUUUUAACAUGCAAUAUAUUUUAAAUGGCGUGGACAUAUUUUUUAGUAUCGCCAUUUCUCUGGAAUUGGCCCAUUUUUUUACAUUUCAUAAAUAAUUCGUUGAAUGCAUAGAUUUCUAUGUCAUGAUACUUAUUUUUUAAGGCAUAGAUUUCAAGAUAAUUUGUUGAAAGGUAUGAAAAUUCUUUACAUAUUACAUGAUAAAUGCUGUAAAUUUUCAAUGAUAUAAUUUCAGUUAUGAACAUAUGUUGUAAACUUUUGAACUUUGUUUAGAGACAUGAACAUUUUUUUAGCGACAUGAUCAUUUUUUGAAAUAAUGAAUACACAUAUUUAAACAUUUUUAAUGUGUAGUGAACAAGUUUUUACUGCUAAAUAAUUUUCUUUUUAUAAAGAGGUAAUAAAUAAUGAUCGUUUAAAACAAAAGUAAAAACAACAUAGAAAGGUAACAAGGUUGAAAUAUACAUGUAAGAGAAUAAAACAUAGAAUGUAACAACUAAUGGGCCGGCCUAUUAAACAACUUCGAAGCGACGCGUCAUUCAGCGAAAUCACUAAUUGAGGGGUACACCUUUUAAAGGCUAGUUCCAUCUUUCCAUAUUGCCACAAGUGACCCGUCACAUGUGUGUCACUUGUUGCAACCUAUGAGUUUCUAUUUUUUUGUAGAUCCUUUUAUUGAAAAUGUUUUAUAUCCAAAUCCAUGCAUCCAAAUCUCAAACCGUUUUCACGUUGGAUUCCUCACGUCGAGAUCUUCAAAAUUAUAUCCGUGUAGAUAGGUUUUCACAAACUUUUUUCAUGAAAAAUGCGAACAAAAUAACCAAACCGAAAGCACAUUUUUUUCCUUUUUCGAAAGAGGCAUGAUCGUACCCCUCGUGGAAGUAAAAAGAAGAAAAAAAAAAUUCUCCCCGUUUUCGAGCGGCAUGGUCAUGCCCCUCACGGAAGGAAAAAAGAAAGAAAGCGCAUUUUAUCCAUUUCCAAAAGGCACGCGGAAGAUUAAAACACAAAACAUAUUUUUUCCGUUUCUAAGAGGCAAGGUCAUGCCUCUCGUAGAUGCAAAUCCGUGCGUCUCGCAGAAGCAAAUACGUGCCCUCAUGGAAGAAAAAAUAAACAUGUAUUUUUUCGCUUCUAAGAAUUACGGGGUGCCUCUCACGGAAGCAAAAUCAUGCCAAUCGAGGAAGUAAAAAAUAUAUUUUUUGCUCAAUGAAAUCAAUUUUUCUUUCCAAAUGUUAAGAAAGAUCGACGAAAAACCAAAGAGCCAAAAUAACCAUGACAAAACCAAAUAAAAAGCCAAAAAUGCAUGCAAAAAAUGAAAUAAAAAUAAAAAAUUCGGAAGAAGCGUCUAAAGCAUGACACAUGGCAGGUGGUAAGAGAUUGCCAAAUGGCACGCUCUCAGCAUGACCCUUGAGAGGCUUCCGAAGGGGUGCUCCUCCACUAGUGGCACACUCUCAGCGUCAUUCAGUAUUGUAGUGAGCGGAUGUAUGCUUCGGGUGCACCGAGUGUAACAUCCGAGUCGCUAAAGGGGGUGAGCAAGAUGGGCCGGUCCAUGCAGGCGAGACCACAACCUGUUUUUCUGUUUUCUGUUUCUGUUUUCUAAACAUACGAUUUAUGUGUAUUUUAGGUCUUUGAAUCAUAUAGGGUCAUGGUAUUCACCAUACAGCAUGUAGAAUAUUUAUUCUUCACCCCUUCUGUUUUAACAUCACAACAUCAUAUUUUUAUGUUUGGUAAUAUUUUGUGUUAUGUCAGAAGUCAAACGCGAACGUAAGAAAAUAUAUAUCGGCUAUGACAAAUAUUUUAUGUUAAGUAAAAUAAUGAAAUUAAUUUAGUACACAACAUACAUAAAAAUGUAUAUUUUUUGUAGCCUUUAGGCUUACCUUAUUUUCUCGUGCCAAAUUUACCAUAUUGAAACAAUAUGGACAUAACAAUUUAUGUACCAAACAUAAUUUUAUAGCGAAACGAUCUUAAGAAUAACUCGAGUGCAAAAUGACAUACUCUGCACCCUGGGUGUUGAGUGGGAGAGGAUUUGGGGCAUGCAGGUGCGGGGCACCGAGUCUCUCGCGCGUGCUUUUUUUGGCUUUUUGAUUUCCAGACUUUCAUUUCUUUUGAAUAAAAAUUCUAAAUUAAGUUAUUUUUUCAUAUUCGUGUUUUUGCUCACGAGGGCUUCCGAAUAAGAUCCAUUUUUGAUGAUUUUUUUUGUGAAGUUCCAACUCUUGAAGCUUACUAUGAGAGCCACCGAUUAUAAAUCACGAUUUCAGUGCCGACGACCGACAAAAAAUUGCUUACACUUUCAGCUCUGAAACUUGAUACACACGAUCGAGAAAAUCAGAAUUUUUAGAUGCAAAAUCGUAAGUUUGAACAAUUAAAACAUAAAAUUUACUCUGCCGUCGUGCGGGGUGUAACUACUUCAUGAAUUGCGAGACAAUCUAGCGGCGAGGCAAGGCUUGACAGGUGCGCGCUCCUGAGAUUUUCUAGGCAAAGAUAGCAUUUUUAUGUAUAUUUAUGUAAAAGUACUUUAUAGUUGAGAUUAUCAUGACAAGUAAAAAUGACUUAUUCUGCAUCGUGGAUGAUAUCUUAGAACCACUUAGUCGACUUAACAUGCUAAAUGUGAAAAGAUGACGAUAGAGGUGAGACUGUGACAAGUUGGUGCUAAUCUAUUAGUAUAACAGGUCUUAUAUGGCACAAUCAAGAUCCUGACAACCCCGCACUCAUUAACCUAUCUUGUUUUGGCAUAAUAACCGCAACGAAAGCUCCAACAAAAGCAAGGAUUGAAAGGCGUCAAUCCAAUCGUGUGACCUUCAAAUACUUGGUGUAUCUUAAUGCAUUGCACCAGCGACGUCGUUUUUCUAGCUGGACCAAAGCUCUUUUAUGCAUGAAUGAUUGCUCACCCCACGUACUUUACGUCGUUGCAUGCACCACCCCUGAGGAAACUGAAGCAGCCACGUGGCAUACCUGGUGGGCAAUCUCUUCUUUUUGGCAUACUUGGUGGGCAAUCAAAGCUUUAUGAUUGAUAGUAAAAAAGAUGAACGUACGCCUGUAUGUAUAUACGUCAUGUACGUGGUGGCUCCUAAGCCUCAAAUGUCGCAAAGAGAAAAGUCACACGUGUUUAUCAUGUACACACAAAGCUCUUUUUAUAUUUUUUUUGGCAAAAUGAUGUACACACAAAGCUCUUUUUUUUUUUAUCUUUGGCAACAUCAUGUACACACAAAGCUCUCUUUUAUGCUUGGCAAAAUCAUGUAGACGGAGGUCAGGCUAUGUGUGCCUAACUAGUUACCAUUGAGUGUACAUUGGACCAGGCAUAGAUAGUAAUGGAAGUAAUGGUAUACACGUCAUCCAUUUGGAUACGAGCUAAGACGGGAGAAACCCUUUUGAUCCAAUCCGACGACAGCAUGCAGCUAGUGCGGGAAACGAUAGCAAUUUAAAAAGUAAGCGAGUACACCGAUCAUGCACAAAGCACCCUCCGAUGGAAAUGAGACGGGAUCCAACUUGCGGGGAGGCGAAUGGGACAGCUCGAUCGUAGGAUAUGAUAGGAUAUGAUAUUGUUUCUCUAAUAAGAAUUCGCGUAAUUGGGUUGCUAAACCCCCCUGGCUCUGUCGUUUGUAAUCUCGUGUCGACGAUGUAACCUUUUGCUUGACCAUCAAUAAAGCUUGAUUGACGUGGUGGCCUUCACUAAAAGAAAAGCAUGAUCUACCUUCACCUUAUUUUACAUCUGAUGGAUGUGUGCCCUUGGAUGCCCACCCAACGGCUAGAGGUUAAAGACUGAGGAUUUUUAUUGCCAUUGAAGAAAAUGAAAAAUGAGUCUCCAUGUGCCAGCAGCAAGUCCUAAAAGAAUGACGCAGAUUUAGCUUGCUAGGUAAGUUUCAGAAAAUGACAAAUAUAUAUUUAGUCCAGCAAAAAUAGAAUGCGACAAACCAUGAAGAUUUGAUACAAAAAUAAAUCAUAAUUAAGCUUCAUGAUGAUUAAAAAUACCGCGAGGUGAGGCUAAUUUAGAUGGUUAGGCCCCAUGUGGUGGAACCAAUCCAUCCAGAUUCAAAUCCUACAAUUAACACUUGCGCUCGCAUAUUUUCUGAAUUGACUUCGGACUUUGCGGUGCUAUACAUUCAGUGGUAUGGCGUGCCGUUAACUACACGGUGCCUAUGAAGACUUCAUCAAUAUCAAGAUCUACCGGUUCCUUCUCUCGAAAGUGCUCCCAGGAUAGAGUUUGUGAGCGUUUGCAUCUGUACCGUGUUUCUCAGAAAAUUAAUAAAAUUUAAUGGAUCUCAAGGUCUCCAUUGAUAUGAGCUUCGCCAUGUACAACCAAAGAAGCGCAGCACCUCCCCUCCCGUGGUUGUGGAAGGGGAGCACCAGGUUAGCCGAAUCGAGAAGCAACGGUGGCACCAACGAGGAAGCGAGUGAACAAAUCGGGCAAAUUGCCUGACAUAGUGGCUGGAUCUGAGCUCGCCUGGUGGAGCUCCCAACUGUAGUCACGAACCGUGUUUUGGUUCAGUGAUGUCUCAAAAACACCGGAGUAAACCUGAAAAAAUUAGGGUGUUAACUAAACCAGAGACGGGAAACCAAUCUAUGGUGGAAUAGUUAGAAGGAUAGAUGUAUCCCUAACCCAUUAGAGUUCAAUAUCUAGCCUUGAUACUGGUGCUUGCAUUUUUCUUCAUUUAUUUCAAGCCAUUUGACGAUGCUUGUUCAGUGAUAGAAGACGUUUUCGUCGACUACGAAGACGUCAUUAACGACUUUCUAUCUUAAAAUGAUGUAUCUGCUCAGUAUCUUGAAGAUGCACAUAGAGAUAGGAUACACAUGCAUACAUUAAUUUAGGUAAAUGUAUGUACGUAUGUAUAAGCGUAUGUACUGUGUUAAGAAAUAAGCUAAACCACAGACAUUUGCAAUCACAGAGAAAUCAAGAAAUAAAAGGUAAUUUGUGUCACAGGUUUGCUAAUUGAGGGGAAAAUAAUAAUUUUUCCUAAAUGAGGUAAAAAUAUGUCAGAAACAUGAAACAAGGAGAUUAAAAAAAUGAAUUCACUCAUUUUAUAUAUAUAUAAAAUUUCGACUGAUGAAUUCAUUAAACAUCUUUGCGAACAUUGAUGGGCUGGAUCGUGGUCUAUAAACACACAGAAUAAGUGUGCCGCCAAUCCUAGGACCCAGGCCGAAUCAUACGGAAUCAUCAUCAUCGUACUAGUUUGUUUUACAUACAUACAGUAGGUACAGGCACCUGCAGACCGUGGUGCGAAUAUUAUUUUUCUUGGAAAAGAAAAACGUCUUAUACGAAUAUUAAAGCUUGCACGACUCAUGCAUGAGCCAUGCAUGCCUGCAUGCGUGCGUGCGUGCGUGCGUGAAUCUAGACCACCUCGACAGAACGGGCAAAGCCCGCCCCCGGGGCCGCCGCCUCAGUAGCGCAUCUCCUGGGGACGUCGCCGGCCAUCUCGGUGACCGGGCGCACCUCGGCGCAUGAGCUCUUGUCGGCCUUGCCGACGUUGAUCACGACGACGUGGUCCUCUGCGGGCACCUUCCAUGCCUCUUUCCCCUCCUUGGCAUCGGUUGCCACCACCGGCGUCGCGUUCAUGUAGAACAUGUAGAGGACCAUCUGGAUCAUCCCGAAGGUGAAGCCAAGGAUGUUUGGGAGCUGGAAACACAAAUUUAAUCAUCGAUCACUGCUCAUGCUUGAGAAUUGUAUGCGUAUCCAUCUGCCAUUAGAAGGAUCGUUUGUGUAGUUACCGCGACGUAUUUGUCCUUGAUGAGCAGGCCGUAGAGGAACCAGACGAUGGCGCUGAGGGUGAGCGUGAGGGAGAGGGAGAAGGGCAUGUACUCCACACUCUUGGUCUUGAUCACACGACCCUUUGGGAAGGACAGAACACAUACAAGAGGUUGAGGAAUGAGCAACAAUAUAUACAGCAAAGUUUAUCGGUCGAGGGCUCACGAUGAUGCUGAGAGGCGCGACGAAGACGCACACGGAGAAGCCGACGCAGAUCCAGCCGAGUGAGACGACGCGUGUCUCGCCGUGGAAGGCGAAGAGGGUGAGGACGAAAAUGAGCCCGAAGCCGGCGAUGUUGAGGAGGAGGACGAUCUUGGCUGUGAAAAUCUUGGCCUUCCUGGGGGCGUAGACGAGGUACAUGAUGAUGUAGACGGUCUCGAUGACGCAGCCGGCAGCGUUGAUGGUGAUGAGGAGGCCCUCGCCGGUCUUGACCAGCGCGUAGAAGAUCCACAGCAUCGCGCUGAAUAGGGCCACGACAUAGGGCACCGACUGGAACCCCUCCGUGGAUUUGCUCUUGAAGAUCCGGUAGAAUGUUGGUCUAAUAUUUUAUUUUUGUGUGUACAUUAAUUAGUUAUACGAGAGAACUUAUUAAUUAACAGGAUCAAAUGAAAUACUUCCUCCGUCCUAAAAUUCUUGUCUUAGAUUUCUCUAGAUCUAAAUGUAUCUAGUCACGUUUUAGUACUUUGAUACGUUUAUUUCUAGAUAAACCUAUAACAAGAAUUUUGGGACGGAGGAAGUAAAAAACAACUUAGACAGUAGCUUACAUCGGGGCCAGGAGGCUCGAGAAAGAGAUGACGUUGCCUGCAAGGCACAAAGUUAGCAAAGUUAGCGAUGGGUUGUGAUAAUUGUACGACACAUUUACAUCUAUCUUUUAUGCGCUUUGUCCUUUUCAUAAAAAACACAGGCAAUUUGCUUUGUUGUUGUUUCUUUUUGGGAUUUUGGUGCACCAAGCUAGAUGGCACUAGAGCUAGUAUACUAGACUACAUCAGUUAAUCAAUCAGUGGCAAAGAUAAGAUAUAUAGAUAGAUGCUACAAAAGGAUAUAUGAUCUUAAACGACACAAAGUAGUCUACUAGUACUGCACUAGCAAAUAGCAGCUGUAAUAAGAAACUAUCAUAAUACAAGAGGUAAUUCUUGGAGAUCAUUUGUUCGUGGUAAGAAUAAUAUACCUAGCAGGCCGAAGGUGAAUGCCCAAGGGUGCUCCAUGGAUAGGCCACCCAUUGUUACAAAGAUAUAUAACAGUGAGAUGGAUGCGAAGAACUUGGUAUAACAGUGGGGCGAGAGAUUGUUUUUGCUGUCUCUCUCUCUCUCUCUCUCUAACCCUAGACUCCUGGCGGAGAGAAGGGAGAGGUCUGGAGAGGAGAGCUCUCUAAGUUGGUUUAAACUCUUAGCCUGAAUUGUAAGCUUGGUAAUGGGGUGCUUUAUAUAGGCAGGGAGACAUGACUGCCUUGGCGUAUGCAAGCUGUCCGAUCACACAUAUGCCACACAAAAUUAAUGAUUGGCUUUCUAGAAAAAAAAAAAAGGUUUCCAGCAAUGCAUAAUUGAGCUUAUCUAAUGUGCUAUGCUUGAUAGAGAUAAUGAUGGCAAAUUUUAAAGUUGUCGCUUUGGUGCACUCUUUAGCUUUUAGUGUGCAUAAUGCCUCUGCUGCUGAAUUGUUGUACACUCCGAAUUGUGUUGCACUACGUCAUUCUUCCAAUCUUUCCAACCUAGAUCUUUGGGGUGUGGUAUUAGCCGCCACAGAAGUGCGAACCAAAUGAGACAUUGCAACUCACUUUUCAGACCCUUAGUUGUUCACUGAAUUUACCCAAUGAAUGUCUUACAGGAAUAAGUAAUAAAGUUUAUAUGCUAUAUCUAUUUUCCUUGUCAAUGUUUGGACACAAAUAUAGUUAAACAUAGUGUCCAAAACUGAAUUAGUUUAACAGACUUCUCGUAUUCAAAAUGUAAGCAAUGUGUUAUUAAUCUAAUGUACCGACAUAAUUGUACUUCUAGUAAUGAAGGCACUAAUAGAAUAUUUAUCUUACAGAUGCAAUAUAACUUUAAAGAAGUAUGCAAUUGCACAUACAAUCAAAUAAUGCUAUUCACCUUAACCUCAUUUCAUAUAAAUACAAUCCAAUAAUGUAUUAGUUUGUGCGAGUAUCAUAGUCCUCAAAUGAUUUGUUCCUAGAAAAUGAUGCAACCAAUGCCUUAGAUCGUCAAAUUCAUAAAUAUAAAAAGGUCAUGCAGUUUAACUUUCCAAUCGAAUUGACUCGUAUACGUAGAACCAUCUUUUACUAUUACAACGUAUUUUAUUGUACAAUUUGUGAAAAAUAGUAGUGAAGUGUUUUAGCUUGCUUAUAUAAGGUCGGGAUAUCUUAGACUGCGAUAGCAUUGUCGUUGAUUAUAAUAUGCUGUUUGAGAUCAAAUCUGUAGGAUUUAUCACUUGAGUAGUUAGUUUUAGUUAUGACCUACAAAAUUGUCGAUAAAGGGGCGCUCUUUUCACUCAAAAUAUCACAUCAGUGGAAUACAAUCAAAACAAGUUCACAUCCAUUCUCUAUGUGACCAAGAUACACACAGAACCACACACACUCUAAAUAAUGCAACGAAAAAAAAGUUGUACGUUACUUACAAUACAAGGAGAGAGGAGGGGGCAAGCCUCAGAGCAUCUCUAGUAGUACCCUCAAACCCUCNNNNNNNNNNNNNNNNNNNNNNNNNNNNNNNNNNNNNNNNNNNNNNNNNNNNNNNNNNNNNNNNNNNNNNNNNNNNNNNNNNNNNNNNNNNNNNNNNNNNNNNNNNNNNNNNNNNNNNNNNNNNNNNNNNNNNNNNNNNNNNCCUCAAACCCUCAAACCCUUAUAAAUAACUGUUUUUUUACAGUUUGCGAAUAAAAAAACGCAUAGACUAGAACCCCUUAACCCUCAAACCCUUAAAAAAAAUUUGAGGAUCCAACCCUCAAACUCCCUCUCAACCUGUAGAAGUGAGGGUUGGAGAGCGAAAACUACCCCAACCCUCAAACCGUUCCAUCGUCGCGCGGGAGGGACUUUNCCUUUCCCCGCCCCCCACCGGCCCCGCCAUUCCGACCCCCCCCGCCGCCCCAGGCUGCCGCCGCGCCCCGCCGCCCCGAGCCGCCGCCGCGCCGUGCCCCACGGCCGCCCGCCGCGAGGCCGGCCCCAGGCCUCCUUGAGCUCUCCUCGCCGCCGCGCCAGAGGCGAGGCGGGCCAGAGGCAGCCGCGCCGCCACGAGCUCUCCUGUUUUUGCCCCUGUUUUUGUUAUAAGGGUUGGGUUUGAGGGUUCUAGUCUUUGCCCCUGUUUUUCAACCCUUAAAAGUGCCAAAAAAUGCAAAUUCUCAACCCUUAAAACUGGUUUGAGGGUUUGAGGNNNNNNNNNNNNNNNNNNNNNNNNNNNNNNNNNNNNNNNNNNNNNNNNNNNNNNNNNNNNNNNNNNNNNNNNNNNNNNNNNNNNNNNNNNNNNNNNNNNNNNNNNNNNNNNNNNNNNNNNNNNNNNNNNNNNNNNNNNNNNNNNNNNNNNNNNNNNNNNNNNNNNGAGGGUUUGAGGGUACUCCUAAAGAUGCUCUCAGAUGAUGCCUCCAACCAUUUCAGGUAAAGACAUCCUUGUCCUUCUGUUCCAUCCACGUACACACGGCUAUAAACAGUUGUUAGUGUUCAGAUCACUGAAGAAUAGACUACAAAGGGACCCAUUGCGUAGACUUCUAGAUAACCUGUAGCAAAGAGAAAUCUGACUUAUAACUAAUUUGUUUUCGAAAAGAAGGAUUACUCCCGGCUAAGCCUGGGCAUNNNNNNNNNNNNNNNNNNNNNNNNNNNNNNNNNNNNNNNNNNNNNNNNNNNNNNNNNNNNNNNNNNNNNNNNNNNNNNNNNNNNNNNNNNNNNNNNNNNNNNNNNNNNNNNNNNNNNNNNNNNNNNNNNNNNNNNNNNNNNNNNNNNNNNNNNNNNNNNNNNGCCGGGCCGGGCCGGGCUUCAGGCCGGGCUUUACAAAGCCCGAACUGGAAAUCCAAGCCCAAGCCCGGCCCGGCCCGGCAAAAAAAGUGAAAUCAGGCCCGAGCCCGACCCAAAUGGUCAUAAAAGGUGAAUUCCAUGCUGGGCCGGGCCGGGCCUCCGUGUAAAUCAUUGUUUUUUGUAAGCCCAAGCCCGGCCCGAACUGCUUCCCCGGUCCGAUUGUCAAGCCCGGGCCCGGCCCGAACACAAAGCCUAACCCGGCCCGACCUGAGUUUUUCAGGCCGGGCUCGAGCCGGGUCGUCGGGCCGGGCUGCCCAUGCCCAGAUAUACUCUCGGCCUCUGGGCCGGGCUGCCCAUGCCCAGAUAUACUCUCGGCCUCUGGAUCAAUAGAUGCAGAUAGUCAGUUAUUAAAAAUGAACCGUGUAUUAAAGAAUCAUGAACAGCUCCAACAUAAAUAAAGCAAAAAUCACAUGAAAAAAUUCCACAACCAACACAAAUAAAAUAAAAUGCUUACACGUUAUUUUAUUAUUGAACUGUUAUCCAAACUGAUUGUAUGUAUCCCGUGCUAUGCACUAUCUUCCAUCUGUUGCAUCCAAAAGCCAUAAGUCCUCUCAUUUCGGCAUGGUGUAGUAACAACCACGUACAGAUCCAUCCAAACACCCUACCUGCAAAUGUUAUUCUAAUUUUUACUCUAUCAAACACAAAGUCAUUCCGACACCUAUAACUAUGUAUGUUGCAAUCUGAGGAAAUUGUUAACAAGUAGCUGCUAGCUCGGCUUGGGAGUAGCGGUUAAUCGCUAAAUCAGCCUACUAACUGGACUAAUCGAUUGAUCAUUAAUCUGUGUAAUUUUAAACCAUAUAGAAGCAAACUUUGUAUGGAGAAAAGAACCUACAUUACAAAUCUGAAGCAAAUGACACCAUUUCAUUUUCUAAAUAUAUCAAAAACAUGUAAACAAGAACAAUCAUCCAUGUGGGCGUAAAAAAAUCAUCAACAAACAUGUAUACCACAACUUCUUUUUUUGCUUGUUUCUGCAUGAGAAGCAACUCCGAGAGAUGGCGGCAACACAUCAUCGAUAGACGGAGGAAAGGUGAUGUCGGCCGCGCAGGUUGUUUGAACGGGUCGGUUGCUAGAUGUGGCAAGUCCCGAAGAAGGAGGGGAAGUAGUGGCAUCCAGAGGAAGGAGAGAAAGUGGUGACACACAAGGGAGGAGGGGAAGCGGCAACGUGCAGACGAGGACCUAUCAUGUUGGCUAGGUGACAUCUAGUUUGAGAGGGGAGGAGAGGAGCGGGAGGGACGGGUGGAGGGCCAAACCAUAGCAAUUUAGAAGCAGAAGGAGCUGCGAGGGGUUAUGGGCCACACAAUUGGGUUUUGUUUGGCGACGAGGUAACCGGCCAACAUUGAUUAAUCGGACUGACAAUCGAUUAAUCGGUCUGACAGACCAACUAAUCGGUCCGACAGACCAUUUGGUGGGCCUAGCAAGUUAACGCGAUGAAUACGUGGUAUUCAAUUCGGACAUCCGACGAGUAGAGAUUAACCGGACAAUUAAGUGAUUAAUUGAAUGAAUUCUUGAACAAUAUUAUAUUGUUCUAGUAGAUAUAAAAGAAAUUUAGCAUGAGAGUAGGCUUUUGCUCUCAGGCUCCACAUUUCAAACAUUCCAAAAUCAGCUUUUUAAAUUAUAAAAAAUGGAAAAAAUACACAAGUACUUAUGGAUGUAUAUUAAAUGUGAGCGAAAUUUCACCACGAAUACUUUUUUGUGUCGCUUCUACAAAAAAAUCAUGCGAAUUUAUAAUGAAUGGUACAUGUGCUAUGAAUACGCCAAUUUGUCAUUUUUGUGUUGCUCGCUUAAAAAAGCGUUGGUCAUGAUGAAGCUUCACAGACAAGUACUUCCUUCGUUCCUAAAUAUAAGUCUUUCUGAAAGUUCAACUAAUGGACUACAUACGGAUGUAUAUAGACAUACUUUAGAGUAUAGAUUCAUUCAUUUUGUUUCAUAUAUAGACACCUAGUGAAAUAUCUUAAAAGACUUAUAUUUAGAUACGGAGGGAGUAGUAUACAUCCAUACGUAUAUGUGUAUCUUUUCAGAAUCUUUUCAAGCGUAUUUUUUUUUUCAAGUAAUGGGCUCCAAGGAGCUCCAGCUCCAUUAUCAAUAUCCGAUUUAGCACACCAUACACAAUUUGGCAAGCACAAACUAAGCAUUUUCUUCUCAGUUUCCUUCUAUUAACAGUGCAACUAGCUAAGUGGUCCUUUGGUGUUGAUACGAGGGACCGUGCUAGCUAGUUUCGAGUUCCUGAAAUUACAAUGCAAAAAUGAUGUGCUUGGCUUACUAAUCAAUCAAGUCAGCUGGCCUUCUCUCUAAAAGGUGUACACGCUAGAUACGUGCACUCGCAAAAUCUGUCUAGGAACGAUGUGAAAUUUUACAAUGCUCCAAAUUAGUAUAGACUGUUAAAUUUUUAACGGUAUAAUGGGUGACAUAAUAUCACUUCCUUGGUUAUAUCUGAACAUGAUGAUGUCACUCAAGUAACUUGGUUAACUUUCAGUCGAUUGAGAUCUAGCUACAAUAUCCUAAAUGCCGCUGCAAAAUAACAACUUACUCCUUCUAUGUCUACAUAAUUAUUGUUGGAAAAACUAGACUAGCUAGUUCUCCAUAACAAUAAUUAUUUAGGUACAGAGGGAGUACAAAGUAUAAUGCUACCCUUGUCCACCAGACCGUCAGGAUUAAAAGUAUGUCUUACCUCUAGGCACGUAAGGUAGUGCACCUUAAUAAAAGAACUAAAAAACUAUACCCAGCAUUGGUGCUGUUUGGUUGAAAAUUCAGUACGGAUGUAGAGUGAGUAAAUCAAUAAGCCUAGUUAGAUUCUUCAUAUAUGACUUCUAAAAAAAGGUUCUUUCUUUAUGAAGACCAUGCAUGUUCACUGUUAAUACUGAGAACUGACAUGCUGAUUCCUACAAGCAAAAAAAAAGAGGUAGCAUCUCUGAAGAAUCCUCAUAGAAGUUCUCUUAACUAUAUUUUGCACUUGACGGCGGACCCAUGAUUGGAAUUGGACGCACACGAAAGCUGUUGAUUUUUUGUUUGAGGGCUAUGAAAGCUGUUGAUUAGCAAUAGGUCGGCUAGCAAAGAACGGAUGCUGUUGCUCUCUCUUUUGGAAAGCCGGCGCAGAUGUAAUCAGGUCCACUGAAAUUUGACCACCUUUGCCUUUUGUCACCGAUAUACACGUUCACAAAGCGCGUGAUUUUCAGGGUGAUGAUCAUUCCCCUCGUGAUUCCUCAAAAAGUUUCAUAUGAGAUUCAUGGUCAAUAUAGUUUCUCCACCUAGUCAAUACAUUGGGUUCGUUCGAUCCUCGAAUGGGGAAGGUUGCCGCACGAGCUGAACCGGGCUCCAACCAUGCACCCUCGGAAAAAAUGCCGGCAAGAAAAUAGAUGCGUCUCAUACACAAGAGGCUCAAGACCCUCGCCACCCAUAUGUAGGUUAUUGUCAUUUUAAAUCUCAGAAUGAAUCAAACGAAGCCCAAAAAUCAUGAGACUUGCCAUGGUGACAUGAUAUGUCCAAUAGACGCUAUGCUAAAAAAAUUGAGAAUAUUUGACAAAGAUUAUCACGUAAAUUUCUUACAAACCGGACCAUCUUUCAUGAAGAAACUAGGUUUCGAGAGGGAACACACUACAUUUGCAUAUGAAGCAUAUGUUGCUUCAUCCAUUGGCAUCAGUUUUUUUUUUCACACUCAACACGCAUCACUAAAUCUAUGAUGCCAAAAGUUUGGCCUUUUUUGGCAUCUGCAUGCAAUUUAAUCCAUUGAUGGCAUUCUAGGCAUUUAAUGAAUAUACUUUCAAUUUGAACUAUAGGUACACUAGUGGGGACAGGGCCUAUAGCCCCGGCCCGUAAGGGGCUUUAGUCCCGGUUCACCAACCGGGACUAAAGGGGCGGGACUAAAGGCCUAACCUUUAGUCCACUAGUGGGGACAGGGCCUAUAGUCCCCGCCCGUAAGGGGCUUUAAUCCCGGUUCACCAACCAGGACUAAAGGGGCGGGACUAAAGGCCUAACCUUUAGUCCCGGCCCUGUUCCACGCCGGGACUAAAGGUGCUCCACGUGGGCGCCUCGUAGCGCCCCAGGGGCAGGCCCUUUAGUCCCGGUUCGUUACACGGACCGGGACUAAAGAGUUUCAGAUUUUGUUUAUUUUUGGGUUUUUUUUUUUGAAUGAAAUUAUUUUUGGGUUUUAGGGUUUUAGGGUUUAGGCGUUCGGGAGAUUAACGUGAUGCCUCGUUUGGUGUUCGGGAAUUAGUUUUCAUAUAAUUUAAAUAGAAAUAAUUAUGCAUAUAUAUAUAUAUAAGAUUAACUUAUCUUACAAGCGAGCAUAUAUAUACAAUUAUAUGGAGAUCCGAAUUAUCGGGACUAGAGCCCGUCUAUUCGAUUACAUGGACGAACAUUCAGUAAUGGCCCCUAGCUACACUAAAUUGUCCUUUGUCAUCUAUAACUUCCGUCCUUAGAAAGGUCGCAAGCUCCUCUGCAACAGCAAUCGCGCAUUGCUCUGGUAGGACCUUCGUCCUCAUGGCCGUGUACUAUAUAACAAGAGGAGAUGAAUAUGAAUAUCAAUCAUGAUAACAAAGAAUGACGGGUAAAAAUAGAGGUGUGAAUGUUCAUUGCUUACGUCGAAUCUGUGAUCCUUGUGCUCGGAGGUAAACGUGCGAAUGGUCUCGCAAACAUAGUAUCCGCAUAGAUGCGUUCCCCGUGGCUGCUGGUCGCACUUUACGCGAAUAGAAUAUAUAUAAUCAAAAUAGUAAUCUAGCAUCAUAAAUGUAUUGAAAAUAGAAGUAUAUCAUACUACUACUUACCUGAGCCGCUCUAAAGGUCAGCUUCUCAGGCUCGAUACCGGGAGUCACGCACUUGAACCGCUUCCAAACCCUGCCCGACAAGGAUAAUGAUUUGCUAAGUUUUUCAUUAAUUGAUAUAUCAGAAAAUCAUCGAAAGAGACAGAUAGAGCGCAAGAAUGAUUGAAAUUACCCUUGGAGCAUGCCCUGCAGGCUUUGGAACUGUUCCAAGGGUCUCGAUAAUGGGUCGAAGGCAUCAACUCUUCCCUUAUCAAUUUGAAUGUCCAACAGAAUCCAAUGGAAGCUGCACAUGUAUAUAUAUAUAUGUGUGUGUGUGUGUGUGAGUAACUUAUCAAUUACACUUAUAAGUGAAUGGACACAACAGAGUAAAGACCCUCACCUGAAGUUGUAUGGAAACAGUAUGUGGUCACAUAAAUUUUGAUCUGUUAGAAACCUUAGAAGGUUUUCCUCCGUCUCCUUGGGUUUAUCAGUUAGCGUCGCUAUAUGUAUUUUAUCUGGGUCAAUAAACCCAAUAUUUAGGAUGUUCUUUCUUUUACAAUCCAGAAUCUUCAUUCUGCAUAAUAGAGUACAAGUUAUAUAUAGACAAUGAAUUGAAAUAACUAAACAAGUUAUAUGUAGACAACGAAUUGAAAAACUUACAGACAAUAGCAACUCGUAAGCGAUUUGUCGAGGGCGUCGCCAUUGUACAUCUGGAAGAGUUCAUCAAAGUCGAUAUGGAUUUCUUCGGGGCGGCCGUAGUACUUCCGUGGGACACUCACCACGAUCAUCGUUCUCCCAUUCUUUGAUUCACUUAAGUACCAUGUAUGCAAGUAACGCAUAUUUGUUGGGAGAUCAUCUUUGCUGACCAAAGGUGCUCCCAUGACAAACUGUGGCUUAGGGGCUACCACAGCCUUGGGUAACCUGUCGUCUUGGGAAGCCAGAAUGUCUUCAACCGAGAUACCCCAUUCAGCCGUCCACUUCUUUGCUAAUUCGAAAUAUUGCCCCUGCACAGGAGGGGGGACAUUCUCGGUUAACACCUUGAGGGGUGGGAUCGACUGUUUGGCCUGUUGUCCAAGCUGAGGAACGUCUGAUUUUUUCUUGCUUGUAGUUGAACUUGAUUUGCUCCCACUUGCACUUGCACGUGAUCUGCUCUUUUUCACUUCCUUCUGCAAUGUGCGUGUAUAGUCAUCAGGAUUAUGGUGUAAGUCAUAGAGUGAUGGAAGGGUCGUGAAGUAUUUUGCAAAUGCUAUUUGCUUCUCGGUGUAUUCCGGGCGGGGCUCGGGUUCCUUCUUUUUCAUCUGCGCAUCAUGAUGUUCCUUUGCUAUCCUGGCGUUUUCCUCGGGGGUACGAUCAUAAGGUCUGAUAGGAAGAUUAGCAUGAGGUACCUUUGGGAGGGGCGACCAUUUGCGCUUUGUGGGGCUCCGUCGCUUAGAAAUCGUCGGCGGAGCGUUCUUGGUGGCACGCUUCCGCUUAGUAUCCGGAGCGGGCGGCGGCGGAGACGGACGACCCAAGUCCGGCGGCGGUGAUCGAGAUGGACUCGUGUUGUGCUGGCCAACGUCAUAUGGAGGGCUUGGAGGUGUAGGUGACCUGCGACGGCUCGGAGGCGGUGUUGUCCUUCGGGCCGAGACUGGAAGCUUGAUGUAGUUCUUGUCCCAUAGGAUGACUCCACCCAGUACUUCUCCGAGUGUCCUCUCAUCUUCGGGUCCAGCUAUGUCGAGCUCCAUAUCAUGAAACCCCGUCAUGAUUUCAUCCACCCCGACUUUAGCAAAGCCAGUUGGAAUCUCACGGCCAUGCCAGCGUGCAUCAGGGCCAGAAGGUAAAGCUUGUCCGACGGCCACCUUCAUGGAUAUGUUCUUGAAUUUCUGAUGGAGUUCACAUGAUGUUGACUCCUUGAUUCCAUCCACGGGGUAGCCGGGACCGCCCUCUAUCAUUCUUUGUUCAUCGUCGGGCGGGGCCUCAGGUUCAGCCACGCUGCAUUUCCGCUUAGAUGGGGCGCCGGUAAUAUCAAAUGCAGGAUCUUCCUGGCGCGCUACUCCUCUAAGCUCAUCAAUCUGCUUCUGUUGCUCGUUAAUCUUGGCAAGCAACUGGUUGAACCUGUCAUUCUCCUCAUCCUGCUGCCGCUUCUUUGCUCUCUCUCGGCUUCUGUAAGUGUCUUGGUCUCUGGCAACCCCAAGCCACCACGGGUAAGAAGGACCGAGGCCUCGCGUUCGUCCUUCAUGUUCGUCAUUGCCGAGGACCAGUGUGAGCAAAUCUUUCUCUCUAUCUGCAGUGAACUUUCUUUUUCCCUCCUUAAUUUCUUUCACUAUCCUUUUCCAAUUCUCCCUGGGUAUCCUAAGACCUUCACUGCAGAUGAGGUCCCCUGUUUCUUGUCAUACGAACCACCAUGCGCAAGGAACCAAUUUCUUGCUCUCAAUUCCCACUCAUCACGGAGUGGUUCAGGUACGAUGCCUUUGUCUAGCAGAUCUUGCUCUUUCUUAUCCCACUUUGGGAUGGCAGUCUCAUAGCCCCCUGGCCCCAGCUUGUGGUGAUAUUUCUUCUUGUCGGCAUUUAUCUCGUUCUUUUCUGAUAAUGCCUGGGCAUCUUCUGACUCCUUGUACUCUUGAAAUGCCUUCCAGUGAUUCGCCUGCUUGGCUAGAUACCCCUCGAAUACUGGCACUUUCUUUGUCUUCAGAUAGUUUUUCCAUAGCUUCUUCUUCCAGUUACAGAACAGUUCGACCAUCUUCUUUAGAGUCCACUGCUUGACUUUGGCCCUCAGUUUGUCUGCGGCGUCUUCAUUCUCACAUUCUGGCAGGCUGAAAUGUGACAUGAGAUCAUUCCAAAGAUUAUCUUUGUACCUUUCGGCGACAUAGUCACUAUCGGCUGCCCCUUUGCGCUUGUUCCACUCCCGAACACUGAUCGGGACGUGAUCCCUAACGAGAACUCCGCGUUGCUUCUUGAAUGUGUCAGCAACAUUCUUAGGAAGCUUGGGUUCGCCCGUAGACAAUAUCACCUCAAAGGUGUAAUGCGUCCAUGCAUCCAACUUUCUAGUCGGGCCUCGUUUCGUAGCUUUGCUCGAUGUGGAGGCCUAAGAGGGAGAAACAUUCGUCACAUGAAUGUAUAUGUAUACAAUAUGGAGCUAUCUCCAAUAUUUUUCACAUAUUACAAGUGAUUGUCGAACUUCAUAUGUAUACCUCGCCGGACUUUAUUAUUUCUUCACCGGCUUCUCCACCGGCUUCUCCAUCAGUGGAGCUAUCACCUUCUCCGUCAUUGGACCUAUCUCCUGCCCAUUCGGCUUCAUCUUUGUGUCGCUCGACCUCCAUUCCAUAUCCGGAGGGGUUUAGAUAUGACGAUGGAGAUUCAGCUGGUUCAAUGUCGGGGCCGUCUUUGAUUAUAUCUUCGAGAAGUUCUUCCUCUUCGAGGUUCUUGAUAUGUGGAUCCAUAGUUCUGCAAAAAACGGACAUUUGAUUAACUAAUAAACUAACAAACUAUAUAAGAGGGGUUGGAAACUUCGAAGUGUCGUUUUAUAUAGGAGGACCUUUAGUCCCGGGUCUUGGCUAGAACCAAAUCGUAAAAUAAAGUAGUAUUCAAAUUAGCAUGCAUUCAAUUAUAAGCAAAUACAUCAUCUCUUUUGUCCGUACAUCGUUGAAUAUUAUCACUAAUACUCCUUGAAUACUAUCAUACAUAUAACAUCACUGAUACAUCUAGAACCGUAGCGCCCGACAGGUAUCGGCACGGGCGGUGGACACCCAAAGAGAAGGAACCAUCACAGGAUCAUAGCUCCAGUGAGAUCCCCGAAGAACCUGCCAGGUAUGCUCGAACCUGCCCUCCAACGCAACCAUGUAGCGACGGACGUGCUCAUCCUCCUCGCUGACACGGUGACGUACCACCUCCGCGGGGUCCGGAAGCCUCGGCACCCUCACUGGCCCAGGCGACUGCCACCAAACAAGGAUCGGGUCAACGACGGGCUGGCUCCUCACCAACCUACGCCCCCUGGAAGGUAGCACCUCCCAAUACCAGCCGGGCGGAGCCCAGUCCCGGACAGGGCCCCUCUGAUCAAGCAGGUGUCCUUCGCCGAGUCGACAACGAGAAUGCGGGAUAGGCAUCGUAAAAUGAACUAAAAAAAUAAACUAGUUCUAUUAAUUUUCUUGCUAAAAAUAAACUAUUAACACUUAAGCAUAUACAAUAGCAAAUUAAACUAUUAACACUUAAGAAUAUACAAUAGCAAAAUUAAGCAAUAAUCUAAGAAACACUAUUAACAGUUAAGCAUAUACACUAUACAAUAGCAAAAUUAAAUGACAAAAAAAAUAUUUCUUCUUCUUGUAACCCUAAACUAUUUUUUCCUCUUCUUCUAUUUCUCCUCUUCUUCUACUUCUACUUCUCCUCUUCUUAUACUACUUCUCGUCUUCUCUUCUUCUACUUCUCCUCUCCUCCUCUUUUAAUUUUUUCUCUUCUUCUACUUCUCCUCUUCUUCUAUUUUUCCUCUUCUUCUCCUCUCCUCCUCUUCUUAUUCUCCUUUUUCUUCUUUUCUUCUCCUCCUCUUCUUAUUUUCCCUUUUCCUAAUCUUAUUUUCUUAUUUUUGUUCAUAUUUCUUAUUCUUGUAACCCUAACCUAAUUCUAAAUAUUACUAACCCUAAUAAUCUAGCACAAACCUAAUAACAAUAGGAAUUAAAUGACAAUUUUUUUCUUUUUCUUCUUUUCUUCCCUUUUUCUUCUUUUCUUCUCCUUUUUCUUCCUUUCUUCCCCUUUUCUUCCUUUCUUCCCUUUUUCUUCUUUUCUUCUCCUUUUUCUUCUUUUCUUCUCCUUUUUCUUCUUUUCUUCUCCUUCCCUUUUUCUUCCUUUCUUCUCCUUUUUCUUCCUUUCUUCUCCUUUUUCUNNNNNNNNNNNNNNNNNNNNNNNNNNNNNNNNNNNNNNNNNNNNNNNNNNNNNNNNNNNNNNNNNNNNNNNNNNNNNNNNNNNNNNNNNNNNNNNNNNNNNNNNNNNNNNNNNNNNNNNNNNNNNNNNNNNNNNNNNNNNNNNNNNNNNNNNNNNNNNNNNNNNNNNNNNNNNNNNNNNNNNNNNNNNNNNNNNNNNNNNNNNNNNNNNNNNNNNNNNNNNNNNNNNNNNNNNNNNNNNNNNNNNNNNNNNNNNNNNNNNNNNNNNNNNNNNNNNNNNNNNNNNNNNNNNNNNNNNNNNNNNNNNNNNNNNNNNNNNNNNNNNNNNNNNNNNNNNNNNNNNNNNNNNNNNNNNNNNNNNAAGUUUAGUCCCACCUCGCCGAGCGAGGGGGACAAACACUUGUUUAUAAGCCCCGUCGCAGCUUCUCCAUCGAGCUCCUCUCUAAAGUAGGCUUACGGGCCUAACCUAACUGAAAAUUGAAACUAUAUUCGAAAUUAUGGAGAAAAUUCAACCUGAAUUCAAAGUGAGUUCACUUCGAAUUUAGGUUGAAUUUNNNNNNNNNNNNNNNNNNNNNNNNNNNNNNNNNNNNNNNNNNNNNNNNNNNNNNNNNNNNNNNNNNNNNNNNNNNNNNNNNNNNNNNNNNNNNNNNNNNNNNNNNNNNNNNNNNNNNNNNNNNNNNNNNNNNNNNNNNNNNNNNNNNNNNNNNNNNNNNNNNNNNNNNNNNNNNNNNNNNNNNNNNNNNNNNNNNNNNNNNNNNNNNAAACUAUUUUCUAUUUUGAAAAGUAGUUAUUUUGACUAUCCAAACUAUUAACUAUUUUGUUAUUUUCAAUUAAAAACUAGGUUUAUUAAUUUUUUUUUUGCAUAUUUGAGAAUUUGACAAAACUAUGAUAAUGAAAAGUGUUUCAAAUUGAAUAAAUAAUUCAAAACUAUUUUCUAUUUUCAAAAGUAAUUAUUUUGACUAUCCAAACUAUUAUCUAUUUUGUUAUUUUCAAUUAAAAACUAUGUUUAUUAAAAAUUCUUUUUGCAUAUUUGAGAAUUUGAUAAAACUAUGAUAAUGAAAAGUGUUUGAAAUUGAAUAAAUAAUUCAAAACUAUUUUAUAUUUUCAAAACUAAUAAUUUGGCUAUCCAAACUAUUAACUAUUUUGUUAUUUUCAAUUAAAAACUAUGUUUAUUAAAAUUCUUUUUGCAUAUUUGAGAAUUUGACAAAACUAUGAUAAUGAAAAGUGUUUGAAAUUGAAUAAAUAAUUCAAAACUAUUUUCUAUUUUCAAAAUUAAUUAUUUUUACUAUCCAAACUAUUAUCCAUUUUGUUAUUUUCAAUUAAAAACUAUGUUUAUUAAUAAUUCGAACGAGAACUCAUCUCUUACAAAGGGAUUUCAUUUUUUUGAACUUAUUUGAACUCCAUACUUUUUGUGUGUUCAAAUUUCACCAUUCAAAGGCACAUCACAAAAUAUCAAUAAUUUCUGACUUCAUUUGGUAUUCUUCGUGCAUUUACUUAUUUUGUUUUGAGCUAGUUGAUCCUGAAAUUGAAAAGCACUACAAAUGAACUCUGAAAAUGUUGAAAGUUGGCAUGCUAUCAUCAUUUCACACACAUAGCAUGUGUUAAAAAGUUGAGAGGGCUACGACAAAAACUGGAUGCACUUCGUGUACAAAACAGACAAUCUCUCUCGAAGUAUUAGCGUUUCAAACGAGAACUCAUCUCUUACAAAGGGAUUUCAUUUUUUUGAACUUAUUUGAACUCCAUACUUUUUGUGUGUUCAAAAUGCACCAUUCAAAGCCACAUCACAAAAUUUCAACAAUUUCUGACUUCAUUUGGUAUUCUUCGUGCAUUUACUUAUUUUUUUGAGCUAGUUGACCCUGAAAUUGAAAAGCACUACAAAUGAACUCUCAAAAUGUUGAAAGUUGGCAUGCUAUCAUCAUUUCACCCACAUAGCAUGUGUUAAAAAGUUGAGAGGUCUACGACAAAAACUGGAUGCACUUCGUGUACAAAACGGACAAUCUCUCUCGAAGUAUCAGCGUUUCGAACGAGAACUCAUCUCUUACAAAAGGGAUUUCAUUUUUUUGAACUUAUUUGAACUCCAUACUUUUUGUGUGUUCAAAUGCAUCAUUCAAAUGCACAUCACAAAAUUUCAACAAUUUCUGACUUAAUUUGGUAUUCUUCGUGCAUUUACUUAUUGUAAAAACUGUAACUGAAAAUAAUUUUCUAACAUAAAACAACACAUAUCUUCUACUAAUAAUAACAAUGCAUUGUAAAAACUGUAACUGGAAAUAAUUUUCUAACAUAAAACAACUUCCAAUGAUUUCCCUUCACAACUAAACGUUUUACCUAAAUAUCUUUAGUUACAGAAAUAUUUGGAAUACAUGGAAGGACGAUAUAUGUGCACAGGAAAUAAAUUGGAUUGAGAAUGUGGUCAACCAAUCAAUGCCUACAUCAUGUUUCCUUGCUCUGAAUUUGUUUUUUUCAGAAUGGCGACUUUUCUCUCACAUAACUAAAUUUGAUAACAGGUUCAUCUUCCUUGCUCUAAUCCUCACUUUCAUCUUUUUUCCGAAACGACCCUCAGGCGGACUCCAUUACCAUUGAUAAUGAAACAAAAGUAUUUCACCACGUAAUGCAUGAUGCUUGAUCUAUCCAAGGUAGAUGACAAAAUAAAAGUACUACUGUCACGCACAAACAAGGAUUGGAAACAAUGGUGCUUUCAGUAAUCUGAAAAAAUGUUUUAUAAUGUUUGCCAAAUAAGAUUACCACCUAUCAGGCAUGAGUUGUUGCUUUAAACAACAAGCACUAACAUUGUUUUUAGCCUUGUGAAAUUUAAAUCGAAACCUGAGUAUUAAGCUUGUACUAGUUUGGAUAUGCCCAAAUCAAUUAAAGUUGGGGUGAAAUCAAAAUUGAAUAACAUAAAAGAUAUACCGAAUCACUUAAUCACUUGAGAUGUAGGUGUGCAUCACACCAUCUGGAACUAAAACGAAUGCAGACUUCGAGCUGGUAGCACAUCUCACGGGUGACGGUGCUGUCAAAAUUGAUGGAUUGAAGGACUAGAGGACAGCAGGAGCAGGAGCGAACAUCACCAAGCAAAAAAAAAUCAAGCAGCUGCAGUGUGUUGCCGGCUACUAACAGCAGGAGCAGCACGGGUCGGCCACGAGCGGGAGCGGCAGCAGCACGUUCGGUCUCAGGUCGAGGACGCGGGCCGCAAGCUCCUAAACCUAACCCUAGGUCGCCGCUGCGAGGAGAAGGGGAUGAACAAGAGAGGUGGAAGACGACUCACCGUGCAUCGCCGGAUGGCAAGCCACUACAAGCGGAAGGAGGAGGAGUCGGUGGUGCUUUGCUACUCAGCUCGUCGAAGCCCGACCACGAACAGGUCGGCGGCGCGACCGUAGAGGGGACGAGCUGUAGGUGGAGGAGGACCGCGGGCUCCGGAGCGAUCUUGGGGAGGGAGACCGCGGGCUCGGCAUCGCGUGCAGGUGGAGGAGCGAACGGCAGCGUGCGCGGGUGCGGGGAGGGUGGGAGCUGCAGCAGGUGGCGGCGGCGAUCUGGAAUGGGAGGAGCCGACGAGUGGGUGGCUAGGGUGCGGGGAGGGUGGGUUUGCUAGUUUUUUUUCUCCUUUUCUUCAGAAGGAUGAAUGGAUGAAGGAUCGAUGGACGUGGGAUUGCUAGGAAAUGACGGUAGGAUUUGUGCCAUGUCAUCGAUCCGUGGCAUAAAUGGUUCCACCAAUCAGAAUCCAGCUUAUGUAAUUGUUUUUUUUUCUUUUAUAUUUUUUAUCCUCUUAUUUCGAGUAAACACUCAACAUAUUAGCCUUAUGUGGUAUGUUUAAAUGAAUCUAUAUUUAUGGACCCAUAUUGGAUUUAGAUAUUAGUCUGAAUAUAUGUUGGAUUUAGAAAAUAUGGACCCAUAUUGUUGUCUCUAGUUGUAUUUUUUUGAUUGCCUAAAAAGAUUUGUCGAAUAUUUAUUAUUUCACUCAAAAUAAAGCUAUAUUUUUUGAUUGAGUGUUGUGGAUGGAAACACUUCUCAUUUAAUUAUGAUAGUAUUUGGCAUUACUGAAAAAUUCACCCACAUAUUUUUUAUUGUCAUGUUUAAGUUUUUAUUGUGUGAAACACUAAGUUAAGGUUCCCUAUACCACCUAUCAAAAAUAUUUAUCUCAAUAGGGUCUACACAUUAUGAGAUUAGCAUGGGCUAAUAUAUUUCAUUUUGGUAAUUAUAUUGUAUUUUCUAAAAUAUUUAGGAUAUUAAAAUGAAUAAUUAUAAUUUAUUGGUAUUUAUCUAAUAUAAUUUACUUCAUCCAUAUACGUAUAAAACAAUUUUUUGCUCUCUAUACAUGACAGAUAGGCAAAAUUGAUGAGGUGUCGUCCAGUCACCUCCACACAUAUGUUUAUGGUCUUAUAUUUGGUCAUGGUAGUAUUGAAAUAUGAUCAUAAAUAAUUCUACACAUCUUAAUGACCAUUUUUUACAAUAGGAUCAUGACCUAAUGAACGCAAAAGGUCAUAACGUUAUGGGCUUUGGACCCUCUUAGACUUGUCAUGACUAAUUUCAGAAUUUUGGUCAGGGAUCAAUGACCAAUUAAACCACCGUCAUUAUUUUUGGUCAUAAUUGAGCGUUUUUCUUGUAGUGUUGCCUGGCAUAUUAUCUUCAGGACGAAGAUCAAAGGUUAUUUCCAUACCCUCCUGAAAUCCAUAUGCCUUGCAAAGAUCUUCCCACUUUGGGCACCCAAAUUCUGUUUGAAAAACUGAAUUAAAUACUUUGAUAACAAAUGUGUGACCAUGUAUAGUCCUCAGGUUAGCGCUCCUCGUCUCAAUUCUUUCGUGGUCUUCGACACCGAGCCUCUCCAACACAUAUCUUCUUGCAUGACAAGGGAGGAACAUAUCUCCAUUAUCAUCAAGGUUCAUGCUGAAGAACCUAUCGUCUCGCAGGUGAGGCGUGUCGCACAUAUCCCGACAGUCGCCGCAAUAUUCACACUCCCAAUAUUCAUCGUCAGACAUUUCCUGUUUUAAUAUGUUAAAUGUGUAAAUAAAAAUCGCUGACACUAUAUCGAAAGAAUUGAACAUCUAUAUAUAAACAUAGUUAGGCCACUCAGACAUUUCGACAAAACUUAGCACAACUAAUUAGCAAGCAAUAGUGAGUAACUCACUACUGUUUUAUGCAUUAACACCAACAAAAGGAUGAUAUUUGUAGGUUGAUAAAAUAUAUAUGUGCCCUUUUUCCACUCCAAAGUUUAAAUAAGUUGUUUGAAACCAUUGGUUGUCUAAUUCAAACCUAAUGUGCCUACUUACAUGAAAUUUACAAACAUGAUUUUUUCCUUCUUUCUAGUUAGCCCAUCAAAAGAUCUUCAACAAACAUAUCUUGAUUUUCUUAUUAAGAUGCAUCUCAAGAUGACAUAUUGAACCGAUCGAUGGCCCUAAAAUCAAAAUGACAGCAGCCUUGGGGUGCCUAGAGCGGGAAGGGAGGUGGCGGUGGCGCCUGGAGGGGAUGGGCUUACCGGAGCGGGAUGGGGAGGGGGCUUACCGGAGCAGGCCGGAGAGGGGAAGGGGGCUUACCGGGAGGGCAGGGGGCGGCGGCGACGGCGAGGGAGGCGGCGGUGACGACGACGACGACAACGGCGAGGGAGGCGGCGGCGGGGAGGAGCGCGGAGACGACGACGACAUCGGGGAAGAGUUGCGCAAUCUCGCGGCGUCGAGGGUCCGUCCGCGUCACGAGGAGGAAGAAGAUCGAAACCGCGAUUUGGACAUCAUAAAAUUCCAAGUCUCGCUUAUAUAGGCGGAGCUUUGGUCUCGGGUCGUGGCUCGAACCGGGACNNNNNNNNNNNNNNNNNNNNNNNNNNNNNNNNNNNNNNNNNNNNNNNNNNNNNNNNNNNNNNNNNNNNNNNNNNNNNNNNNNNNNNNNNNNNNNNNNNNNNNNNNNNNNNNNNNNNNNNNNNNNNNNNNNNNNNNNNNNNNNNNNNNNNNNNNNNNNNNNNNNNNNNNNNNNNNNNNNNNNNNNNNNNNNNNNNNNNNNNNNNNNNNNNNNNNNNNNNNNNNNNNNNNNNNNNNNNNNNNNNNNNNNNNNNNNNNNNNNGACCCGGGACUAAAGGUGGUAAGUUUUAGUCCCACCUCGCUUGUCAAGAGGCGGUGCAACUAGUUUAUAAGCCCCACCGCCCCGAACCGUCUCGAGCUCUUCUCUAAAGCAGACUUACUGGCCUAAACGCACUCUAAAUUUAAAAAUGAAAAAAUAUAUAUGAAAUUAAAGACAAAAUUCAACCUAAAUUNUCCAUACUUUUUGUGUGUUCCAAAAUGCACCAUUCAAAGGCACAUCACAAACUUUCAACAAUUUCUAACUUCAUUUGAUAUUUUUUUCGUGCAUUUACUUAUUUUAUUUGAGCUAGUUGACCCUGAAAUUGAAAAGCACUACAAAUGAACUUUGAAAAUGUUGAAAGUUGGCAUGAUAUCCUCAUUUCACCCACAUAGCAUGUGCUAAAAAUUUGAGAGUGUUACGAUAAAAACUAGAUGCACUUCGUCUUCAAAACGGACAAUCUCUCUCGAUGUAUGAGUGUUUCGAACUAGAACUAAUCUGUUACAAAGGGAUUUUUUUUUUGAACUUAUUUAAACUCCAUACUUUUUGUGUGUUCAAAAUGCACCAUUGAAAUGCACAUCACAAAUUUCCAACAAUUUCUAACUACAUUUUGUAUUUUUCAUGUAUUUACUUUUUUUUAGAGCUAGUUGACCCUGAAAUUGAAAAGCACUACAAAUGAACUCUAAAAAUGUUGAAAGUUGCCAUGGUAUCAUCAUUUCACCCACAUAGAAUGUUCUAAAAGUUGAGAGGGUUACGACAAAAACUGGAUGCACUCCGUGUACAAAACGAACAAUCUCUUUCUAAGUAUGAGGGUUUCGAACGAAAACUCAUGUGUUACAAAGGAUUUCAUUUUUUUGAACUUAUUUGAAAUCCAUACUUUUUGUGUGUUCAAAAUGCACCAUUCAAAGGCACAUCAUAAAAUUUCAACAAUUUCUGACUUCAUUUGGUAUUUUUCGUGCAUUUACUUUUUUUAGCUAGUUGACCCUGAAAUUGAAAAGCAGUACAAAUGAACUCUGAAAAUGUUAAAAGUUGGCGUGGAAUCAUCAUUACACCCACAUAGCAUGUGCUAAAAAGUUGAGAAAGUUAUGACAAAAACUAGAUGCACUUCGUGUAUAAAACGGACAAUCUCUCUCGAAGUAUGAGUGUUUCGAACGAGAACUAAUCUGUUACAAAGAGAUUUCAUUCUUUUGAACAUAACUCCAUACUUUUUGUGUGUUCGAAAUGCAGCAUUCAAAUUCACAUCACAAAUUUUCAACAAUUUCUGACUAUAUUUUGUAUUUUUCAUGUAUUUACUUAUCUUUUUUGAGCUAGUUGACCCUGAAAUUGAAAAUCACUACAAAUGAAAUCUGAAAAUGUUGAAAGUUGGCAUGAUAUCAUCAUUUCACCCACAUAGCAUGUGCUAAAAAGUUGAGAGGGUUACGACAAAAACUGGAUGCACUUCGUGUACAAAACGGACAAUCUCUCUCGAAGUAUGAGGGUUUCGAACGAGAACUCGUCUAUUACAAAAGGAAUUUCAUUUUUUUGAACUUAUUUGAACUNNNNNNNNNNNNNNNNNNNNNNNNNNNNNNNNNNNNNNNNNNNNNNNNNNNNNNNNNNNNNNNNNNNNNNNNNNNNNNNNNNNNNNNNNNNNNNNNNNNNNNNNNNNNNNNNNNNNNNNNNNNNNNNNNNNNNNNNNNNNNNNNNNNNNNNNNNNNNNNNNNNNNNNNNNNNNNNNNNNNNNNNNNNNNNNNNNNNNNNNNNNNNNNNNNNNNNNNCAUUUGGUAAUUUUCAUGCAUUUACUUUUUUUUGAGCUAGUUGACCCUGAAAUUGAAAAGAUCAACAAAUGAACUCUGAAAAUGUUGAAAGUUGGCAUGGUAUCAUAAUUUCAUCCACACAACAUGUGCUAAAAAGUUGAGAGGGUUACGAGAAAAACUGGUUGCACUUCGUGUACAAAACGGAUAAUUUCUCUCAAAGUAUGAGGGUUUCGAAAGAGAACUAAUCUGUUACAAAGGGAUUUCAUUUUCUUGAACUUAUUUAAACUCCAUACUUUUUGUGUGUUCAAAAUGCACCAUUCAAAGGCACAUCAUAAAUUUUCGACUAUUUCUGACUUCAUUUGGUAUAUUUCAUGUAUUUACUUAUUUUUUAGAGCUAGUUGACCCUGAAAUUGAAAAGCACUACAAAUGAACUCUGAAAAAAUGUUGAAAGUUGGCAAGGUAUCAUCAUUUCAUCCACAUAGCAUGUUCUAAAAAGUUGAGAGGGUUACGACAAAAACUGGAUGCACUUCGUGUACAAAACGGACAAUCUCUCUCGAAGAAUGAGGGUUUCGAACGAAAACUCAUGUGUUACAAAGCGAUUUCAUUUUUGGAACUUCAUAUUUUUUUGUGUUCAAAAUGCACCAUUCAAAGGCACAUCACAAAUUUUCAACAAUUUAUGACUUCAUUUGGCAUUUUACAUGCAUUUACUUUUUUUGAGCUAGUUGACCCAGAAAUUGAAAAGCAGUACAAAUGAGCUAUGAAAAUGUUGAAAGUUGGCAUGGUAUAUUUAUUUCAACCACAUAACAUGUGGUAAAAAGUUGAGAGGGUUACGACAAAAACUGGAUGCACUUCGUGUACAAAACGGACAAUCUCUCUCGAAGUAUGAGGGUUUCGAACGAGAACUCAUCUAUUACAAAAGGAAUUUCAUUUUUUUGAACUUAUUUGAACUCCAUACUUUUUGUGUGUUCAAAAUGCAUCAUUCAAAGGCACAUCACAAAUUUUCAACAAUUUCUGAUUUCAUUUGGUAAUUUUCAUUCAUUUACUUUUUUUGAGCUAGUUGACCCUGAAAUUGAAAAGCACUACAAAUGACCUUUGAAAAUGUUGAAAGUUGGCAUUGGUAUCAUCAUUUCACCCACAUAGCAUGUGCUAAAAAGUUGAGAGGGUUACGAUAAAAACUGGAUGCACUUCGUGUACAAAACGGACAAUCUCUCUCGAAGUAUGAGAGUUUUGAACGAGAACUAAUCUGUUACAAAGAGAUUUCAUUUUUUGAACUUAUUUAAACUCCAUACUUUUUGUGUGUUCAAAAUGCACCAUUCAAAGGCACAUCACAAAUUUUCAACAAUUUCUGACUUCAUUUGGUAUUUUUCGUGCAUUUACUUAUUUGUUUUUGAGCUAGUUGACCGUGAAAUUAAAAAGCACUACAAAUGAACUCUAAAAAUGUUGAAAGUUGGCAUGGUAUCAUAAUUUCACCCACAUAGCAUGUGCUAAAAAGUUGAGAGGGUUACGACAAAAACUGGAUGCACUUCGUGUACAAAACGGAUAAUCUCUCUCGAAAUAUGAGGGUUUCGAAACUCAUCUCUUACAAAGGGAUGCAUUUUUUUAAACUUAUUUGAACUCCAUACUUUUUGUGUGUUCAAAAUGCAUCAUUCAAAGGCACAUCACAAAUUUUCAACAAUUUCUGACUUCAUUUGGUUUUUUUCAUGUAUUUACUUAUUAUUUUUGAGCUAGUUGACCCUGAAAUUGAAUAGCAGUACAAAUAAACUCUGAAAAUGUUGAAAGUUGGCAUGGUAUCAUCAUUUCACCCACAUAGCAUGUGCUAAAAAGUUGAGAGGGUUACGACCAAAACUGAAUGCACUUCGUGUACAAAAUGGACAAUCUCUCUCAAAGUAUUAGAGUUUCGAACGGGAACUCAUCUGUUACAAAGGGACUUCAUUUUUUGAACUUAUUUGAACUUGAUACUUUUUGAGUGUACAAAAUGCACCAUUCAAAGGCACAUCACAAUUUUUCAACAAUUUGUGACUUCAUUUGUUAUUUUUUGUAUAUUUACUUAUUUUUUUGAGCUAGUUGACCCUGAAAUUGAAAAGCACUACAAAUGAACUCUGAAAAUGUUGAAAGUUGGCAUGGUAUCAUCAUUUCACCCACAUAGCAUGUGCUAAAAAGUUGAGAGGGUUACGAAAAAAACUGAAUGCACUUCGUGUACAAAACGGACAAUCUCUCUCGAAAUAUGAGGGUUUCGAACGAAAACUCAUGUGUUACAAAGGGAUUUCAUUUUUUGAACUUCUACUUCCCCUAGUGCAUAAAAAAUAUCUAGCACAAGGAGAAGAAGGAGAAGCGACCCCCACAACAACAGUCGACAUUCUUCUUCUCUCAUAUAUGGUGGACACUCCCUCACCGAUUUUUCGACCGUCGAUGAUGGUCGCUACUCCUACUUCACCUAGUGCAUAACAAAUAUCUAGCAUAAGGAGAAGAAGGAGAAACGACCCCCACAACAACAGUCAACAUUCUUCUUCUCUCACAUAUGGUGGACAUUCCCUCACCUGAAUUUUUCGACCGUCGAUGAUGGUCGCUACUCCUACUUCCCCUAGCGCAUAACAAAUAUCUAGUACAAGGAGAAGAAGGAGAAGCGACCCCACAACAACAGUCGGCAUUCUUCUCUCAUAUAUGGUGGAUACUCCCUCACCUGAUUUUUUGACCGUCGAUGAUGGUCGCUACUCCUACUUCCCCUAGUGCAUAACAAAUAUCUAGCACAAGGAGAAGAAGGAGAAACGACCCCCACAACAAGAGUCGGCAUUCUUCUUCUCUCAUAUAUGGUGGACACUCCCUCACCUGAUUUUUCGACCGUCGAUGAUGGUCGCUACUCCUACUUCCCCUAGUGCAUAACAAAUAUCUAGCACAAGGAGAAGAAGGAGAAGCGACCCCCACAACAACAGUCGGCAUUCUUCUUCUCUCAUAUAUGGUGGAGACUCCCUCACAAAUCACUCUACUUUUAGAGCAUUUGAAUUGAGAUAAACUAGAAGUGAUAGAUGAAAGGAUGAAGUAGCUACCUUUUAAAACACUUGUGCAGUAGGUGCACGACCAAACCUAGACAAAUAUUGAGGAAAAUGGAGCUUGGAGGUCGAGCUUGGAGAGGAGAAAGCUUAAGUAGUGUGGCUCAGACAUUUGAUCGAACACCUCAUGUGCAUGAACUAGAGUGGCAAGAGCAUUGCAUGGUCACACCUCAACACCCAAAAAACAGAGGAGAGGGUGGGCAGGGGCGAGGGUUUAUAUAGGCAACACUUUAGUCCCGGUUUUUGUCUAAAACCGGGACUAAUAGCCUACCCUUUAGUCCCGGUUCGUUCCACAAACCGGGACUAAUGCUCCGCGGCACGCCACGUAGCAGUCGAUGGAUCUUUAGUCCCGGGUUUUGCCCCGAACCGGGACUAAUGAGGUGAACCGAACCGGGACCAAUGCCCCGGCAAACCGAACCGGGACCAAUGCCUACCGGGACUAAUGAUCUUUUGGCCCUCGGUCGAAAGACCCUUUUUUCAACUAGUGUACAUGAAAUAAUCACCAUAAAUGGAUUGAAAAACCUUUGGGGGAUCCUUUAUUAUUGGUUUAGGCCUUAUGUAAGCAAAAAAAAAGAGAAAUCUGAGACAUCUAGUGACCAAGACCAUAAAUGGAUCGACAUUUUAUUGAUAAAUUCAAACGAAGAUCCAAAAUCAUGAAAUUUGAUAUGGUAUCAUGAUAUGUUCCCUACAUGUCAUGGUAAAAGUUUGAGAAUGUUUCAAAAGAGUUUUCACGUAGACUGCUUGAAACGAGAUCAUCUUCGAGUAAGAAACUAGAUUUUAAGGAGUUGACCAAGUUUGCAUAUGAAGCAAGAGAUGCUACAUCGGAUGGCGUUGAAACCUUUUCCACACUCAAAUUAACCAUUAAAUGUGACAUGUGUAAAUUCAAUGCUUUUCUAGUCUGUUUGCCACACUUAAAUUUAACACUUUAAAUGCAUUUACCUCCAUUAAAUAUAUAGAAAUCCAUCUAGUAUAUUAAAAAUAACAAAAUACCCUGAAAAGUACCGAAGUAUUACAUGGAACGUCCAAUUAUGUACCAUUAAACCAGAAAAGAAUUAACCACAACCGUAAACAUAAAAAGACUAAAACCCUAAGAUUACAAAAAAUAUAUAUAUAUCAAUGACAAGCAAGAAAACAAUAUGCAACAGUGAUAGUUGGCGCAUACAUACCCAAGUACAAAUGGCAUGCAUCAGCAUGUGUCUGCCAUUGGUAUUUUAGGCCAUAAUAGCCGUGUGGUCAAAAUUACCAGUGGUGGGCACAUAUUUCUGCGCGCCACUAGCAACUCAAUGUACCAGUAGAGGGCCCGUGUUUAUGCCCACCACUGAUAAAUUUGGUCCAUGACUAAUCUGAGCCCAUGUUGCAAGUUACAUAUGCAAAGUCAUGACGUAACUGGUACUACUUAGAGCAUCUUCAAUAGAUGGUCCAAAUGUAAAAAAUAACUAACUUUUGGAUCGUGUGGGACAAAAAGGGUGCUCUAACACACGGUCCAUAUGCACAAAAAAAAAUUGGACUGCGGCCUCUUCAUGAUGUAAAAUCCAAAACCUCGCGGUGCAAAUUUACAUCACGAGGUGCAUCUGGUCCAAAACCAGCCGCCGCCCGCGAACGCCCAACCGCCACUUCCUUUCUGUUCCAGCCCGCACCCGUCGCCCGCCCGAAGACCAGUCGGCCGGAAUCCGCCGCCGCGACCGCCGAAAACCACGCCGUCGGCGCCACCACCACCCUAAAUCCCCGCCGCCGCCCUCCGCCGCCGUCGCCUGCCUCGCCGAUAGCCGGCUCGCAGCCGCCCGGACGCUGCCGAAUCGGGAGGCAUCCGGUGCGGGAUUCGGCGCCUUCGGCUGUCCGGCUGCCGCGGUAGGCCUCCGCCGGGUCUAAGGUUGCCGCCGACCUCGUCCCCGUCGGCCGUGAGCCUGUUCACGGCCGUUGCGCCGGCCGCACGACCGCCGCACGAAGCCCUCCGCUCGGCUGCCGAAGUACUGUUUGCGGCCCGGCGAGCUCCUCUUGGCCGGCCUCGAAGCUCUUUUCUUAUCACCGUCGUCGUCCGGAGGAGCCGACGACAGCCAUCCUCAGCCAUCAGCAGCAGCCAAUCCAACCGGCAGCCAUCUUCUUCCACCGCCCGCACUAGGUGUUCGACGGAAUUCCCCAAGGUAAAAAAAAAUGACGAAACUUGAUGAUUUAACUUGGGAUUGGAUAGUAUGUUUGACGGUGGUUGUGUGAAAUGUAGAUGAGCUCGGUUGACUCCUCUUUCAUGGAUGAUUCAUCGUUGGACGAGGAAUUUGAUUUGCAUGAAGAAGAGGAGGUUGCUAUGCUAGUGGCCAUGCACAAGAGGAAGAAACCGAAGCACGGUGGUCCCGUUUAUGGUCGUGCAUUCAUUCGGAAAGAACGGAUUGACGCGCACAAACAGAUUGAUGCGCACAAACCGAAGCACGGUGGUUCCGUUUGUGAUUCAUCGUCAGACAAGGAAAACAUUUAUAUUACAAUUUCUAUCAUUUGAUGGGCAUUCCUGUUAACCCCAUGCGAAAAGAACAGCGCAUCAGACAUUUCAUGAAGGUGUACAGUGAAAUUAGAGACACCGAUGUGCAUGACCAACUCCAUAAAGAUUUGAUGGAAGAGCAUUGGAAAUGGCAUGGCGAAAGAUCCGCAUAGAUUCAUUAUUUGUUUGUUCAAAACUAUGUUGUAUUAUGCAAAACUAUGUUGUAUUUGUGUUGCGCUUCAUCUCCUGGAUCUGAAGAACUAUGUAAUAAUUUGAUAUUGUGCACAUGAAAUUUUUUAUGUUGUUUCAAAACAUGUUUUUAUGCAAUAUGUGCGGCUGUACAGUGGCUGGACAGCGGCUAAACAGCAGACGCGUGGCUGUUGGCCAAUUUUGGACCAUGAAUUUGGACCAUCUAUUGGAGUUGGUCUUUUGGACCAUGAGAAUUUGGACCAUCUGUUGAAGUUGGCCUUUUUUCGAAGGUUCAAAACGCACUUUUUGGCGGUUCAAAUUUUAAUCCUUCGGUUUUGGACCGCCAAAUUUUAGACCAUCUAUUGGAGAUGCUCUAAAUGGCCAGACUACGAGUGGCAUGUGCAAAUGUGUGCCCGCCAAUGCUAAAGGUCCACCCAUAUGAGGGAGAGGCGAGGUGUCUCUCCAUUGUGCGAGAGAACAUCUGGAUGCCGCCAGUGAGGUCUCCCCGUCGUGGUCAGCCAUGCAACUUCACCUUAUGAAGAAGAAGGGUAGGUGGUCGGUGGCGACGACUAGGGUUGUUGGGUCAGCUCGAGCUGCACACAUGGGAGAGGCGCACGGAAAGCAAGUUCUUUUAAGCAUGGGUAUUCAUGUGUUGUAUCUUGCUACAGCUAAAUUUCAGUCGGAUGAGACUUGUUUAUGUCUCACUCGAUGCUAUAUUAAUGAGAUAUUACACAUAGAUCUGGACGGAAUCCUUCUUUUUAGUAACUUAUAUCUUAUUGGAACAUAUACGUGAUGAUGUCACUUGGCUGAGACUUAGAAAGUCUUAGGCCCCGUUUUUAUAAAAAGUCCUAAAUUUUUUUUAGUCCUUACUAAAUAGUCCCUUGUCCCUACCUAUUUGGUUCCAUGGAGUAAACAUGGACUAGAGGUUAUUAAAUGACAUGCUAAGUUACCCCUACUAAUGGACUACAGGUUAUAAAAUGACAUGCUAAAAGCAGGGGCACUGUUGAAAAAAGUCCGAAAAGACUCUCCCUUAGGGACUUCUUUCUUUAGUCUCAAAUGCCCACUUUUAGUCCCUAAAAGUCCCUUAUUUUUGAUUUAGAUGGGAUUAAAAGGGUUUUUUUAGUCUCUACACCAAAAAUUCCCUGUAAACAAACACCCCCUUGGUCCUCUGAGAUUUAGCCACAACAUAGUAAAUGGAGCUACAAAAUUAAAUUAUAUGAUGAUUAGUGAUGCACUUUUCCACCGGACGGUCAUGAAAAAAAAGUCUAGAGAUGCACUUUUCCAUCGGACGGUCACGAAAAAAAGUAUGUCUCAUGUCUAGGCAUUUAAGGUAAGGAACUCAAAAUCUAUACACGUGGUGCUAUUUGGUUAAAAAUUCGGUACAAAUGUAGGGUGAGUAAAUCCAUAAGCAUAGCACGAUUAUUCAGCUAUGAAUUGGGGGGAGUAAAAGAUUGUUCAUAUUUGAUGACCUGCAUGUUCAAUGUUAGUACUGACGGGGCUUGCUCGCGUCGCUCUCCAGGGGAGCGGCCCGAGCGUGACCUAGCGCCACCAUCGCCACCACCUCUGAUGCUCCUCCCUGCCCCCGCUGCCGGCGGGCGUCGCUGCCAGGCAAAGCCCGCGCAGCAGCCGGCGGCGGCGGGCCUCUCUUGUUGGGGAACGUCGCAUGGGAAACAAAAAUUUUCCUACGCGCACGAAGACCUAUCAUGGUGAUGUCCAUCUAUGAAAGGGGAUGAGUGAUCUACGUACCCUUGUAGAUCGUACAGUAGAAGCGUUAGAGAACGCGGUUGAUGUAGUAGAACGUCCUCACGUCCCUCGAUCCGCCCCGCGAACAAUCCCGCGAUCAGUCCCACGAUCUAGUACCGAACGGACGGCACCUCCGCGUUCAGCACACGUACAGCUCGACUAUGAUCUCGGCCUUCUUGAUCCAGCAAGAGAGACAGAGAGGUAGAAGAGUUCUCCGGCAGCGUGACGGCGCUCCGGAGGUUGGUGANNNNNNNNNNNNNNNNNNNNNNNNNNNNNNNNNNNNNNNNNNNNNNNNNNNNNNNNNNNNNNNNNNNNNNNNNNNNNNNNNNNNNNNNNNNNNNNNNNNNGAGUCCCGGAUGAGAUCGCGGACGUCACGAGGGUUUCCGGAAUGGUCCAGAAACGAAGAUUGAUAUAUAGGAUGACCUCAUUUGAUUACCGGAAGGUUUUUGGAGUUACCGGGAAUGUGCCGGGAAUGACGAAUGGGUUCCGGGAGUUCACCGGGGGGGGCAACCCACUCCGGGGAAGCCCAUAGGCCUUGGGGGUGGCACACCAGCCCUUAGUGGGCUGGUGGGACAGCCCAAGAAGGCCCUAUGCGCCAUAGGAAGAAAAUCAAAGAGAAAAAAAAGGAGGAGGUGGGAAAGGGAAGAAGGACUCCACCUUCCAAACCAAGUUGGAUUCGGUUUGGAAGGGGAGACCUUCCCCCUUGGCUUGGCCGAAACCCUUAGGGGUCCUUGGACCCCAAGGCAAGGCUCCCCCUCUUCCCCCUAUAUAUACGGAGGUUUUAGGGCUGAUUUGAGACGANNNNNNNNNNNNNNNNNNNNNNNNNNNNNNNNNNNNNNNNNNNNNNNNNNNNNNNNNNNNNNNNNNNNNNNNNNNNNNNNNNNNNNNNNNNNNNNNNNNNNNNNNNNNNNNNNNNNNNNNNNNNNNNNNNNNNNNNNNNNNNNNNNNUGAGACGACUUUUCCACCCACCAAACCAAGUCCAACUCGGUUUGGGGGGGGAGCCUUCCCCACUUGGACUCGGCCGACCCCCUUGGGGCUCCUUGAGCCCCAAGGCAAGGUUCCCUCCCUCCCACCUAUAUAUACGGAGGUAUUGGGGCUGAUUUGAGACGANNNNNNNNNNNNNNNNNNNNNNNNNNNNNNNNNNNNNNNNNNNNNNNNNNNNNNNNNNNNNNNNNNNNNNNNNNNNNNNNNNNNNNNNNNNNNNNNNNNNNNNNNNNNNNNNNNNNNNNNNNNNNNNNNNNNNNNNNNNNNNNNNNNNNNNNNNNNNNNNNNNNNNNNNNNNNNNNNNNNNNNNNNNNNNNNNNNNNNNNNNNNNNNNNNNNNNNNNNNNNNGGAGCUCGGGCGGAGCCCUGCUGAGACAAGAUCAUCAUCAACCUCCGGAGCGCCGUCACGCUGCCGGAGAACUCUUCUACCUCUCCGUCUCUCUUGCUAGACCAAGAAGGCCGAGAUCAUCGUCGAGCUGUACGUGUGCUGAAUGCGGAGGUGCCGUCCGUUCGGCACUAGAUCGUAGGACUGAUCGCGGGAUGGUUCGCGGGGCGGAUCGAGGGACGUGAGGACGUUCCACUACAUCAACCGCGUUCACUAACGCUUCUGCUGUACGGUCUACAAGGGUACGUAGAUCACACAUCCCCUCUCGUAGAUGGACAUCACCAUGAUAGGUCUUCGUGCGCGUAGGAAAAUUUUUGUUUCCCAUGCGACGUUCCCCAACAGUAUAUGUCUGUCGCGUCGUUGUCGAUAUAACCCCCUCCCGGAUAACUUCGACAUGAGGGGCGGUCGAUAUAUAUACCCACUCUCGACCGUGAUAAAUUAUACCACGGGAGCACCCCCUCGGCCCUCUCGCUCGACCAAAACUCUCGAGGACACCCAAACCCUAGAGAAAAAACGAUGUUGGUCUCCUACCCCCUCCCGCCGCGCCCCUACCCGACAAACUCUCUCGAGGCCACCCAAAUUUACCAAGUUAAAAGAGCGUUGUCAUCGAGGCCACCCCAAACCCUUGAAGCGUUGUCUAGGCCACCCCAAACCCUAGAGAAGCACCGUCGAGGCCACUAACAUGAUUCCUUAUUGUGAUUAGCUAGCUAGUUCUACGUUUGCCACUAAUAUAUAUCCAUCCGUACCAUGUUAGAAUAAUAAUUGACAUGUUGUAAAUAUUUGCAGAAACUAUGGAUCACUCCCGAGACGAAGAGGAAGAAGCGAUGUUGGGGGAGAUAAUCGCACAAGGAAGUGGUGUCAUUGCAUCGUUUCUCAGAGACACCGACGCUACAAGAAAUAUGCUCAUACACGACGUUUUUAAGACGUCGUUGAUGAAUUCGUCAUAAAUCUAUGACGAUUUCAUCCGAGAUUGUCGUAAACCGUUUGAGGGGAUCAAAUCUGCAUAUAAAUUACGACGAUGUGAGUCAAAAAUGUCGUAACUGCAUAAGAUGAGAUCGUCAUAAAUUUUACGACAAUUAUAAAAAUGUCGUAACAUGUUCUAACUAUGUUGACAUGUUACUCGUGGGUCCAUUCUAUGUCACGCGUCAAACCGGCCUAGUUUGUGAAGAAACCUACUAUUCUAUCAUUCCAAAAAUUAUCAUAAAUAGUUUGGAUCAUAUAUUGCUCAAAUAUGUGAAAACCCUUCCUUUCAUUGUUCAAAAAUAAUUGAGCAAUAUUCAUUCUCCUAUUAUGUUCAGAAUAGCACUUUGUGAAGGAAGUGCUAUUUCCAUUUUUUUGAUUGCCCUCAAAAUUGUCGUGCACUCUUUUUUUCAUUUUUUUCCUAUCCAAAUCAUUGCCUCAUGAAAACUUACGUAAUCAUUUGCCUAGUAAAUCUUUCUCAGCAAAUUUCCAAAAUUUGUGUUUAGCUGACAGCUUUGUGAAGGAAUUACUAGCUAGGAAUAUCGUGAUGAGUUGAAUUUUUUCCAUAUCUUCUAUAUGCCAAAACCAUAGCUCUCCACCAAAUUUCAGCCCCAUUUAACAAUCCAUUUGAGCUCAGCAUCCAAUCUUUGUUUUUGGUAAUAUUUUCAGUUUAUGAAGAAACUACAUUUUAUAUUGCUUUAUAGUUGAUGAAAAUUUACCACGAAAUAAAACUAACCAUAUAACUUAACUCCACGAAAUAAAAUUUGACCUGCUUCCAGUUGAAUCGGCAGAAAGUUUUGUUUUUCACGAGAGGUGAAUAAAAGCUUUUGACACCCAACUAUUUGGUCAAUUGUAUAUUAAAUAUGUACUAGUAUUUUAGAAAAUUGAUGGAGUCCAAUUUUGCAACAAAUAUUGGUAGGUUCUUAAAAAAACUCAUUUUUGCCACUCGGAAAAUAAUUAAAAAUAGCUAGAAAGAUGAGAAAUGCAUACAAAUUGGUACUCAUCCGUCAAAUGUGAUCUAACACUAGUGAAAUUUUGUGUGAUGCCCUUUGCAAAUUUUUUUAAUAGAUACUUCACAAAAUUCCUCUAUUUUAAGUACUUCGGAACUAUUUUAAAUCACUGAUAUUUCGAACCAAUCAGAACUCUUUCCACAGAUCGAUGACAUGGCGCCCAUCCAUCCAUCCAGCUCACCAUCUCACAUCCAUCCAUCCAUGUAUCUACAAGAAAAAAACAUGGAAAAAAGAUAACCCACCCGCAGCCAAACCCUAGCUCAGACCCCUCCCCCAUCGCACCCUUUCUCCCUCGUCCCCAUCUACUCGCCGCCGCCACCUCCUCCUUGUCCCCGCCUCCCUCCCGAUCUAGUCCUCUCUCCCGAUCGAUGGCCUCCGCGACGCCGUCGCCAAGCUCGACGAGAUCAGGUGCCCCGCCCCGACCCCCCUUGCCUCCCUCCACCGGAUCUAGUGGCCAGUAGGCGCCGAGUCCGCUUCCGCUCAACUUUUUUCUGCUCUGUUUUGUCGGUGGUGAUGCAGCGAUAACGAGAAGACCGGGUUCAUCAGCCUCGUCUCCCGCUACCUUAGGUGAUAAUGCGAAUCUUCCCGGCCUCCAUGAUCUCGUCGCGUCUAUGCUGUUGCUCUCUCGCGCGUGGGUGGGUGGUUUCUGAUGGUUGUGUUGUGAUGUGUUGUGCGUCCUACAGCGGUGUGGCGGAGUAGAUCGAGUGGAGCAAGAUCCAGACCCCCACCGAUGAGGUCGUGGUGCCCUAUGACACCCUCGCGCCCCCUCCCGAAGGUAUCAUCUCGUCUGAAAUGCUUCUUCCUGUCCUCGAUUCGGAUUCGUCUCGAAUUUUCAGUCUGUUUGUGUGUGUGGGUGUGGAAACUGAACGCUGGAUCGUGUGUGUGCUGCAGAUCUCGACGCCAUGAAGGCCCUGCUCGACAAGCUCGUGGUGCUCAAGCUCAACGGAGGCCUCGGAACCACCAUGGGCCGACGCGGCCGCCGAGGAGACCCUCGCCGCCGCACCCUCGACGCGCCGCCCGCCGGAGCGCCGGCCGGGUAGAAGCUCGCCGGAUUCCAUGGACCACGACAUGCAAGCACGCGACACCGUGAACACUCCCUCCCUCUCGCUUCUGCAUCGAGUUGUAGUUUUAGUAGAUACUAGCACUGAAGAAGAGCGGCGACACGUCGUCGCUGCGCCCGUGACAGAUGUGGUCUGUAAUUUGUACUGGUCCUUGCAAGUCUUUGUAUUUAUUUACGGAGUUUCCUGCUAUGUGAUUUACCUUUGCAUGUGUUUGGCUGUGUGAUGCGUGGUUUGAUCUGUGGAUACAUUAGUCAGUGCCAUGUGCCAGCAUCUGAAACGGGUUAACAUCUCUCUUCUCGUAGUAGAGUAAUCAAUCAUGCCAGCAUCUGAAACGGGUUAACAAAUACGAGCUUGCACUGUUCUCUGUUUUGUGAUAAUAGCAUAACAUACAGCUCGGCAUAAACAUCAACAGGGUUAGCUGAAUAGUUGUUGUUACAUCUGCAAAUGUCACCAUGAGUGGAAUUUACUUAUGAUGUCAAUGUGUUUCUUACUCAAGUUGAUAUUUUUCUUCGUUUUGCUUCAUGUGCUGUUCAAACAUCAGGAAUUCGCAUCCGAGAAGGCUACUACGGAUACACUUCCCACCAUCUCUUCUGCCGCCGACUCGAGCUCCUGACCACAAGAAGGGAAGGCAUCGCGCAGGAGCACCAUCGCCCUCGCCGUUCAUCGCUCCGCCUGAGGCAUCACCAUCGCCAUCGCUAGCCCCUCCACAAAGGCCAGGCCUGUGCCUUCUGCUCCACAGCCAAGCCAUGAUCCUCGGGUUGAUUCCCCAGCCCAUGUUGUGCAUAAGCAUUCCUGGAGAGCCUACGGUUUGGACACGGCAGGUGGUGCGGCCUUCCUUGUCAUGACUACGACAUUUGUUGUGUACUGCCGGGCGAAGAAAGUCGGUACUGUGAGGCCUUGGGUAACAUGGCUAAGCGGGCAACUGCAGCGAGCCUUCAUGACAGGUAUCCUUCAUUGUAUGUGUGCAUAUCUGUUAUCAUAUAUUUUGUUCUUUGGUUGCACAUUAACACAUGAUCAAUCAUUCUUCCAGGUGUGCCUUCGCUGAAACGAUCAGAGCUGGAGGCAGCCUCCGAGGAUUUCAGCAAUAUAAUUGAUUCUACGGCUAACUGCAUGUUGUAUAAGGGAACAUUAUCAAGCGGAGUUGAAAUAGCAGUUGUGUCAAGUUUAAUAUCAUCUAUGAAUGUUUGGUCAAAAGCAUGUGAAUCUUAGUACAGGAAAAAGGUAAUCUGCCAUUAACCUCCUUAUAUGCACACUUUUUUCUUUUGCGAAAUACACAUUAACUGAAAUGGCUGUGGUCUCGUAUCUCAAGUUUAUCGAAAGUGGGCCACAAGAACUUUAUAAACCUGCUUGGCUACUGUGAAGAAGAAAAUCCUUUCACCAGAGCUGUGGUGUUUGAAUAUGCACCAAAUGGGACUCUUUUCGAGCAUCUCCAUGGUAAGUGUGUACAUAAUAUAUCCUUUUAGUUUUCUCUCUGUCAACAGAAUGAUUCCUAUAAUGUUCAGACACCACUUCAACAAUUGCAGUAUUUGAUAAUGCUUUUGAUUAUGUUGCAGUUAGAGAAGCUGAGAACUUGGACUGGAUGGCCCGACUUAGAAUAUCGAUGGGGAUAGCGUACUGCCUCGAGCAAAUGCACAAGCUGAAUCCACCCGUCGUGACGUGGAGCUUCAGCUCAACUACUAUCUACCUCACCGAUGAUUUUGCCGCAAAGGUCUCUGAUCUUGAUUUCUGGAACGACACCAAGGGAUCGGAUUCCGUCACCGACGACUGCACCAUGCUGGACAUAGAGAGUAUCGUGCAUCGGUAUGGCAGUGGUUGUAUUUUGCCGAAUAAAAGACAGCAAAACUGCAGGUAGAUAAACAACCACAGUUUCAUACAGAAGCCCAUACAGUUUCAGUGAACUAUAUAUAUCUCGAGUCACACACACACACACACACACACACAUUUCAGUCAACUAUAUAUAUCUCGAGUCACACACACACACACACACAUUUCUUGUCUCUGUCUAGAAUGAACAUGCGCUUGUACAUGAAUAUGAACUCGGAUGUAUGUGCAUGCAUUGGUGCAGUUCAUGGAAGACAUGUCUGCAUCGGCUAAAAAGUUAGAAGAAUAGAUAAAAGGGGUAAAGAAUGGUACAGUACAACAAACAAAUCUACAACACGGCAGUGAAAUAGGUCUCUAUAUGUCCUAGGAAGCUACACUCUAGCUUCCAGAUCCUUCAAUGAAAGCAUGGCUUCCAGUUAGUGAAGCAUAAGUCAUACGUAGAUAUUUUUAUAUAUGCCUUUACCGAUAAACUCUGUCUGAAAAUCCCCUGCAAGUAGUACAGCUCUAGUAUUUGAGUACCGAGUUUAAUCGGGCAAAUAUGAUGUGUAUGUCAGCAUUGUAAUCUAGCUAUUCAGAAUUUCAGAAAUCUAUCUGACAUGUUCACUACCAGAUAUGUAGAGGUUUCUAAAGGACAAUUUCUUACUAUCGGCAAACAAUAAGAAUAUGAGAAACCAUUAAAUUUUAGUAAGGACACUCUAACUGAUUUUGAGGAUAGAGGAGCCUCUGAUACUGUCCAUAUUUUGCUGCCUCGAAUAUAAGAAUUUGCACAUUCCAUAACUAGGUCAUCAUUCCAUAACAAUAUAAGAAUUAUUUCUAAUGAAUUAAUACAUUUUUGUUGCUAAACAAAACUAGGGUAGAGGAUCCGUUUGCUAAACAAAACUUAUAUUUCCAAUGAAUUAAUACAUUUUUUUUUCAAAAAAGGGGUGCUUUAUUACUUAAAAGGUUUAAGUAUUACAUGGUUUUAGAGAUUAAUCUCUAGAGGGAGCACAUAUGGUGGUUGCCUGAACCGAGCCGUCUCUAGUUAGUUGAAUGUGAGCGCCUACCAAAUCUCCCAAUUGAAUUGGAACGCACAUAAAUAACAGUAGUACUAGUAUUUUGCUGUAGGGAAAGGGGAAGGAUAAUAGAAAUAAAUGAACCUGGUUCUUGACAUGAAGAAUGGAAAAACUGACCUUAUGUCUCGAUUUUCAAUCAAUUAUCUAGAACUGAAGACUAGUGGGACUUGAAGUCUCCCCAAUAGUGGCUUUGUUGGUUUCUGGUUUGGUGGUGUUUGAUUCUAUCCAUUUUAUAGGAUGCCUACAUAGCAUACACUUGAUGUCUCAGUAGUACUACCUCUGUACAAAAAUAUAAUGCAUAUGUACGGGGGGAGUAGUUAUUUAUUUGUUACUAUUAUCAUUUAGUGAUAUUCAAUCAAUCACUUUGUUAUCCUCUCACUGUCCUACUUAACACUGCCUCUGUUUCCUACUCAAAAAGCACGGGAAAACAGUGUUUGCAUUUUUAAAGGACGGGUAGAAGGCACUCAAGACAAGUAUUGCCAGUGACACGACGCUGUAAUGACCCCAUGGAGUAUGGUGAGUAACAGAUGAUAUCCUUUCUCCAUCUAAAAGUUUUCCUUUUUUUCUUCUUCUAGUAGAACAGAAGUAACAUAUGCAUACUCAACUUGUAUCCGCCCUUCAUUUAUACAGGUAUCCCAUCAUACAAUGACCCCUUGAACUCUUGGUGUAUAUGCCAUGCUGUUAUAGCUUUCUUUUAGAUGAAAGCAAAUUCACAAAUAUCUAGAUUUGGCAAAGACAGGAUAAACGUGAGCAAAUACAUAUGAAAUUAGCUGUUCAUUACGGUCUAAUGUUUUUUGUUUUGUCUCUUUUUCUAUUGCUAGGGAAGUGAUGAGAAGAUGUCGAUGAUGCCUACUUGGGACAUUCAAAUCAACACAACAUAAAAAUUUCUGAACCUAUGUCUCACAGGAGAGUGGAAUGAACUCCAUUCUUAGCAGAUGUGUCAUUGUCUUGUUGUGCAAUUUUGUCCGUUUUUGCUAUAUUAUGUAAGGAAAUGUAUUCAUGAGAUGAGUUAUUGUGUUAUGUAAAUCUGGGAGAUGUAUUAUGUGAUGUUAUAUGAUGGGUGAUUUUAAUUUGACUUGAGUUUUCUUGAUUUGAAUAUGAAAUAGUGUUGGAUUUAAUACUGGACAAAUAAUUGGGCUGAAAAGGCAUAACAAAUAGAAACGAAACCAAAAAUAUAAAAAGGCCAAAACUGAAUUGGACCAAACGUAUUUGGGCAUUAAAAGGCCACGACCCAAAUUAUAAUGACAAAAACAAUUCAAAAAAAAAUACAAAACUGGUUGUAAAUAGGCUAAGGCCCAAAAAGAAGCCCAAUAAGAAAAAGCCCCAAAAAAUAAAACCAACCCAUGUGAUCAAUUGAAAUGGGUUGGGCUGAUUUCAGCCAUGACGUUUUGAUUUCGUCGUAUUUUAAUCACGUAGGACUGCCACGUAGGACUGGGUUUGAUUGUCAACGACGAUUUAAGAUCGUCAUAAAGGUUACGACAAUCCAGGAAUCGUCGUAAAAGUUACGACGAUUUUGAUCAAAACGUCGCUGCUGUUCAUUUGUGACGCUCCGUUUUUGACGCUUGGUUUUUCGUCGUGAGAUCGUCGUAAAUUAAAAACCGUGACGAUGUAGCGACGAAAAAAUAGCGGCGUGUAUUAGCAUAUUCCUUGUAGUGCGAUGGUCUGGAAGGACCGGGUGAAGAAGAGGGCUAUGUUCAUGAUGAUCUGGAAGGACCGGGUGAAGAAGAGGGCGUUCAUGAUGAUAUGGAAGGACCGGGUGAAGAAGAGGGUGUUCAUGACGGCUCCGUUGACCGAACCGAGUCCGGCGAGGUAUAUAUAUAUUAGUUAAGCCCGUGCUGACUAGUUAAUUGAUGCAUUCCUUGUUUUCAUAUGUACACAUAUUAAAUAACUCUCGUCUUUCUUCUUUUUUCUCUAGCCCUCCGGAUCGACCUCAACUUCAGUAAAGAAACGAGGCCCGAAGAAAAAGUUGCGCUCGGAUGAAAGGUUUGAGAUCACAGCAAUCGUGUGCGAUGGCAAGCCGAUUGAACCCAUCCGGACAAGGGAUGCAUUUCGUGCUCAGUGCGGGGUUCUUGUUAGGGACAAGAUCCCGAUCAGUAUCCAGCAAUGGUUAAAGCCAAAGAAGGAAGACCCUGAGGUGCCGACGUCUUAUGUCUCCGAUAAACAGAAAGAAGAUCUUUGGACAACGCUUAAGGAAAAUUUCACCCUACCGCCAGAGGAGGAUACAGAGAAGCCAGUUAAAGAGGAAUUGAUCAAGUCUCAUGCUCUUAAGAAGAUGGUAGAACUAUUCAGGAGGUGGAAGAAUGAGCUGAAACGUUUGUCGACAAAGAAGAGACACCAGAAUUCACGGACCGGUUUGAGAAGAUCAGAGAUCAAUGGCCCGCAUCUGUGGCCCACAAGACAUCGGAAAAGAGUAAGAAGAUGUCAGCGACAAACAAGAAAAAUGCUGCGAAGAAGAAGCAUCACCAUCGCACGGGGUCAGGUGGUUACCUCAAAGCCCAACCUCUGUGGGACAAGGCUGAGAAUGACCUGAUUGCUAAAGGGGUCGAACCAGAGACAUUGAGAUGGCCAGACCGUUGCCGGACUUGGUUCUUCGGGGUUGGCGGAACCUUGGACCAUGUAUCAGGGGAGUGCGUUUGGACGGAAGAGCAACUGCGAAUACUCGUCAGGAACCUUCAGCACUAUAUCGCCGCAGCACAGGAAGGGGCGUUCAUUCCAGACAGAGAGAAUGACGAGCUCACAAUGGCCCUCGGGAAUCCUGAGCACCCUGGACGGACACGAGGCACGCCAGGCUCCCUUUCGUGGAAGGUUGGGUUUCCGGACGCACGGGGUUACAAAACCCAGGAGAGGAGGAAGAAAGCGAAGCAUAACCAACUGCAGGCGCUGCACGAAAGGGUACAAGGGCUAGAGGAACGAGAAGCAGAACGCACCAAACGACCUGCCGAAGCUUCCCCUAAAGCUACUCCGCCAUCUCAGCGGAGAAGCAGCGAGGCUUCCACCGAGCAGACUCAGCAGCUGGAGCCUGUCUUCACGUGCUACCCCGUGGAUGCUAUCACAGAGUCUCAACAUUGCUACCUUAUGACGCAAUGGAUGACAUUCAAAGUCAAGGUGGCUGUUGGCUCUGUUAUACCUAAUGAACCUGGCUCAACCUACCACGGCCAGCCGAUUCCAGAAGGAUAUGCUAGGGUGAUGGUGGAUCAAAUAACGGAAGGAUUUCAGGACCUUGAGCUUGACCACCCUAUGGGUGAAGGGGAGAUUCGGCUGGGUUCUUCUCUGAAGACUCCAUGCCUAUGGCGGAAGGAGCUCAUCCACCUUCCGAACUGGACGCUUCCGCCUCCUCCUCCUCCUCCGGCGAGUCAGGGCCCGCCUCCUCGUCCGCCUCCUUCGGCGAGUGAUCAGGGCACUCAGCCUCCUUCUCCGACGUGUGACAGCACUCUGCCUCCUUCUCCGCCUGCGCCGACGCGCCCGAGCAGCGAGCUGCCUCCUCCUUCUCUGCCUCGUCAACAAGGGCUCAAGAGACCCGCCGCCGCUCCGGCUCCUCCGGCGCGUAGUCCUUCUCCUCCGCCUGGUAAGAAAGGAAAGACAGUCGCAGCCGCUCCGUCUGCUCCGACGUGUAGCAGUACAGCCAGAGGCAGGCAAUACAAAUACGGUCCUUCUCUGAAGCCUCUAGAGAAGUUACCAUACGAGAGGAGCCCGGAGAAAAACGAGAAGAUCGUGGAAGCCGAAGUGAAGAACUUCUUUGAAGGGGUGAAAGCAAAAAAACAUCCACCUCCGGAGGAGAAGAUAGAUCCGGUAAAAGCAAAGCAUACUCUGGCUGCCCUGAAGAAAUCACCAAAGUCUCCGAUGAAAGGCAACUAUGAGCGCAUUAUUACAAAGUCAUUUAUCGAAGCGCAGCGGUCGGGAAGUACUGUGAGUGAUCAAAGGUUAGCAGAACGACGAGCUGGGAAAAAAGUUGCCCAGCUCGGUGAACAAGCGAACGAAUCGUUCCCCUCACUCAAGGUGUCUAGCGAUAUCGUCGCUAAUCAUCCGGGGAUCUUGUUGCCCGGUACCAAUCCUGCAGAUUACCUGCCCGAUGAUGCACAUUUUGAUUUAUUGGAGGUGUACAAACACAAAUACGUGUACGGGAAGCCUCUCGUCAAAGAUGAAAGAUCUCUAACAACGAUGUUGCGAAGAUUCCAUGAUUGGUACAUGAAAACUUGCAAAGAGUCUGGGGGAGUAAUAUUUUGACGCUAGGAGUUAGAAAGGAGCAUGACCUCGUUGGACUUGAACUGUUGAUGGUUCCAUUUGAGGAGUUCUUCCCGUUUUUCAAUCUAAAGGCCCUCGAUAAAUUAAUGAUCACUUGCUACUGUCUGUAAGUAGUACUACUUCUGUCAUUAAGUCUCUAUAUAUAGGUCAGCUCUUUCAUUGCAUGUAUUUUUAAUUAUCCUCACUAUAUUAUAUGCAGAUUGAAGAUCGUCGAAUUGAAGAAAAGACAAAUCGGUGGUAUUGGGUUCAUUAACACAAAUCUCGUAGAUGCAUUUAUGAUUAAAUCUCAGGCCAAAGAUACCGAGGCCAACCUGUUACAAUCGUUUGUAUUGAAUCAAAACAAAGCUAUAAUACUCUUCCCUUACGCACUACAAGAAAUUCGUGCAAUCAUGACGCUCCAUUUUGGUCACUGGAAGGUCACUGUUAUUGUUUUAUGACCAUGUUAUGACCAAAUAUAGGAGGUCAACAGUUGGCCGUCAAGAAUGUAGAAACUUGACCUUUAUAAUAUUUUGGUCAUUAGAUCUAUGACGAAAAUGCUUUGGUCGUUAAAUGUAUGACCAAAAUUUUGGUCAUGGCCAUGUGCCUAAACCACGUAGGAUCUUACAUGGCAAGAUGACGUGGCACAGGUGAACCACAUAGGAUAUGACAUGGCAUGUUGAGGUGUCGCUUGUGGUGACAUGUAAUCUGAUAUGGCAUGGAUAUUCCUUGAUCGAUUCUACAUGGGCCAGGCCUAAUAUUUUGGCCCAUUAAUUUUUAAGGCCAUAUUCAUUUCGACCCAGUUAUAUGGUUAAACCCCAUUUAUUUUUACAGCCAUUAUCUGUUCGGCGCAUUUAUUUGGUCAAAUAAUGUCCAUAAUCUAUUCCGACCAAUAAUUUGGUUUACAUAGUCUAAUUGAAUUAGUUCUUGGCCUUAUUUUGCAUGGUUUGAGUGCAGAAAAGCAUGUUCAGUUAAAACCAAUUAUUUACACACAAAACUGAAAUAAUUUACAAUUGUAUUGUAUCACCGAAAAUACAAUAACAUCGUCCCUCAACUACGGGCUUGAUGACUUGGUCUCAACAUGACCAACAUGCACACAAAUAGCAUCAAUCUUGUACACGUCCAAUCUUCUUGAGGUAUGAAGAGACUUCCUUAACAAUUAGAACAUCAUAAUGGGCCUUCGAGUACUUGGGAGUGGUGUCAUCUAUGCCAAAAGAACAUAUAUCCAUUAGAACACCUCACAUGCUCAAACCAGUCAAAACAGUUGGAUAUUGAACAAAAAGUAAGUUCACACUGAUGCAAGUAAAACAUACUCAGAUGAAAAUGUAGUUAACAAGGUUUGUAAAGCAGUAGUGACAAUGGAUUGUGUUGACCUAUUACAGUAAGAGAAAAUGUAAGAGCAAUUAUAAUGUGCAACACGAAACAUACAACACAACAUUUCAACAAUAAAAGGCCGAAAUUUAAUUAAGAUGCUAGAUUACGUAUACCUACACCUAAACAUACAUCAACUCAAAGCCAUGCUAGAUUAUGUAUACCUACGCCUAAACAUACAUCAACUAAAUACCAAAUAAAAAUUGGACAAAUUCAUGCGAUUUUCAACCAUGUCAAAAAAAACAUAACUGUUAAUUCAGUCCAACUUUUUUAGAAUUAAUUUGCUUAAACGGAAAAUUGAACAUUGAAAAGCAAGAACUAAAUCUGAAUAACAGGUAUAAAUAGAUCUACAUCCAAAUUUGUUUUAUUACAAACUAUUAAUAAGCAUAUACAAACUACUAUUAACUAUAUAGUCGCCAACCCAUGCAUUCGCACGAUCUAGUUUUAUAAUUUUUUUUAUCUUUUUCACUUUAUAUUUUACAUGUAUGUUAUAUAAAAUAUUAUCCAUAGUGCAACCCGUGUACUAAGCUUUUAUAUAAGAUUUUUCUUGCAACCAACAAUCGAAAGAUAUGUCAAUAUAUUGGAACACGCUACCAAAGCCAUGAAAGUAACUUGGAACAUGAAAGUAACUUGGAACAUGGGAAAACACAAAUACAUACGAGUGACUAAGUAAAUUAAUGUAAUUUCAUCCAUUAAUUUGUCAUUUUUGUUGUUGAAAGAAAAACAUGAAAACUUGUUAGGCUUCGAUAGAAAUGACUCAACAGAUAGAUGGUGAAAUAUUUAUUUUGAAUAAUACUAAAAGGAGACCUUAUGAAAAUUUUGGAGGCAAUGCCAUCAACAUGAGGCGGCAAUCCAAUUUACGUUUUAACUAAACAAAACAACUUAUAAAGGAUUUACGCUUGGAUAUGUGGUAUUAUUUUUAUUUCAUGUGAUGAUUACUAAUUAGCCUCUGGUUGAGUAUCUCCUUUUAUAUUAAAUUUAAGAGAUUUCCUGUGUCUAUAGGACAUGUAGAAUGAAGUUGAUAUAUGCCCAUCUUCCUUGAAAAAGUAGACAAUAUAGUGGCAGGAAAACAUGAAUAAAGAACAUAUUUAGAGUAGUGUGAUGACCAUAUUGCAUUUGCUUUGCUGCUAGCUGAGAGCGUCUUCUCGUGUGCUUGUCUAUUCCUGCAGGAAAGACACACAUUAUAGGCUAUGCAUAAAAGCAAUAUGGAUGUAUGUGCAUAUGCAAUUUACGCAUGUAGCCACAUAGCGGGUCGACAGAUAAUUAGCAGAUUUUUCUUCAACAUAUUUACACUUUUCAAUAUAAAAUAAAAGUAUUUGAAAACUUGCAUGGUAGGAGCUACCUGGAAAGACACACAUUACAGGAAAGACACCUUCCAAUGGCACUUGCAGCAACAAUUUGUCGCUAAAGGAAAUUAGCAAGUGAGUGGGCAUGGGGAGAGGGAGGAGCUACCUGCAGAGAGCCAUUGCCAGCAGCAGGGACCUUGUGUGGUCUACUGCGUCACCUUCUGAUGGGCGUCCAUAGGCGCCCUCUGCGUCGGGUAGUCGAAUCGUUGAUGCUGCUGCUGUACAUAGACUCCGCCACCUGUGAGGAAGCACGACAAGGCCACACCGGAGGAAGGCGUCAACGAGGCAAUCAUAUCACAAAAAGCACCAACACUACAUCCAACAAGAAAAUAGUACUUCUCAGGAUACAAUGAAUCAUAUACUUGAUAACACAAGGAUUAAUACGUUGGAUAAUGAAAAUAGUUACGGAUAUAGAAAUAAUAAAAAUAAUAGGUCAUGCAAUCUACAAAACCAACUAAAUUAGCUAGAAAAAGGUAACGAUCUGAUGCACUUAUACUGUAUAGCAGAGAACUAGAUUUACACCAAAUAUAUUGAUACACACUGAGUAUGUUAUCAGGUUGAUGAACCUGGUCCAAUUCAGAGAUUCCAUCCUAACACUACCCCUUUUCACAGCAACAAUCUGAUUAUUCUCUAGUUUCAAACACAAAAUAAAAAACACAGCAUGCCUGCACAGCGGAGUUUCAGUGGGCGGUAGCAGUCAAUGUAGAAGGAAAUAACAAUAAUGGACAGGGGCAAUACUUCGAGGGGUUGUAUGGAUACAUAGUUUUUGACAAACCAGUUUCUGCUAAUCAUUUUCAGUCAAUGUAGAAGGACGUAUUUACCUAAAACUAUGUUUGUUGGACAUAACAAAUACUUGGAUAAGUAAAUCAUGGUUUUCUUAAAACUGAAAAUGUGAGUAUAUGAAAAACUCGCACUCACACCAGGCUGGAACGGGAACGGUUGCCCCUGCUAGGUCACAUUCGCACUCAGACAAGGGUAGAAUUGAUCAUACAGUAGCAGCAUCGGCAUUAACAGGGACUAACACGCCUCCCUGUAUACACACGCAUGCCGACCCAAAAAUACUAUACCCACGAAGAUCUAUUGUUAUACAAACCUUAGCAGAAGGGAGAUGUUGUCGUAUGGCUUCUAGGCUGGCAACUAGCGGAUGGAGUCGGGCAGGAUCUAAUGGAGGUCCGUACCUUCAUCCGUGUCGUCCUCCGGCACUACGGCCGAAUCAACCACCCCUUGGGCACGCCCCGGAAUCGCCACAUGAGGUAGGAGCGCCCCCAUCCUUGCUGCAAAUGACGUCAAGGUGGACGCACUCCCAGCAUCGAAGUCAAAACAUUGUGGACGGGGAGUCGCCGAUGUCGCCGUGGACGAGGUCGACUCUAGAGGAUGCUACCAUCGUGGAUCUAGGACCAGCUCAAUAGCUGGCUUACUUCAUCCUCCCAACCGGCCGCCGGAUCUGAGGCCAGAGGCGCUCGGAGUUGAGGUAGAAAGAGAGAGAC